rnacentral:lncRNA from 1 species
GGGGAUGCCCUUUUUUUAUAGAUACAUUAAGUAAAUCAUGGUCAUCGGAUUAAAAACAGUUUGGACGCUCAGGAUUGAGCCACAUCAUCAGUCAGCAGUACGCGAUUUGACCACGUGGGUGAACAGUAACACGGUUUGACCCGGGUUGAACAGUGACGCAGUUUGGUUGAAAAUAAUCCUGUGUGAUGCAUGUACCGUACGCGAGAUUUUUGGUCCACUGAUAUGCUGCCACGUCACCAUCAACAGUACAUAAGAAUUUUAGUCCAACAGGAUCGUGACACCUCAUCAGUUAAUGCCACAUCAUCGGUCAAUGCCACGUCAUCGAUCCGUCUAUGUGAACAGUGUCGUGACCAAUAACGUAGACAGUACUGUACACGUGAAUAGUACCGUACAUGUGAACAGUGCCAUUUUUCCUUUUAUGCUCCUUCUAAGGUUUUUAACCGUCCUGAGUUCAAAAGUGAUGUCCGUUUUACCGUCCGAUCUCUCGUUUAUUGUGAAAUGACCAUGAUGCCCCUAAAAUACAUAAAAUACUUAAUUAAAAUAAAACACAAGAAGCUUAAAUACAUAAAAGUAAGGGUUGUUAGUAAGACGUGAAAUGUAAAAUGACGAUUUUCUCCUCUAUAAAUAUACAUUUUCUAACACUCAACAACAUGCUUAUUGCAUGUAAGCAAAAAGAAGAAAUAAAGAAGCUCAAGGGUGAACUAAGCACUGAAUUUGAAAUGAAGGAUUUGGGUGCAACUACAAAAAUUCUGGGCAUACAGAUAAUAAGGGACAGAAACUCUAAGACUUUGUAUCUGUCUCAAGCUGAUUGUGUGAAGAAAGUGUUAACCAGGUUCAAUAUGGAAGAUUCAAAACCUGUUACAACACCCCUGUCAGCUCACUUCUAGUUAUCUAAAUCUCUGGAACCUACAACUGAUGAUGAUCUUAACUAUAUGAGGAAAAUACCAUACUCCAGUGCAGUUGGCAGCAUCAUGUAUGCCAUGGUGUGCACCAGACCUGACUUGGCACAUAGAGUUGGUGUCAUCAGUAGAUUUAUGGGGAACCCUGGUAAAGAUCAUUGGAAUGCAGUGAAAUGGGUAGUGAGGUACCUUCGAGGGACUGUUGUCACUGCCAUUGUGUUUGGAAAAAUAAGUGGAGCAUCACCUGAAGUUGUUGGGUUUGUAGAUUCUGACUCUGCAACAGAUAAUGAUAGAAGAAGGUCUAUAACAGGGUUUGUGUUUACUAUGUGUGGAGGUGCUAUAAGUUGGAAGUCCUCUCUGCAAUCAGCGGUUGCUCUCUCAACGACAGAAGCUGAGUAUAUUGCACUCACAGAAGCUGUUAAAGAGGCAAUAUGGUUGACAGGGUUGGUCUCUGAAUUGGGGUUUAAAGAAUAAGUUGUUAAAGUUAGUUGUGAUAGCUCAAGUGAUAUUCAAUUAAGUAAAAACCCUAAGUAUCAUGAGAGAACUAAACAUAUUGAUAUUAGAAUGCACUUCAUAAGGGAUGAAAUUGGCAAAGGAGUGGUGAGUGUGGUCAAGGUUCCUUCUGAGGUCAACCCAGCUGACAUGUUAACCAAGCCACUGCCAUCAGUCAGGUUCAGGAACUUGCUGAACUUGAUUGGAAGUGUUAACUUGUAAUUCAAGUUUACAGUUGUUGAUUCAGUGUAGGGGGAAGCAUAAACAGAAUAAAGCUAAGGUGGAGAUUUGUAAAGCCUUAGUUAGUUAUAUUCUGUUAUGGGUUUGUUGAGGUGGCUGGUGAGCUGGCAUAAGUGGGAUCCAAACGAGAGAGCAGUUAGUAAUAACAGACUGAUUCAUGAAAGUGGAUACACAUGUGAGAAGCAUACAUAUAUAAGCUGUCUCUAAACUAGUUUCAGAAAUAGAGGAAAACACUUGAGCAUUACAAAGAGGAAACGCUAAUCGGAAAAGAGAGAGGUUUUAAUCUGCAGUGGAAGUGUUCUUUUGUAAUAAGCCAUUAUAGUCAAUAAAGCUUCUGCCCUAGCUGGCAUUCUUACAACCGUGGAUGUAGGUUCCUUUGUAGAAUUGAACCACGUUAUUUCUUUGGUGUUCAACUGUUCUUGAUGUUCUUGUUUUCUUUCUUCUUGUGUUUAAGUCUUGGUUGAUUCUUUUCUUGAGCAAGUUACGAUAUAUUGCUCUGUCUUGCAUAACAAAGACUCAAGCUAGAGAGCAGCCUAGGAUAGGUCCAGCUCGUGCGAGAAAGAAACCAAGAUGGCUUAAAGACUUUGUCAUUUGAAGAAUGUUCGAGAAUGCUUGAGAUAUGAAAAUAACGAAUAUUGUUCUAUUUUCAAUUAUUGUUUUGUUGGUAUUAGUAAUUUUAUUCCAUAGUUAGUUAAGGGUGCGUGGGUGUUUUGGGAAGGCAAGAAUAUAUUGUACUGUCAAGGCAAGGGACCCGUGAGGUCAUUUAAGGAAAAAUAUCAUUUGUCUUCUUCUCAACUUCGUCUCUUUUAUUUCUCUGCAAUUCCCCUGUUUCUAUUUUCUUUGUUCAAAUCCUCUUCCAAACCGAUUGGAGUCUGCACUCGCUCAAAGAGUGUCGUAUCAGGCUCCCAAUCCUGUGAUAUUGCUCCUGGAUAUCGGCUCGGCAUCGUCUGUAAAGCGUGAGAGAUCUAGGAGAGUUUGAUUUGAUUUACUUAUUAUCUUUUUCCACAAGCAAAAAUCGAGUGACAAUCAGGUGAUGGGGUGCUAGUGAGGAGACAUCUUAUAUUGAAACCUCGUCUCUGGAAAGUUCUUCCAGCUUCAAGGUUGUGUUAUGCGAGCAAUGGUAAAACUUCCAUCAAAUGGAUGACAUGCCAAAUGAUUAUUGGUUUUGUUGCUGACGAGGACAGUUAGCGUAUCGUAAUUAAGCGCGUUGUGCGUGAUCGCCAAGGCAGCUAAAUAUCUUCGGGUGUUGGGAUGACGUGGCAACAGUGUGUAAACCGUAAGAUAUAAUGGGUUGGGCCAACUUGAAAUGGCGCGAACUUUGUGCUACUGACACCCCUUUAAAACAUUAAAAAUAACCUCCAUUUUGAUAUUUUGUAAUUUUUUUUAAUCUAUUGAUAUUUUACAUCAGUCAUCUGUUAUUAACUUAUUAUCUCCAUUUUUACCCUGCACAAAUAUUGGAGAGGUGGGAGAAAUGCCUUUUUUUUUUCCUAAUUUUUAAUUGGAAGUGGUGGUGUAAGACCCUUAAGAAGGGACUCACACUCAAGUAACGGGAUGAGUUUACCACUCGAUCAAAGUCGGUCAAGGCCGAGUGGCAUAUUUAUUGUCUUCAUAGUACAAUAUAGUUACAUAAAUAUUUUAUAAAUAUGCUUAGUUUUGUUAUUAUUCAAUUUAAUACAUUAAACAUAUUAUAAAUUCAACGAGUCUUAAUGUUUCUUUUUUUAAGUUUCAAGAAUUAUAUUUAUUAAACAAUUUUUUUAAAUAUUAUUAACUUUUAUGUGAAAGUUUUCAUUUUGUAAUAACACAAGGUAAUAAUUUUUUUAUAUAAAUUAUAAAUCUAAUUGAUCAUCUAAUACCGCAGGAAUCUCGAUAAAUUUAUAAAUUUAAUUAAAUAAUAGUUUUUCCUGAUUUGGAUGUGUGGCCAAUAUAGUAAAUUAAUAAUUUGAUAAAUUUAUAAGAUAUGUUUUUUAUAGGUACCACUUACUAUAUAAGUUAAUAAUUAUCUAAUUUAAAAUUAAAUACACAUGAUAUUUCAUGUGGCUUUGUAAAACAUAUUCUAAGCAUUGUUUUUACUUCUUAAAAUGAUUUUAAAAUUAAAUCUCAUCAUUAAUUCUUUUUGUAUUACGAAAUCUCAAUUUGCAUUGUUAUUUUACAACAAUCGCAAGAUGAGCUCUGUAUAUUAUUUUUAAUAUAAAAAUAAAAAUUCUAUAAUAAUCUAAUUAUUAUCAUUAUAAGAUAAUUAACUACUAUUUAAAUUAAAAAUAUUAAAUAUUAAAUUAAGAUAAAUAAAUACUAUAAACGUACUCAUAUUUUGAAGAAAUAAAGAAUUUCUCCAUUAGUUAUUAAUUAAUGAUCUUUUAAUUUAUUAAUGUAUUGAUAUUCAUAAAAGGCCAAAACUAAUAGAUUUUUUAUGGUUCUAAUAUUACUAAUUUAUUUUAUUGAGAUUUUACUGUAUAAGAAUUUUUUUUUCACUCCACUUCAAGGUGAAAGAUUAGGGUAAGUUUGACAUUUCGCUUUUUUGUUAAUCGAACGGCGGAGAGGAGGUAUUAGAAAUGGACGGUCUCUUUUACGUUAGAGUUCGGCCUCCAACAAUUAGUCCGCCGUUUUUAGACCAAGGAGCAUAAGUUGGCGCCAAUUAUUCAGCUUAAAUUCGCCGCUGCCUCAUUUCUCAGAGACUCAGACUCACUUCUAAAAUUCGAAGAUGCAGCGUCAACAAUCGAUCCACUCCUUCUUUCAGAAAUGCUCGCCGGCGAACAAAUCUGGCGCCGCAGACAUGUCAGGCGCCCGGAAAGACUCCAAUUUUAUGACAAAGCAGCGGAAUCCAGUCGGUGACUCCUCCGGUCAACCUACAGUUUCUGCUACGGAGGACUCCUCUCUGGAAAUCAGAGGAACCGACACUCCACCGGAAAAAGUGCCACGUCAGAUUCUACCGUCGGGCUUUAAGGCGAAUGAGGGGACCAGUGGAGGUUCUUCACUGUUUUCGAGCAUUAUGCAUAAGUUUGUGAAGGUUGAUGCAAGACAAAACGCAAAUAAAAGGUACUUUGCUUUUCUAAAACUUUAGGGCUUUUGUGGUAUAAUUUUGAUAAAUACUUCUAUUAUCUGAAGCUAAGGUUUCUUUUGCUAACGAAUUAUUUUUCUUAUGAUUUAUCGUCAAUAGUGCGAGUGAAUUUUCGAGUGAAGAACUUGUACACAACAUCUAUCUCCGCUAUAUGAUUCUUCCUCGAAUUUUUUAUUAACAGUUCUUGGUUAUCUCGUUAUGUUUUGAGGUUGUGAUAUGUUUCCAAUUGUCACAUUAAGUCUACGAUUCUUUAUGCACGAAAUUUUUUUGUGCAAUAUUCCUCAAAUUGCAGGUUGCCAUUUGGUUGAUAAUAACUCGUGGAUGUUUAUGUAUUUGCUAGUUGGAUUUGCCUUGUGUUAUUUACGAUUUUUAUUAAAUUAUUUGUGUAAAAUUUGCAGGAAUGAACAGCAUGGAAAUUCCUCUACUGUUUGCUCAGUGUUUGGUAAAACUGGUGAUCUGGAAGCAUCAUCUCAACAGGGAACAGCUUCUCUAUAUUCUGAAAAAGACAAUGUUUUCAAUUGUAAUGGCUUGGCCAACCAAGGAUGUGUUUCAUGUACUGAAAUGAAUGAAGAUGUUUCUGGUCCAGAUACACCGGGCAUGCAUCGUGUUGUUCCUCGUCUAAAGCGGAUUUUAGAAGAUAAUCUCAACAUUGGGGACAAGAAGAACUCUUCAUUGCUGGAUUCUAGUAAAAGAAUGAGACUUCUUCAGGAUUCCGUGGCUGGGGUUAAGAACUGUGAGGAAGAAGCUGAUACAACCAGCAAGUUUGAAUGGCUUGAUCCUUCUAAAAUUAGGGAUGCCAACAGAAGAAGGCCUGAUGAUCCCCUUUAUGACAAGAGGACACUUUAUAUACCACCUGAAGCUUUGAAGAAAAUGUCCGCAUCUCAAAAGCAAUACUGGAAUGUCAAAUCCCAAUAUAUGGAUGUUUUGCUUUUCUUUAAAGUGGUUAGUUAUUGUGCUAUGUUUAAAUGUUCUUUUAACUACUUACAUUUUCUACAAGGCAUUAUUAGUGAACAUUGUUGGUUAUCAAUGAACAUUUGCUUGAUCUUGUGAGAUUUAGAAGAGUGCCAUGAAGGAUUGAAUGCUAAAACAGAUGCAUCUAGUCUUAGCAACCCUGGACCAAAUAUUAUGAAAAAAAGGACAGAUUCUGCUAUUUUGGUGACUUACAAGAUGAGCAUCAUGUGGGUUUUAUAUGCUUUUUUAGUUUAACUGUGGCCUUUUAGGAAGCCUCCUUAUUUAUUAGAUCUAUCUAUCAGAUCUAGAAUUGUUUACUCCUGUAUUGUUUUGUCCAAUUGAAAUAUUUAUGGGCUGUGGAUGAAACUUGCCUAAUGAUUCGAUCUUAUGAUCAAAUAUAGGGGAAAUUCUACGAGCUCUAUGAACUGGAUGCUGAAAUUGGUCACAAAGAGCUUGAUUGGAAGAUUACAUUAAGCGGUGUAGGGAAAUGUCGACAGGUGAACAAAUAUUUAUGGUUUCAAACCUUUGAUUAACCUUAAAUUCUCCUUCUUUUUCCUCUUAAAUUUUAUUUAUAUAUUUAUUUUUCCGCAAUGAAUUAUUUCUUUAUCAUCAGGUUGGUAUCUCCGAGAGUGGGAUUGAUGAUGCUGUUGAAAAACUAGUUGCUCGGGGGUAAGAAUGUUUGACUACCUGGUCUAAAUGUGAAUACAAGUCUUUUAAAAAUGCUAAGUUUACAGUCACUAGAAAGCUGUAUAACAGUUCUCUUUGUUAAACAGCGUUCUAGCGACCGUAAAAUUAGCAGUUCUACUGGUUUUAUGGGAUUUAUGAGAUGAAAUGCAUAAAAGAGCAUUUGAAGUUUCAACUAUGCACCGUAUUGAUAUUGAUUGGAGAGGCGAAAUGGCAUUUAUCCAUGUGACGGUGAUUGUAAUUAUUCUGAGUUAAGUGCUUGUUUAUCAUCUUUGUCCUAGUUUCAGAAUUUUACAGUUCACUCUUUGCUUGUUUUGUUCUCUUGAAGAUAUAAAGUUGGACGGAUUGAGCAGUUGGAGACAUCUGAACAAGCAAAAGCAAGACAUACAAACUCUGUAAGAUUCCUGUGCUGAGUAGAGAAGAGACAAAUAUAAUGAUUUAUUGUUCUAUUUGCCAUGCUUCACGUGUCUUUUGAGGGCUUCCUUUAAAGUAAUCAAAUUUGAGAUAUGGAGUUUAUAUCAGUACUCAAAUCUUACUAAACUAGUUUCCAUAUGUGAUUUUAAAGCUAUUGGCUGUGAAUAUGUAUUAGACACAUUUUCCCAUUCAUUUUCUGUUUCAUUUUUCUCUUUUUGGGUGAGGGCAGGUCCGGCUAUUCUAGAAUGCUCAUAGUAACAUUAAUAAACAAGUACUACAUCAUUUGCUACUCCUUCUGGUUUUCAAAUAGAUCAUGCUCUGAAUAUGUUGUUAGCUUGCCUUAAUUCUUUUUGUUUUCAUCUACUUUGGAUGCAUUCUACAUUGUGCAAAUGCUUAGAAUUAUAGUCUAAAUUUAUUGAUUUGACAUUGACGUUGGGUUUCAGGUAAUUUCUAGAAAAUUAGUGAAUGUUGUCACACCGUCAACCACAGUAGAUGGUACGAUUGGCCCUGAUGCUGUUCAUCUUCUUGCUAUAAAAGAGGUCUGUUAUGUUUUCUUGUUGGUUACUCCUUAUAUGGGAAACCUAAAUGGCAAUUUUUCAUGCAUAUACGUCCUAAAUUGCGCUCUGGUAUUUUCUGUUAUCAUUUACUUUCGUUGCAUCCUUCUUGAAGUCUACCAAUAUCAGUAUGCUUGUCUAAUGAUUAUCAAAUCUUAUCUUCUUCCUCCAAUUUCUGGAUUUCUUGUUUUUCUCAAUGUAUUUCUUAACUCUGUCCAAGUACCAGCUUAUUGUCUGAUGUAUUUGCUUCAAUGAUAAUGAUGAUCGGACCAAUGUUUCAUUUAUAAGGCAGCAUAUGAAGCUUUUUUUUUUUUUUUGACAAAUAGUCAAAUUCAUGUUGGCUGCAAGCACUGAUGUUAGAACAGAAUAUCCAACUGAAUUUUGUAUGUUAAUCAAAUGGAAGUUCUUAAUUGUAACCUCUGUAAAGAGAGUCAAGAAAUGAUUUGAUAAAAUAAUGGAAUGAUCUGUCCUGCAACAUUGGCUAAUGUUAGAUAACAUGUUUGAAAAAACUUGCUUGCUGUUUCCUUUUUGUGCUUGACAUGAAGAUUUGGUCAGUUAAAUUCUAAGUUUAUUGGAUUGUACUUUAUCUCUAGGGGAACUGUGGGCCAGAUAAUGGUUCUGUUGUCUAUGGAUUUGCUUUUGUUGAUUGUGCUGCUCUGAGGGUCUGGGUUGGCACCAUCAAUGAUGAUGCUUCAUGUGCUGCUUUGGGGGCUUUAUUGAUGCAAGUAAAUUUUUCUAUCUUGCUAUCUUUUAUAUAAUUUUUUCCACAUAGUCUGUCAAAUUUGAUAUAUCAAAAUUCUGAUUUUCAUGCUGGAAAUGAUUUAGGUAUCACCUAAAGAAGUAAUAUAUGAAAAUAGAGGUGAUCCAUUUUCCUUUAUCCUUUGUUAUUUGAGCAGAGUUCCACCCUGAAGUUAUGCCAGGAAAUUGUUACUUUGAUUGUAGCUAAAAUCAUUUUAAUAUUUCAGGGCUUUGCAAAGAAGCUCAGAAAGCGCUGAGAAAGUUCUCAGCAGGUGAGGGUUGCCUCAACUUUCUGAUAUGUUCAUAUCUGAUGAAAUUAUGUCAAUACAUGUCAUCUCGUGAUUUUUAGACCAUACAGACAUGUACAGAGUGUUCCCAGGCUUUGCUGUAUAAGCAUAGUUUUACGUACAAUAUGUUCUGGUGUAUGACUGUUUCUUUCAUUCAUGCUUAUGCUUAAGUGUUUUGGAACUUCUUACGUCACCUUAAUUAUUGGUUUGCUUGAAUCUGCUUGAAUCUUCAAUUAGCUUAUUGGCAUUUUUAUCAUGAUAAUGAAAUCAAUUCAUGUUGGGGUUAUUGUUGGACAAUCUGCCAUCAUUGCUCUAUGGAUUAGUCAUUCACCGGCCAUUUUUAUUUGUACUUAUGCACUUCAUUUUCCCAUUAUGUAGACCAUAAAUGUCCAGAAGCAGGGGCAGAACCAGAUAUUUGCAUUAGGCUGGCUAUUUAUUCAGUUAGAUGUUUACUCAUAUUUGUUAAGUAGAAAUCAAUUAAAACAGGGAGAAAUCAAUGUGUACACAUAUUCAUAAGACGAAUUGCAUCGGGUAAAAGGGAGUUGGAGAAAGAGAAGUAGGAACAUAAUAAAUUACUUAUUGCUGUGGAUUGAAGUUAUUUUGGUUUAUCUAUAGGAAAUAGAAAAUAAUGAAAUCUAAGUAAUAUAAAAGAAUUAUGAUAAAUUCUUUUUUUAAUGGUUUGCAAGUUAAAGAAAAAAAUUUCUAAUGAAGUUUUUGUUGUGUUGAUAGAGAAAGAGCAAGAGAAAUUUCAGGAUAAUGCAAUGGGUUAGUUAAAUAUUACCUCUAUUUGUCUUGGUUUUCAUAAACAAAGUAGGCAUAUGUAUGUUAGUGUCUAUAUAUAUAUAAUGUUUCAAUUCAAGAUGCUGAAUUUGUUAAAAUCCGGAAAAGCUAUUAAACCAUGUGGUUUAAUAGCUCUCGCACACUUUAAUGAAGCUGAGGAUCCUGAACCAGUAUGUGUGUGUGUGUGUGUGUGUGUGUGUGUGUGUGUGUGUAAAUGUUCUUUGGAGUUCUGUCAGUUACUUGUUAGAAGUUGAUCGUAAUCAUGCUAAGAAAAUUGCAUACCCAAUUUUUUCUUAUCUUUUAGGUUCUGCAGCUUUGGAACUCACUCCGGCUAUGGCAGUUACUGAUUUUUUGGAUGCUUCUGAAGUUAAAAAAUUGGUUCAGUUGAACGGUUACUUCAAUGGGUCUUCAAGUCCAUGGAGUAAGGCACUCGAAAACGUAAUGCAACAUGAUAUCGGGUUCUCUGCUCUAGGUGGACUUAUAAGUCAUUUAUCCAGGUUGAUGGUAUGCUUUCUUGUAUUACCUCUUCCAGUUUUAAAUUUGUUGAGGUCCCCUUAAUGUUUGGGUCGUCUAAUGUGUUCCAAUUUUUAUGCAGUUGGAUGAUGUUUUACGAAAUGGAGAUAUAUUACCUUACAAAGUUUAUAGAGAUUGCCUUAGAAUGGAUGGACAGACACUGGUAAAUCUUGAGAUAUUUAAUAACAAUGCUGACAGUGGUUCAUCAGGCAAGUGUUUUCCUCUUUUUAUCUUAAAGUGAAAUUUUGAGUCUCAGAGGACAGCAUCCUUAUAAAGUAAUACUACAUGUGAGUUGCAGGUACAUUGUUCAAGUAUCUUGAUAGCUGUGUGACAUCAUCUGGUAAGCGGCUUUUGCGGAGUUGGAUCUGCCAUCCACUAAAAGAUGUUGAAGGCAUUAAUAACAGGCUGGACGUUGUUGAAUAUCUAAUGAAAAAUUCAGAAGUUGUGAUGGUUGUUGCUCAGUAUCUGCGCAAGCUCCCUGACUUGGAGAGGCUGCUGGGAAGGGUGAAAGCUAGAGUUCAGGCAUCAUCGUGUAUUGUAUUGCCCUUAAUAGGCAAGAAAGUAUUGAAACAGCAAGUAAGGUUCUCCAAACAUGGCAUAUCUAUACCUUCCAAAUUCAUUAGGAAAAGCAACUGCAUGUGUUAGUCACCAUCGACUAACGAAUUGCAAGGGUACCAGAACCUUUCUGUAGUUUCUUUUAUAGCCUGUAAAAUGUUAGACAUUGACAAUUGCAAGUCAGAAUUCUAUCGUAAAUAUUUUCUUCUUUCUCCUAGUGAAUCGACUGUUUUGAAAUUUGGAUAUUUGAGGUAAGUUAACCCAAGAUUGUUAACCCAAUCAACUGUUUUGGCAAUUGCUGCAAGGAUUUCAGAAUUGGAGUAAGGGCUUGCAAUGUGUCUCUACAUGUGGAAAGCCAUUGCCUUUGCAUUUGUAUACAAUUUCUAUUCACCUUGUAUUUUAAGAUGCAGUAAGGGUUUUUUGCUUCUAAAUUUUUAAGAUUUCAUGAAACCAUUUAUAGAAUUGAUCUAUGCUUUUGCAUUUAUUAUAACAUUUGUAGAUAUAGGAAGCUGCAUAGUUUAAUCAUGCCAGAUUGUCAAAGAUAUCAUAACACCCAUCAAAGAUGUCAUUAAUACCUAUCAUUUUAGCACCUUUCUUUCUCUUGCCACUUAAACAUUUAUCUAGAAUUUUGAUUGAGUAAAGCUUUUAAUUAAAUCCAAGUGUAUAAUACAUUCUUUCUGCUACAGGUGAAAGUAUUUGGGUCUCUUGUGAAAGGACUUAGGAUUGCAAUGGAUUUAUUAAUGUUAAUGCACAAGGAAGGGCAUAUAAUUCCGUCAUUAUCUAGAAUUUUUAAACCGCCAAUAUUCGAUGGUAGUGAUGGGCUGGAUAAAUUCCUUACUCAGUUUGAAGCAGCAAUUGAUAGCGACUUCCCUGAUUACCAGGUCUGCUUCUUUCUACUCUUACAUUCUGCAAGUGUCAGUAUUAAGGGUUCCUUUGUGUUUGAGUUUCAUAUCUCAUGUCAGAAUGUUAUUUCACUGAGUUCAACAUUUUAGUGAAGGCUAGUUUUGGUUGUAAAUUUUUUGUUUUCACAUCUUGUAGUUUCCUUCAUAGAUUAUUUUAAAACCUUCAUAGGAAUCAACUCACUCUUUAAAGACAUUAGCGAUCACCUUCUCUCUGUGUAUCUGAAGUUGACUCUUAAUUUCAACUUUGUUAUUAUCAUUUGCAAGACUUCCGACUUUUAACAAGGUGUGGAAAAUUCUGUGUUCCACAGUUCAAUAUUAUGCAAAUGCAUGCUUGCUGACUUUCUUAUCCUUGUUUGGAUGGAGAGUCAAAUUUUUACAUUUUAUAUACCUAUCUUUGGGCCCAUUACUGAUAUUACUUGUGUUAUCAGAACCAUGAUGUAACAGAUUUGGAUGCAGAAACACUGUCAAUUCUGAUUGAGUUAUUCAUUGAGAAAGCUAGUCAAUGGUCUGAAGUUAUUCAUGCUAUUAGUUGUAUCGAUGUAUUAAGAUCUUUUGCUGUUACUGCGAGCAUGUCAUCUGGUGCUAUGCAUAGACCUCUUAUUUUGCCUCAAUCAAAAAAUCCGGCUGUGAGGCAAGACAAUGGAGGACCUGUACUUAAAAUUAAAGGAUUGUGGCAUCCGUUUGCACUUGGAGAGAAUGGAGGACUACCGGUCCCAAAUGACAUUCUUCUUGGUGAAGAUUCAGAUGACUGUCUUCCCCGUACCUUGCUAUUGACUGGACCUAAUAUGGGUGGAAAAUCAACACUUCUGCGUGCCACAUGUUUAGCUGUAAUACUGGCUCAGGUGUGUUACUGUUGUGAAUAUAUUUCAGCGAUUUUUUUCUGAGUUGUAACACUAAUUUUUUAACAACCUGCAGCUGGGCUGUUUUGUUCCUUGCGAGAUGUGUGUUCUCUCUCUUGCGGAUACCAUUUUUACACGGCUUGGUGCCACUGAUAGAAUCAUGACAGGAGAGAGUAAGUCUGCUUCAGAAAAAUAUUUAUCGAGUAGAUAAACUUUCAUUUGGGGUAUAAAUGUUGGAUAAGAUUAAAGAAGAUAACACAUUCUUGUUUUACAUGAAUCUAUGAAAACUUAUGUUAUGGGUGCCUUCAUUUUGUGUUUUGACGAAAAGCACCUCCAACACCGGACUUUUCAUCUAAUGUAUCCAUCUAUUUCCUUAUAAAUUAUUGAACUUUUCUUUAUACCUUCCGGAAUAAAAAGUUACAUACAAGCGCAGAAAUGCAUAUGUUCACAUAAUUAGCAAUUUGCACGUGGACUAUUAACGUUAUGAAGUUUGACUGCCAAGAGAAUCUCGGUCUUUUGUAGGUACAUUUCUUGUUGAGUGCACAGAGACGGCAUCAGUUCUUCAGAAAGCCACUCAAGAUUCUCUGGUAAUUCUUGAUGAACUGGGUCGAGGAACAAGCACUUUUGAUGGAUAUGCCAUUGCCUACGCUGUGAGACUUUCUGCUUACCACAAAUUACUGGAAUUGAGUUUAGAACUUUGAAAUAUAUGUUAACAUCUAUCAUCUCCUCUUUAUUUACACAUCCUGAUUGUGAUCUUAUCGUCAUGCAUUUUUUGAUCAUAUGCUUGGGAUGAACUUGUAAUAUUAGACGUGUAAUCACUGACAUGUGGAUGGAUAUAUGCACUGGUGAACUUUAUCUUGGGAAAAAAUUAAGUGCAAAUGCAUUACUGUAAUAUAGCAUCAAAAGGAUCAGUGAUUGUUUGUUGUGGCCGGUUUAAGAUUUAGUUGGAUUUUUUAAUACAAAAUAAGUGUUAUAUGAGGUGUGGUUCAUUAGAGUAACAUGAAAUUUUCAGGUAUUCCGCCAACUUGUUGAAAGGAUCAAUUGUCGGUUGCUAUUUGCAACACAUUACCAUCCACUCACAAAAGAAUUUGCUUCUCAUCCGCAUGUUACUCUACAACAUAUGGCUUGUGCUUUCAAGUCAAACUCUGAAAACUAUUCGAAAGGUGAUCAAGAGCUGGUUUUUCUCUACCGCCUUACUUCCGGAGCAUGCCCAGAGAGCUAUGGGUUGCAAGUGGCUGUAAUGGCUGGGGUUCCACAAAAGGUGGUUGAGGCAGCAUCACAUGCUGCUCUAGCAAUGAAAAAAUCAAUAGGAGAAAGUUUCAAGUCGAGUGAACAGAGAUCAGAGUUCUCAAGUCUCCAUGAAGAGUGGUUGAAGACCAUUGUAAAUGUCUCAAGGGUUGAUUGUAAUUCCGAUGAUGAUGAUGCUUAUGACACAUUGUUUUGUUUGUGGCAUGAGCUAAAGAAUUCAUAUCAGUUGCACAACUAAAAGAGAAGGUGGCAAAGAUAAUGAUUGCUACAUGACUUUGCCUAAUUGCCUUAAUCAAUUUUUCUUUGUGUAUUUACCUAAUUUUUGUUUAUUAAGAGGAUGCAUUGUAACUUGUUGCUUGAAAUGAUUAUAAUGUAAUAUUCUAUUAUGCAGAAGGCACUUCUUAUAUCUCCUGUCAAAUCCAAGAAAUCAAGUUUUGGUGGUGCUGUUAAGCUUUGCUCUAUAAACUGAGGUUUCUUUCAUUUAAUUUUUUUCUUUUAUCAAAUUUACAGUCAGGUAAAUCCAAAGCAAUCAUUGCGAAUCUUUUGAGCCACUUUACUGUGAGUAGAGACUUUAAAUCUCUACCUAGCCAUUUUGCUUAACAGAAUUGAUUUAGUUUAGGAGAAAUUAGUGGUAGAAGUUUUCAAAUGUUUGUCCUUUAGCCAUAAAAGUUUAUCAACAAUUUAACCUCUUGUUUAGCAAACAAUUCGGCCACUUUCUCCCACGUGUCGGGGUGACAAAGACAAAAGUCUCCGUUGUUCCGAAAAUGCCCCCAGUUGUCCCCGUAUCCUCGUAAUCGCCCUCACAACAACCAAACAUCAAAUCAUUUUCACGGCCUACAUUGUCAACCGUUUUUUGAAGUUCUUCAAACGGUUUUCUCAGUAUAAUCAAAUGGUAGAAUUGCAUAAGGAAGAAGAUGAUAACAAAUGCGCAACAUAUCACGACAAUAAGAAAGAUAUGGACAAAUACAAAAGAAAACAGCUUGGUCUCUCUUGCAUGUUAAACACCGAAGUGGGUUCCGUCCUUGCCGUGAUCCGUCGACCGUUAGACGCGCACUACGUUCAAGAAGACACUUUCGAAUCUGCAGUCGUGCAAUCUUUAAAAUCACUGCGGUCUCUCAUUUUCAAUCCCCAACAGGAAUGGCGCACCGUCGAUCCUUCCAUUUAUCUAUCUCCAUUUCUAGAUGUGGUCCAGAGCGAUGACAUUCCGGCUGCAGCCACAGGCGUGGCGCUUUCAGCCAUUUUGAAGAUUUUAAAGCUUGAAAUAUUUGAUGAGAAGACACCAGGAGUAAAAGAUGCUAUAAAUAUUGUAGUAACAGGAAUUACAAGUUGUCAACUGGAAAAAACAGACCCCAUAUCAGAAGAUGCUGUGAUGAUGAGGAUUUUACAGGUUUUGAUAGCAAUUAUGAGGCACCGUGCUUCGAUUCUGCUCACAGAUGAAGCGGUUUGUACCAUUGUCAAUACAUGUUUUCAUGUUGUUCAACAGUCUGCAAGCAGAGGGGAUUUGCUUCAACGGAGUGCAAGGUACACAAUGCAUGAGUUGAUACAGAUCAUAUUUUCAAGGUUGCCUGAUAUUGAAGUUAAAAGUGGAGAGGGAUCAGAAUCUGACACUGAGGAUGUUGAUAUGGAUGCAAAUUUGGGUUCUGGCUACGGAAUUCGUUCUGCUGUUGAUAUCUUUCAUUUCUUGUGCUCUUUGUUAAAUGUAGUGGAAUUGGUGGAGGGAGAAGGUUCUCGUACUUCUGAUGUAGAUGUUCAGCUUUUCGCCUUGGUUUUGAUCAAUUCUGCCAUUGAAUUGAGUGGUGAUGCAAUUGGAAAGCACCCAAAACUCCUAAGGAUGGUUCAAGAUGAUUUAUUUCAUCAUUUAAUUCACUAUGGAGCACGUUCAAGUCCACUUGUGUUAUCCAUGAUUUGCAGCACUGUGUUGAAUAUUUAUCACUUUCUUCGAAGGUUGGUCAGUAUUCAUAAUACUUUCUUGUUGUUGGAAAAACAGCCAAGAAGGAUCUAAUGGAUUUUUUGGUUUUUGUAGGUUCAUUCGUCUCCAACUUGAAGCUUUCUUUGGAUUUGUGGUGUUGAGAGUUGCAGCUUCCGGAAACUCUCAUCAACUCCAAGAAGUUGCCCUUGAAGGAAUUAUAAAUUUCUGCAGACAACCAACAUUCCUAAUUGAAGUCUACGUGAACUAUGAUUGUGAUCCCCUUUGUCGAAAUGUGAUAGAAGAGAUAGGAAAAUUACUUUGCAAGCAUUCAUUCCCUGUGUCUGGCCCUUUGACUUCCUCACAGAUACAAGCCUUUGAAGGACUGGUAAUCUUGAUUCACAACAUUGCAGAAAGCAUUGACAAAGAAGGAGAUACAAGCCCUUCUGGUCCAUACCCUGUUGAAAUCACCGAGUAUAAACCUUUUUGGGAAGAGAAACCCAAUGAUGACUCAGAUACCUGGGUGGAAUAUGUAAGGUUAAGGAAAGCGCAGAAAAGGAAAUCAUUGAUUGCUGGGAACCAUUUUAAUAGAGAUGAAAAGAAAGGCUUAGAGUACCUGAAACUUUGUCAAUUAGUCUCUGAUCCACCAGAUCCAAAAGCCUUAGCUUUUUUCUUCCGCUUCACUCAAGGACUUGACAAAAAUAUGAUUGGGGAUUAUCUUGGCGAUGCUGAUGAGUUUCACAUUCAAGUUCUCAAAGAAUUCACUGAAACUUUUGAGUUUGCUGGCAUGACCCUCGACAACGCUCUUAGAACUUAUCUAGAGACUUUCCGUUUGCCAGGAGAGUCCCAGAAGAUUCAGCGAAUCCUUGAAGCAUUCUCCGACAGAUUUUUUGAUCAGCAAACCUCAGAAAUUUUUGUUGCCAAGGAUUCGGUGUAUAUAUUUUGCUACUCCCUCAUUAUGCUCAAUACUGAUCAACACAAUCCACAAGUGAAGAAGAAGAUGACAGAGGAGGAGUUCAUCAGGAACAACAGAGGGAUCAAUGGAGGGAAAGAUCUUCCUAGAGAGUAUCUGUCGGAGCUUUUUCACUCCAUUGCAUCCAAUGCAAUCUCAGUUUUUGGCCAAUCUGGCCAGAUAGUGGAUAUGAAUCCAAGCAGAUGGAUUGAACUGAUAAACCGAUCAAAAACUAUGCUGCCGUUCAUCUUAUGUGAUUUUGAUCGUAGGCUAGGGAGAGAUAUGUUUGCUUCCAUUGCUGGUCCAGCAGUUGCAGCGCUUUCUGCGUUCUUUGACCAUGCUGACGAAGAUGACAUGCUCCAAGAAUGCAUCGAGGGGUUGAUAUCCAUAUCUAGGAUAGCUCAGUAUGGACUAGAAGACACUCUUGAUGAGCUUCUUGCCUCAUUCUGCAAGUUCACCACAUUGUUAAAUCCAUAUGCCACAGCAGAAGAAACAUUGUUUGCUUUUAGCAAUGAUAUGAAGCCAAAAAUGGCUACUCUUGCAGUUUUUACUCUUGCAAACAACUUUGGGAACUCUAUUAGAGCAGGUUGGAGGAAUAUUGUGGACUGCUUGUUGAAACUCAAAAGGCUUAAGCUACUACCCCAAUCUGUCAUUGAAUUUGAUAUUUCUACCACUGAUGCCCCUUCUCAUUCAAGAGCUGAAUCAGGUGUAGUUUUCCCCGCUUAUGAUCCCACAUCUGGAAACCGCCGGAGUUCAGGCAUGAUUAGUCGAUUUACUCAUUUUCUAUCAUUAGACAGCCCAGAAGACUCUAUAUCCCUUGGCAUGAAUGAAUUCGAACAAAAUUUGAAGGUGAUCAAACAGUGUCAAAUUGGAAACAUUUUCAGCAAUAGUACAAACUUACCUCUUGAGGCUUUGCAGAAUCUAGGGCGUUCUCUGAUAUUUGCAGCUGCAGGAAAAGGCCAAAAGUUUAGUACUCCAGUUGAAGAGGAAGAAACUGUCGGUUUCUGUUGGGAUUUGAUCAUUGCCAUUGCUAUAGCCAACAAUAACAGGUUCCAGGCGUUUUGGCCUUCUUUCCAUGAUUAUCUUCUACUAGUUACUCAGUUUCCUUUAUUUUCACCUAUCCCAUUUGCAGAGAAGGCAAUGGUAGGCCUUUUCAAGGUCUGUCUCAGACUGCUUUCUUCAUACCAAUCAGAUAAAUUACCAGAGGAGCUAAUAUUCAAGUCCAUAAAUCUAAUGUGGAAGCUCGAUAAAGAAAUUCUUGACACGUGUUCUCAGCUUAUAACACAGUCGGUGAGUAAGAUUAUCAUUGAAUACCCUGCAAAUUUGCAAUCUGCAGUUGGGUGGAAAUCCGUCCUCCAUUUGUUAUCAGUAACUGGUCGGCAUCCAGACACCCACGAGCAGGCAGUGGAGACUUUAAUCAUGUUGAUAUCUGAUGGUACCCAUAUUUCAAAGGCAACUUAUGCUUACUGUAUUGACUGUGCAUUUAGUUUUGUUGCGCUAAAGAACAGUCCACUAGAGAAGAACUUGAAGAUCCUAGACUUGCUGUCAGAUUCCGUGAAUUUGCUGAUACAGUGGUAUAAAAAUGCAUGGUCAGAAUCAGGGAACAAUUAUAGCAUUGCGAGCAGUACAAGUACCUCCUCAUUAGAGGACUACAAAGGCCUUAAUUCUUUGAACUUUGCUGUAAAUUUAUUCAUCAAACUAGGUGAAGCACUUAGAAAGACUAGCUUAGCACGACGAGAAGAAAUAAGAAAUCAUGCGGUUUUAGCUCUUCAAAAAUGCUUUACAUUGGCUGAAGACUUGGAUUUCUCAUCAAUCAACUGUAUAAAUUGUUUCAACCUCGUGAUAUUUGCAAUGGUCGACGAUUUACAUGAAAAGAUGAUAGAGUACUCGAGGCGAGAGAAUGCAGAGAGGGAGAUGAGAAGUAUGGAAGGGACUUUAAAGAAUGCAAUGGAGCUCUUGGCCAAUGUGUUCUUACAGUUUAUAAAACAGAUUGCAGAGAGUCCUGGGUUUAGGACAUUCUGGUUAGGAGUGUUGAGAAGAAUGGAUACAUGCAUGAAGGCUGAUUUGGGACCAUAUGGUGAGACUAAACUACAAGAAACAAUCCCAGAUUUGUUGAGAAAUAUGAUAACAAUGAUGAAGGAAAGAGAGAUUUUAGCGCCUAAAGAAGAUGAAGAUCUAUGGGAGAUCACAUAUAUUCAGAUACAGUGGAUAGCUCCUUCUCUCAAAGAAGAGCUUUUUCCUGAUGAAAUUUAAAAUACAGAGUAAUUUCGAUAGUUUUGAGUUACCAACAUAUCAGAGACGUAGUAAGGUAUCAUUUUUUUUUUUUCCGUUUACUUGUAUGUAAAAUGGUGUAAUUGUUGAUGUUGUAAUUCCUUGCGCUGUAACCGCGUUGCGCAUGCAUGCUGUAGCUUUACAUAUACAAAUGUUUAAUCCAAGUUGAGAAUUUGAGAUUAAUUAAUUUCCCCCUGUUUCUUUCUCAAUGUUAACGCACAUACACAAACAAACACAGCGAUUUGCAACUUUCCAUGAUCCCACUCGAGGCAAAAUCAUGAUAUCUCAUUGUAGAAUAGUAUGAAACCAACGGAAUCACCUCAAGCACUCUCUUCAAUCACAAGAUCGUCUCUCUUUUGCCCUUCUAAGAAAAAAAUAAUAAAAUACUAGACAUCCACCCACCAAAAUCAUAAAAGUGUCUUUGGAGUGCAAGACAAUAGAUCACAUGCAUUUAAUUAGCAAAAAGGUAAACGAAUGACCAUCAGGUAUUUUUAACAUCAUCAAGAAUAAUUAAAAGUUUCAAAGCUAUUCUCCAUAUUCUCAUGAUUGUAAGCUAUAAAAUAUCCCUUCAUGGACUAUGUUAAUGGUAUAACCACCCUUAAGCAAACCUGUUCAAUCAUGAUAUAUUAACAAGCAAGCAACCAUAAUUUAGUUUAAGUUUAUCAUGAAUCCGCCCAUCAACAGCCUCAUUCACUCAAUUUUCUCUAGUCUCACUCUUCAAAAGCAAUGCCAAGGAGAACAGCACAAGUGUUUGAGUCAGUCUAUCUGAUCGACACAGCCCAGAUAUUCAGGGAAUCCAUAAGAGUUAUACUUCUCCAUCCCACUCAGUUCCAUUCUAUCUCAAUCUUCUUUUUCUCUCCUCUCUCAAUAUCUCUCUUCAUCUCUCACUUUCUUGUUCGCUAUUUUCCCCAGAUACCCUCAUGGAGUAUCAACAUCACAGAUCAUUUACUCGGACAUCCUCUAUUGAAAAUACUCUCCAAAACCAUAAUGCACCUUAUCAUUUGCUUCCCUUCCUUCAUCACUUUCUCACUUAUAGGAAGAGCUGCAACAAUUCAAGCAGUUUCAGACAAUUACAAUGGAAUAAGUCUUGAUAGAAGAAGGCUGUUAACGAAAAGUGGGAUGACUUGGAUUAAGCUUCUCCAUACAAGUUUCUGGGAAUUCUUCAUUGUUCUUGGCCUUUUCGGAGCUUUGCUUAUCAGUUUGGCAACGGUGCCAAAGUUACUAUUUUCCAUGGGUUUGUUAAGCUCAAGGAUGUUGGGUUUCUUGUGUGUUUUAGGUUUUCUAGGAAUACCAUUCUGUGUAGUAUUUGCGCAGUUAAUGGUUGUGGGGAACCUUGCAAAAGUGUUGUCAGUGUUGGAGAGUGAGUGCUAUGGACUUGAGUCGUUAUUGAAGGCAAACAAUCUCAUGAAAGGAAGGCGACAGACAGCUUUAAUCAUGACUUUGUUGAGCAAUAUGAGUUUGAGAUUGGUAGAGUUUCUAUUUGAGUUCAGAAUAUGCAGAGAUAUCAGUAUAUGGGAGGCUCCCCUACUGGUUUCAAUGUAUUCUUCUGUGCUUGUUUUUGACAGUGUCAUGAAUGUUGUAUUCUAUUAUGCUUGUAAACCUUGAAAAUUAUCAUCCUGAUUAACCAAACACAACAUUUUCCAAAAGUGUAAUGAAUAAGAAGUCAUUAAUUCACUCAUGGGAAGAUUUUGAAUGAAAGGGCUCAUGUUAUCAGAAUUUCCGGAUACCAAUAAAGAUUAGCAAAUGCUAUGUUACAUUCACUCAACAACAACCACACAAAUUGUAUGGGCCCAUCAUUUGUGUGGUUAUUGUUGAGUGUGUAUGUUACAUUAAUUGUAACAUAGGCACUCCCAAUAAGAUUUUAUAUGGCAUUCUUUAUGGAUAUUGUACGACAAUAUGAUAUUGAUGGGGUAAACUUGCAUCCAUCUUUCAAGUAGCUUCUAAUAAAUAAUUAUUACUUUUCAUCUCACUUCAGAAUAUGAUUAAUGCAAAAUGCAUUUUCUCUUUCACACGCUAAACAUAGCUUACACAUAUUUCUCUUUUUCAUCAUUACAGUAACAAAUCCUUCAUCAAGUCUCUUCAUUUUAUUUGUUUUAUAUUUUAAAAUAUAACUUACCCUGGUUCAGUUUUGUCCCUAUUAGAAAGAAAUUGGUGGGUUUCCUUUUUGUUUUGAUCGGACUGUCUUUAAGGUUCAAAAACAAAAAUUAGUUUGGAAGCCACGAAAAGAGGCAAAUAGAUGACAUGGACACCUUUGUUUUUUGACGACCUGAGGAUUCAAAUUGAAACAGGUUAUAUUAAUGGGUAGAGUUUUUCUUUCCUCAUCUGUGGUUCCUCAUCAAUAUUUCAAAUCCAUCAAUCCGGUUAAUCAUGAUCUUUUUUCAAACCGAACCAAAUAAAAAAGAAAAGAAAGUUUCUUGAUGAAACACAAGGUUCAAUAAUCAACAUUGGUAUUUCCUAAAAACAGAGUUAUUGCUGGAAAGAACACCAGACUUUGACUGCCAACACAGAAUAUUUAUAUGACAACACCACUCUUUCUAGAGAUGAGAUGACAUGAUGAGUGAAAAAAUACCACAAAAUCAGAUACCAUAUCAACUGGGACAAAAAUUCCAAAGAGUACUACAAUUCUUUAUAUUAUUGAAAAGAAAUCACUCUGGAUGGAUGUUUAUGCAAAUUUAAGAACCUUCUCAAUCAAAUUAUAAAAUUGGCAAUAAAUUGAUAUUAUUUGAUUAUUUUCCUAACUUCAAUGAUUGCUCAAUGCUCCUCAAUGACCAAGUAUACCUAGAUCACACAACUUUCUCCUCAUUUAUCAGUUACUAUAUUUAAACAAUGUUCUAAUAAAUAUCCAAUCAACCGAGCCUAACCUAGUUUCAACUUCAGCAACCCAUUCUUCCAUAGCAACCAUCCUUUUUAGUUUUAAACAUUGAUCCAAUUUAUAUAAAUUAGGAUAAUGAAAAUAUAUUAUUGGGAUCGUGUACAAAUUAUAAACUGCUAUAAGUAUGAAUAUGCAAAAAGAAAUUAAGAUUUAAAACUUUCUCACUUAUAUUAUAAUAAGGAAGAAACUCAUACAAUGUGAUGUGAUCAUCCAAAAACGAUGAACAGAUCUUGUCAAAAAGGAAAAGCAUUUACAACACGCAGAAGAUGAGUACAUUAGGAAAUACAACACAAAUUUAUAAGAUUCCAAUGAAGGAUAAUGUUAAAGCACUAACAGAAAUCAUCCUUGCCUAUCAUGCUACACAAAACCUUGAAACUCCAAAAGAACUGCACUGUUAGUAACACUAUUACCGAGCUGAGAGCAGAUGGUGGUCUGUCCAAAACAUUUAUAGCAGGCUCAGAUAUCAUCUUCCUUUCCAAAACCUAAGUACCUACAGUUAUAAAGUUCGAAAAGGAAAAAAAUUGUUACCGACAGUAUGAUGUUUUCGAAUAUUAGAAAACAUUAGUCUUAGGCUUUCAAAAGCUAAUCUACAAUUUAAUACCCAGUUUACGUUCAAAUGCAAGCCAGCAAACAUAGGUAUGAUAAAUAACAAGUGAUCCAGCAUAAUAAUAAACCCAUUCAAAUCAGGAAUCUGAUAGCUAAAGAUUCUAUGUAACCUUGACAAAAGAAAGCAAUGCGCAUGAGAGAAAUAUUUUAAGAGGAUCGAUGGAACACACUUGUUGGAGGGAAAGGAGUCAAAGAUUUGUGAUAUGUGUAGGAUUCACUAGAUAUGAAGGGACACACGAUCUUAAGUUAAACGGCACAAAAUUAAAUUAGUUAAUAAUAAAAAUUUGAUUAAAAACCAGAAACAAGUGACGGUAAUGUCAUGUAUAUAUGGUAAGUACUUCAAUAAAACGGCAAUUAUAGUACCAAAAGAAACAUAUGUGACAACAAAUUAGACACUUACCAACAUUAUUCACUAAAAUUCCCCAUAGAAUCACCAUCACCACCAUCAUCGGUGUCCCCAUCAUCAUCUCCUUCCCUAAUUUUCUCAAUCUCUAAUUGUGCCCUUUCCAAAAUUUGCUUCUUCUGCAGCUCUAACUCCUUUUGAAAAUCCAUUCUCAUCUUCUCCAACUCCAUCAUCUGCUCCCUCUUACUAUUCUCUAUCUUCUCAUAUAUAUCUCCAAAUUUAUUCACUGAAUCUGCCAACAUCUUUAGUGAAGCCAAAGACCCCUCAUUACUAUCAUCCUCUUCCUCUUCGACCUCUGAUUCACUAGGGCUAUCCCUCAUCUCAUCAAACCCAUUAGACCUAUCCAAGUAAACAUUAGUAUCCAUAAAUACAUAUUCACCCGAAUCAAUCCCACAAGCCAACCCGCCACUCUCUUUUCUCAUAUCCAUUAACAUAUCCAUCUUCUUAAAAAAAACCCAUUUGCUAUCAUUUACUCCCAUCUGCUCAACUUUAACCUUCUCCUUCUUAUAUUUCCUCUUCAAAACAUCCAUCAUUUGCCUACACUGCGCCUCCGUCUUUUCAACUUUCAAAGCCUCCGUUACUUUCUCAGAAACCUCAACCCAAUCUUCACUUCUCAAGCUUUUUCUCCCUAGUUGCAAAAACCUCUCUCCCCAAAUUUCCAGCAACACAAAAGCCUCAUGCUCAGUCCAAUCAUAGGAUAGCUUUACACUUCUGGGUGCCAGCCGGUAGCCCGAACCGGAGCUUCUCAGCCUCUGUCGUUUUGGGUAUCUCUCGAAAUUCUCGCUUUCAUUGAAAUUGUGGCGAUACGCACUUUGGUCAUUGAAUUGAACAUGGUAUCCUCCUUCUUCUUCUUCGUUUUCUUCUUCAAUGCGAUCUUCAAUUUCAUCGUCUUCGUCUUCUUCUUCGUAUUGGUAGCGAUUUUUGAUAGGACGAGAAUAUGAAGGAAGCUUUUGGCGAUUUAGAGAGUAGGGUUUUGGUGGGUAUCUUGCAUCAUCUUCAGUGUCAUCCAUCCUGUCUUUAAUGGAUUUGAGAAUGACGCAACCCCUAAUUGAGAAAAGAGGAAAAUUUAUAAAUAAAACUUAAAAAGAAAACAUUAAUACGAUGUAUCACCCGGAUAGGAACUUAAACAGGUUCCCGGGAAAUCUCGGUUUAAUUUAAUGAAGGUUAGAAAGAAACCCUAAUUCAUCAAUUUUUUGUUCUUGUGAAUUAAAUUCGUCAAGAGCUCGAAGUUGGGAAAUUUCAGACCCCCAAUUUUUUUGGUCGGUAACAUUAACGGAUAAUGCUAAAAUGCGCGGGAUUGCUGCUCUUGGAGUUGGAUAGACACUGGGCCAGCGGGCCUUCUGGUUGAAAAUGUUUAAAAGGGAAAUUAUCGUCUACCGACCAUGAGGUUUUUCAUUAUGUUACGUGGAUGACGAGAAUGAGGAAAUGGGCAGAAACCUCCCCUGAAGGCUGGAGAAUAGCUACAUUUCGUAGGCUUUCAUGAAAUGUAAUAGAAGCACCCCCCCUUUUUUAUUAUUCCCCAAGAAAAUAGACACGUGUGAAGACUUGAAUUUCUUUUAAAAACAAGUUAAUAAUCAUUUCCUUUUUGUCUUGAAAGUUUCUUUCUUUGCAAUGACCUCUCUUAUAUGACCUAUUGGAUGGGGAUGGUAAUUUCAAAUGUAAUUUUAUAAAAUAACAACUUUGAAGUUGAGCAACUCAUUCUCAAAAAUAGAAGUUAAUUAUAGAAUUUUGCAUGAGAAGUAAAGUGGAUAAAAUUGUAGGAAAUGCAAUUCAACUUUUUUAUAGUAAAUUGAAGUAUUAAAAAAAACAAUUAUUUUCCUUAAUUUUUUAGUUGUAUUAUUUUACAAAUAACUAUACCAAAUUGAAAAUAGAGAAAGUCAUAGAUGCUCUAGGAGCAUUACUUAUUCUAUAUUCAUAUCUUAUCAUCUGUUUAUAAAAAUUUUCAUUAUUAAUUGAAUGACACACGCGGGGCAAGGAAUGAGUGAAAAGAAAGCAAUGCUUCAAGAGCAUUUAAUUUUCUUUGAGAUAAGAGAAACGAAAAUGGUAAGUGUCAAGACAACUGAGAGAAAGGUUCGGUUUUUGCUUCUUUCACUCUCUCUUCAUUUUAAUAAUUAAAAGAUUAAAAAGAUAAUAAAAAAAAAAAGAGGAAAUCCAAAAAGUAGCAGAUGAUCUCACUCUCUCUUCAUUUUAAUAAUUAAAAGAUUAAAAAGAUAAUAAAAAAAAAAAGAGGAAAUCCAAAAAGUAGCAGAUGAUCUCAACUUAUCCUCACUUGACUACCAAGCAUAAUCUCCAUCCUCUGCUUUUUCCUUAAAAUCGAAGCUCUUCUCUUUUCUUUCACUAAAACUCUACUAUAUUUUCCUUCACCAAAGCUCUACACAAGGCCCACAUUUUCAUUCACACACAAAUUCUCACAAACACAAAACGCCACCUGUUUUAGCCCUGGAAGCAGAACCCGAAGCUACUCUUGAAGUUGAAGCCGAACCUACUACCAAAGUUGUGGAGUCCGCUGCCAAGGAAGAGCCCAAUCAUGAGCACAUUUGUGUAGUUGUUAUGGUAAAUGAUUAACGAAAAUGAUAAUUGUUUUUGGUAUUUCGUGCAUUCUUCAAUUAAUUUUGUGAAUUCCCCAAAUGCUUGUUUUUCAUUUUUUUUUAAUCUCUGUGUGUUUAGUCAGAUGGUUUCAAUUUCUAUUGUUUGGAGGUAAUUAUUUGAUUAUAAAGAUGGAAGUUUCAUUUUGAAUAUUAUUUUUUGUUGUAUGAGUAAUAAUAGUUGUCAGCUAUUACUCUCGGUGAAAUAGAAAUGUACCUUUGUUUUGCCUAAGUUUUACUGUUUUAGAGAUUAAAUGAUAGCAAUUUCUAGUACUCUUGGAAGUAAUUUACUAGUGAGAUGAUACUAAUAAGGUUCUUUUAGGUGUCUUUUUUUUUUUAGUAAUUUCUGGUUUCACCGUGGGUAUUUUGGUUUAUGUGAAAUUUGUUGAAUUUUAGUUUAGUGUGAUGUAGAAUUACUAUGAAUUUGGGAAAGCUGGUUAAAUUUCUGUGAAAAUUGCUGAAUUUUGAUUCAGUGUGAUGUAGAAUUGCUAUGAAUUUGGGAAAGUUGGUUUCAAUUUCAGGGGUUUGCAUAAUCUUUUAUUAUAUUCUACUUUUUGGGUUCUUGUAAUUUUCAAAUUUAGUAUGUGUGCUUCUAGAAUUGUUGUUUAUGUGUGCUUCUGGAAUUGUUGUUACUUGUUGUGAUUAUCUAUGGAAUAUUAAUGGGAAAGGCUUUUAUACUUUGUCUCAUGUUUGUUAACUCCAGAUAUUGUUCGAAUUAAUUUUUCCCUAGAAUUUGACUGAAUUUUGUUAAUUUCAUUGUCUAAUUAGUCAGUUUUACACAUAGAUCUUGUGAUAAACCAUCCUUAGUAUUAUUUGACUAAUUCAUUCCUUUAAUUUUCAUUUUUUACAAUUUUUUAUGUUUCUUGGCUGAAAAAAUGAGUUGUUGCAGAGUGCUUUGUGUUUUCAUGCUCUUUUAUUUUUAGCAAUUUAAGUAGUAUAUUAAUGACAAUGUCAUCUAGCAUAAAUGAAAUUUGAAACUCACUGAAAAUAUGUAAGAGAUUCAGUGAGUAAAUGGAGUUGUUAACGUCACAUACUAAAAAGAAUCCAAAUCACAAAUUUUAGAAAUUUAGAAGAUGUAAGAACUUUCAAUAAGCAGAAACCAUGAAUCUAGCGAAGAGAAAAUUGACUUGUUAGUGGAGAAAGUUAGGAAGUUGGCAUUGAAGAUUGAGUGUUUGUCUGUUAGAUUUCAAUUAUUUCAUAAAGAACUUAAGUACAUGCAAGAAUGUGAAGAGCUGAGGCGAUUGUUUGAUGAUGAAUUUUGAAAGAGAUAAACAGUAGGAUAUGAUUUCAUCAUAAUACAUGUGAUUGUUGUACUAUACUUUAUAUUUAAGUGUUAUUUUUAAGUUAUUUCAUUUUGUACUAUGUACUGGGAAAAAACUUAUAGACAUAUAUAAUAGCAUUUUCCUUUUAAAUAUAGGACUCUGAGUUAUUUCACUUUAUUGAGCUUGAAAUUAUAUUUAAAUCGUUAUUUUAAUGCUGGAAGAGUUAAAACAAUCUUAUAAAUCAUUAUUGGAUGUUGAACUAGCAUACAAUGAGUACAAGCACAUUCAAAUUGCAAUGAUUUAUGUCAUCGAAAAUUAUCAAACAAUGUCAUUGAAAAUUAUCAAAAAAGCCACCAAACCAACAAAAAUUAUUUUAAAAAAACAACAAUAGUACAAUCAUUGAUGCCAAUAGAAACAUAAUAUUCAUAUAUCAUUAAUUCAUCACUACAAUUUGUCAUUUUAAGCCAAAUCUAACUGAAAUGAUAAGGAAAAUAAUUUGAACAGAAUAUAAGUCAAACAUUAAUCACAACAAUUGUUAUCUUCAUUAAAUUGUUGAUUUGGAAAUUCUCAUUUCCAAAUCCUUCAUACGUUAUCGAAGAAGAAUAAUAAUACGAUUGUAAAGCAUAUAGUAGGAUUAGUUGUUAUGAUACACAAAAAAUUAAAGCAUCAUAUUACAUUUUAGAAAUUUAAACAUAUAAGUAUACAUGAAUAUAUUGAUUUUAAGACGACAACUUACUGUGUGCCAAUUAUAAGGAAAUGAUUAAUAAAUAUUAUUUCCACCAACUUGGGUUAGGUAUAUAGGUACCUAAGAAAAUUAAAAAAGUGUAAAAUCCAUAUAAAAAAUUUAAAUUAAAAUUUCCUCAUGAAUUUAAUUCUUACAUUAUAGUAGUCUAAAGUCCUAUAUUGGUUGAGAUUUGUAUUAAGAGUACUUCAUUCCUAAAAUAUUUACAUAUAGUCAACAAUAAACUUAGUUACAUAUCUUCAAAAUAAAAGAAAAUUUUAAAAUAAAAAUUCAUAAACUUACUAUGGCCAUGUUGCUCUGCUGUGUGGAGAUUUCAUUAGGUACUUCAUAAGGCAAUGAAGAAUUUUCUUGUAAAUCUUGUAAAAUUAUGACAAACAAUUAAACGAAUACCAAAUGAAAUUAGAAAACAUAUAUUUGUAUUUGAACAAACUUUUUUUUUUUUUGCAAUCUUGUUCUUUUGGGCAGGUUUCUUAUAGAUUGAAGAUUGUUUUCUCAAGCAAGAAUGACGGCCUUUACGAUGUGCCACUACUGGAUCAUUAAUUACAUGUUUAAUAUUUUUGCCUACUACAACUUAUUUCACCAGUAACAGUUGUUGGUGAAAUAGUUGUUUCCACACUUUCACACCGAAUUUACUUAGGCAGAUCUUUCAUUGUUUUAUCAAUUUAAUCCAAUACUAAUUUGUUACUACUUUCAUCAUCAAUAGCUAUACCUGCAAUCUCAAUGAAAGCAGUACAUAUUUUGCCAUAUAUCUCUUGUUGAAUAUAUAGAUUUUUCACAUCAUAACUAACUUUCACCUUACUGUAGUAUCUCCUCACAUAUUUCUUCCAUUUUGAUAAAAUGACAUUUCUGAAAGCUACAUUGUUAUAUAUCAGCAGUGCAAGGGCAUGUCUAUAAAGAAUCCCCCCUAAACAUAAACUUUGAAUAGAUACAGUUAACUUCACACUUAACUUCUUUAAAAACAACCUCAAAACUUCUUUUCUUACCUUACCCAUAUGAUUCAUUGAUCAUAUACUGAUUCUACAAAAUCAAGUAUAUCACAAUACAUAAGUCCAAUUAAUUCUUGUUGAUACUCUUUAAAUUUAAAAAUGGUAUACACCUCUUCAAUUUGCUUCUUCAUCUCAUAUCUUAUUACACGUAAAGUCUUUUUGCUUAAACACUUGAGAUCUACUAGCCAUUCUAAUUCAGCUUUCUUUUUCAAUAUAUUUUCAUAUUACUUCAUAAAUUGCUUCAAAUUUAUUGUUAACAAUCCUGCCCGAAAAUUGUCUUUCAAAUAGCAUGAAAUCCAACGAUGCUGCUCAUCAUAUAAACCAUUUAACCAAUCAUUAUUCCAUAAAUCAUAUAUUGUAAUCAUGUUAUGACAAGCUUUCUCAGACACAACAUGACUCAAUGAAUCAUAAGCAAUAAAAAGUAGUAAAGAAAUAAUCCUUUCACAUUCUUUAAAAGCCCCUAACUUUUAAGGCACCUUCUUCAUUAUACGCCACAAAUACUAUCGAUGCCUUGUCGAAGGAAAAAAAAUUCUUUGUUGCUUUUUGCAUUGCUUUGUCUUGGUCUGUAACGAUACCAAUGGGAGGAAAACAAAACAUGCAUGAUAGCCACACCUUAAAUAAUUACGUAAAUGUCUCUGUAUCCUUAUGUAAAGUUAAUCUGCAUCCUAACAAAAUAGAUCAGUCAUGAUGAUUAGCUCUGACAAAAGGAGCAAAUGACAUGUCAUACUUGUUUGUAAGAUAUGUUAUGUCAAAUGCGAUGACGUCUCCAAGAUAUUUGAAAGUUGCCCUACUCUUACUCAUCCAAAUUAAUGCCAAAAAAAAAAUGGCGCUCUACUUAAUUUUUCUAGAAGUAUUUUAAAAUUGCUAUAACAUAUCCUUCUCCAAACUAUAAUCGCUUUGUUUUGUCAAUAAGAUUUCUACAAUCUUUCUCUAAGAAUGAGACAUUUUCAUUCAUGUCAGCUUCGAUAACAAUAUAAUUAAAAUUCUGGGCAAUGUUAAUUCCCGCACAAUCAUUCCUUUCAAUACGCUUUUUUGCACUUGCACUAAUUCUACGGUUACAAGGAAAAUACCUAACUUUAUCCAGACUAAAUCCAUCAUUAUGUUUGAAGGUUUAAAAUUCGAAGAACCUAUUUUCCAUCUUCAUUCAUACAACCUCUAAUUCUAGCAUCAAACUAAUUUCCACAAUAGGUUUCUACUUUAACACAUUAGUAGAAUUACUUUCUAACUUGUUGUUACGACCACAUGCAAAUGUCUCGUAUUUUACAUUCCCAUUACUCCCUUUAUUACUAGUUAGCUUCUUCCUAUGAAAUUCUUCUUCUUUACCAUAGGCUUUGUAAAAGGCAAACAUUUUCUCAUGACUACCAAAUGACAUCCUAAGAGUUGGCUCAUAUUUUAUCGAUUGCACAUCUUCGAUUGCAAGCUAGUUUUUCAAAUUUUCCAUUUCGACAAAAUAAUUAACAUUUGUAUUAAGAGUAAGUUAUUAUAAAUUUUUAUCCAGCAAAAAUUUAAUCCAUUAAGUUUCGAAAAAUUUAAAUUUAAAAAAUUUCUAAAUCAAAAAUAAUUAUCAUUAUCCUUUAUCAUUUAUCAUUAUCAUCUAACUAGUAAAUUGCUUCCAAGAGUAUUAGAGAUUGCUAUCAUUUGAUCUCUAAAACAGUAAAACUUAAGCAAAACGCAAGUACAUUUCUAUUUCAUCGAGAGCAAUGGCUAAGUGCUAUUAUUACGAUACAACAUAAAUUAAUAUUCCAAAAAAAAUUCCAUCUUUAUAAUUAAACAAUUGUCACCAAACAAUAUAAACUGAAAUCCAUCCGGCUAAACACAUAAUGAUUAAAAAAAUAUGAAAACAAGCAUAUGGGGAAUUCACAAAAUUAAUCAAAGAAUGCACAAAACACAAAAAGUUAUCAUUUUCUUUAACCACUGACUAUAACAAUAGCAAAAAUCUCCUCACGUUUGGGUUCUUCCUUGACAGCAGACUCAACAGCCUCAAUAGUGAGUUCGGCUUCGGCUUUGAUAGCAGUUUCAAGUUCUGCUUCCGAAUCUUAAACGGGUAGCGCUUCUGUUUGGGAGAAUUUAUGUAUGAAUGAAAAUGCGGGCCUUUUGUAGAGUUUUGGUGAAGGAAAAUAGUAGAGCUUCAAUUUUGAAAGAAAAAGCAGAGGAUGAGGAUUAUAUUUGGUGAUAGAGGAGCCCGUAACUUAGAAGAGCAUGCACUUUUUUUGGAUACCAGAAGGAAAUAGGAUCGAAGGAUGGAUGUGCUUUCGUAGGAUUUCAAUAUCAAAAACUCAAAUUAAACAAUUAAUGGAUCGGUUUUUCCAAAUUUUAAAAUAAUAAAUUACCAGCUUUGAUUAUGGAGUUCUUUGGGUCAUACAGUGAUCAAACAAAUUUGAACGCGGUUAGUCAAAUUUUAAUAACUAAUUGGUACGUGGCGUUGUUAAACCAGAUCGAUGCUACACAAAGUGAAGCCUUUGGACCCAGAUCUGACUUAGAACAGAUCAAUAGUCCGCACGUUCGGGUUUCCAGCCGAUAUACCAACUUAGUUUUAUUUUACCAAGUAAAAUUAAAUUACUUUAAACGUGGUUGAUUCGUUUUAUUGGGCUUUUAUCAGAUUUAGAUUAGGUUCUUUUAAAGGUUUGGGUACAUACACAGUACCAGAUCCGGAUCCCGGAAAUAGUGCUCUGAAGGAAUGGAGGGAGAAGAGAAGAUUUACAACUGAGGAUCGAGAUCUGGUCUCUUUGCCUCAGAGGAACGUACAGUUUAUAUGGCAGAUCUGAUAGAGAUCAGUCUGCAAGCAUGCUUUGUAAAAUAAAAUGCUUUGAAAUUAAAUUGCAGAAAUUUAAAUUACAGGUAAAGAACUAGUCUGAUCACCCAAUUCUUUUUAUUAUUUUUUUAAUUUUUUAAUUGUUGAAACCAAGAGAGAGAGAGAAGCAAAACGACAGCAUGUGCAGCAGUUUCUCUUAAGUUUCUCAACACUUAGCAAGGCUCUAAGAGAAAUUAAUUAUUUUAUUUUAUUUCUUUUCAUUUCUAUUUCUUGAAAAGAAAGCAAAGCUUCAAGACCGCAUAUCUAUCUCACUUAUGUCUAACUUAUUUUUAGUUAAAGUUUGAUUAUAUGCUUUCGGAUUGUUCUAGCUUACAUCGAAGUUAUAUUGGAGUUGCAUAUGCUCCUUUGAUUAUAUUAACAAUGGACCAUGUUUUUUUUAGCUAAAGGCUCCUAGUGCUUAGGGACAUGUACAUGAUUUUUUUUUUUCUGCUGAGGCACAUUCAAAAUAUAUUAAAAUUUCACAUAACAAUAUAUAGGACCACGACUAUAAUAUUCAUUAAUAACAUUUACACUCACCAAUGAGUUUUCAUGUUUUGAAAAUGAUGUAUGGUAACUUUAUCGUUAGUUCAUGGUUUAGCUAGCAUUCUCUUGGUGGUGAUUAACGCAAUAAUAAAAGUAAUGAAUCAGUGUCAAUAAGAAUAAGUGACAGAUCUAGAGUUUGCUUUAAUUACUUGUUGGUUUAUCUAAGAUGAUAAGAAUAUCGAAAUCUAGAGUGUACCUAUGUUAUAUAUUUUCUUUUAAACACAAAGAGAAAAGACAAAGAAAGAUGGUAAUAUAUUUUGUAAAAUCAAAAUAGUUAUUUUAAUUUUAAAAAGCUGAACUUUUAGACAUAGGACAAAUUGGAUCUUUUCAAAAUCAACUAGAAUAUUUUCAUAGUUUCGAAACUAAAAUAGAACAUUUUUAUAAAUUUUAGUGAAAUAAAUGUCAUUUCCAAAAUCAUUCUUUGAAAUUUUCUAAAAAGUUAAAAAUCAUUGAAGCUUGUGCCUCUCAGCUAGGGUUGAACAUCAGAUCGGUUCGAAUGGGUAUUAGUAUAAACUAAAAUUUUGGUCCUAUUGAUUUUGAAUAACCAAAAAGACUGAACCAAAAAAUGUACCGAACCAAUACUGAGCUGAAAACAUCAGAUUCGGUUUCAGUUUUUUGAAUAUGGAACUUAUUAAAAAAAAUUAAGAACUUUGCUGCUUACUCUUUGCAGAUUUCAUCAUAUUAUUUCCAUGAUCUUUGUACUAAAGAUAUUUUUAAAUUAAUAAUUCAAAAUAAAAUCUAAACAUAAUAAACAUUAAAAAGAGAAAAUAUAAAGAAAUCUUUUUUCUUUCACUACUACAACAAUACAAACCGAAAAAAAAAAAAAGCAAAGGAAAACAAGUAAAAUCAAAUUUGCAAAAGUUGAAAGGUGGAUGAUGAAUUCAUAAAGCAACAACAAACGAGAUGUGCACCUGCAGACACGACAGUGGAGGUGCGGGCUAGAGGCGUUCGACGAUAAGGAAAUAUUAUUGGUGGGUUAAACUUUUGAGAUAGAGAUUUGUGAGAGGUGGGUUUGAUUUUGGGGACUAGGGUUUGAAUUAGAGAAGGAGUUUUAUGAGGAUUUUGAUUUUGUAUGCUAGGAUUGGCGAUUUCAUUUAUUAAGGGUGUUCAGAAUUCAAUCGGACCCGUAAAAAUUCAAUCCAUGUAUUGGUGGAUUAGAUUGGAUUGAAAAUUUGAAAAUCCGCAAUCGGUGAAUUAGAUAUGGAUUUACUUCUGUAAAUCCGCAAAAAUCCGCAAAUCCACAAAAAAUAUUUGUAAACAUGGCAUUAUACUUAUUAAUAAAUAAAUAAGUUAAAAUAUAGUUAUGUUAACACCAUAUUAUAUCUUAUCCGAUAUAACAUAAAAUAAAAUUAAUUAAAUAAAAAAUAUAGUUUUUUAAGUAGUUAUUUUCUAUAAAUUGAUAUAAACAAAUAAGUUCUUUUGUGUAUUAUAUUUUAAAAUUUUGAAUGUAUUUUUUUAACUUUAUUUAAACAAUUAAUUUAUUUAAAUCUUAUUUAAUUUUAAAUUUGAUCGGUAAUAAAAUUAUUUUGAUGUUAAUUUUUUUAUUUAGUUAGUUCGUAAAUAGGACAUAAUUAAAAAAAAUUUAGUCUGCAAACCAAUUCGCAAAAUGAUGGAUUGGAUAUGAAUUGGGUCAAAUCCGCAUCCGAUCCGCAGACGUAUGGAUUGAAUUUGAAUUGAAUUUCACUAAUCUGUGAAUUGAAUUGGAUUAAAAAUUUAUAAUUUACAAAAUCGUGGAUCGGAUAUGCAUUGAUAUCCAAUCUAUAAAUUAUGAUCCGCGAACACCCCUAUCUAGGGAUGGCAAUAGAUUGGAUCUGACCCAAGAUCCACGUGAUCCAAAUCCAAUCGGAUUGGAUUUGGGUCGGUUUUAAAUGAAUUUGGAUCGGAUUUGGAUAUUGAUGUGCGGAUCUAAGACGGAUAUGGAGCAGGUCUGGAUCUAUCUUAAUAUCUAAAUCCAUAUCCAUAUCCACCCAUCUUUUAAUUUAAUUUUAUUUUAAAAGUUUCUUAACAAUUGUGCAAUUAUACUAAUAUUAAUUUUAUUCAUAGCAUAUUAGUGGUAUUUACCAUGCAUUUAAACUCUUAAAACUUAAAGGUUAGUUUUGUAAAUUUAAAGGUCAGCCAGCCCUAAAGCAUGUGCAUGCAAUAUUCAAAUUGCAAGCUAAGUAAUACAACCUGUCAAUUUAUUUUAUUAUAUUGGCCAAAUAAUUUUUAAGGAAUAUAGUUAUUCAUAUAUUUAGUCAAAUAUAGUCAUAAUAAAAAUAAUAAAUGAUUGAAUAUAAAUCAUAUUUAAUUUAUAUGUCAUUAUCUAAUGUUAUAAGAAUGAGGGUGGGUGUGUCAUGGAUAUUAGAAUGAUGAAUGAGACAAUAGAAUAUUAGAUUGAUCUUACUCCUGCAAUUACUUUUAAAGGAUAUUUUAUUAUCUUAUUUGUUGUUUUGGUGUAAAAGUAUAAGCUACAAUAUUUAUUAUAUUUUUGAGAAAAAUUAUAUAAUUUAUUUGUUAUCAAUACAUUUUAGCCUUCAAUUUUCAUUCUGAAAAUUAUUACUUUUUAAUUGAUAAGUUUUAGAAUUCAUGACAAAUUUAGAGCAGAUUUUAAUUUUUUUUUUUUCGGAUUUGAAGCAGAUAUAGAUAUUUAUUUCUUUUUUGGAUAUGGAUAUGGAGCGAAAAAUAUAAAUUCAUGACGGAUCUGGAGCAGAUACAGAUCUUGAUUUUUAUUAUAGAUCUGAAUCUGGAGCAGAGUAAAUCUAACUCAUAUCUGCCCCAUUGACAUCCCUACCCCUAUCAUUUAUGAGUGAGAGGAUUAGAUUUGGAGGUUACGAUUUGGGUGAGAAAAUGAGAAAUGAAGGGUUGGUCCUGCAUUUAGGGCUAGUCAGUUAAUAACAAAUACACACACACACAUUAAUGUUACGGUGGGUAUAUAUCUAUAAUAUUAAUAUAUUCUCACCCGUCAAGUAAUGCCACGCGACAUUUGUUUAAUUUAAAAUGAAUUUAUUCGAUUUUUCGAUUCACUUUUCACAUUUAAAAUUUAGAACCGAAAACCGAGCCAGAAUAUUUAGUUUUACACCUGACUAACUAUUUGGUUUUCUUCAAAAAAAUAAAUAAAUAAAUAAAACCGAAUCGAAGUCCAAAAAACCGAACUGAACUGGUUAUUUUUCAGCUCCGGUUUGGUUUCUACCGACCCCUACUCUCAGCUAUUCUUAUAGUGACUGCCGCCCUUAGUGCUUGCUUGCUUGGUCUAUGGUCUGUUAGUGGUGCUGGUCUAUAGUCCAUGAUCUCUGGUUACCUAGCUAGACCACGGACCAACCCGUUUUCUUUUUGACCCUUUCAUCGCAGCUCAUUCUCCUAUAAGAUGAGCUGUUGCUGCUGUUGGGCUAGUUAUGUAAUGAUCGACGAUAAUGUUCACUUGUUCAAAAUAUUUGUGGCUGCAAAGCAUGUAUGGUUGUACAAUUAGCUCAUUGCGCUUAGAUUAAUGGUGAAAUUCACCCUAUUUUUUUCCCCCACGAAAAACUCAUUUUGAUGAAUAAUGUCACUAUUGUAGUUAAUGAAGAAUUACGGGAAGUUUUUCACAACAUGAACAAGUUGGGUGUCGCAUUUAUCAUUUAUCUACUAUAGAUUAGUAAUUGAAUUUAAUAUCAAACAGCAAAAAGAAAUACUAUAUAUAAAUUAGUAGAAACAGUUAAAGUCGGAUUUGUAGUUAUAUUAUACCUAGAGUAUUGAUAUUUGAUCAAAAGUAUCUGAUACAAUGGCGAUAAAAUAUCUGUAAAAGUAUAUAGUACUUAUUAUAGUGUUAAGUCAAAAUUAACACUAUUUUGCAAUUAACACUAUAAUAAUGUUACUAUUGUAGAAACAAUUAACAAUAUCUAGUAGUGUCAAUUACUAGAUAUUUACUAUUAUGAAAAAGACAUCUGAGGAUUUUCAUUCUUUAUGGUUUAUAAAUUAUUUUGUUACUUGAUUCUCCAUGCUUUUCUAGUUAGAUUAAUUUGUGUUGUCGGGAUUAUUAAUUAUUAUCACUUUCAUUAGCUACAGUUGUAUAUGGUGAACCUCCUAACAAAUUCAUAUCAAUUUAUUUUGGAUGCAUUAUCCCAUCUGUCAACCAUAUUCAACAGUAGCCAAAUUUAAUUGUGUUAUUAUUAAAUCCACGUGGCCACAUUAACUGCGCAUGGAGUAUUAAAUCUUCAAAUUAACUGUGCAUGGAGUAUUAAAUCUUCAUUCAAAGUUCCCAGUUUAAUUGCAUCGGGGCUACAUGCAAUAGAGGUGCCGGUGCUGCAAGGGUUAAUUAUAUAUCUAGCUGAUUGAAGGACCACUUAAUUAAGUUUGAUUUAUCGCCGUUCAAUGACGAGUCAAAACUUAUCGGCCUCUCUCCUUUUCCCCAUGCAACGCACGUACCGUACGCAUGCUUGAAGUUGAUCGAUGUUAAUUACAUGCACCUUAUGCAUGCAAAAGAAUUUGCUCUACUAACUGUUAAUCUUAAAUGUGAUGAGUGUGUUGUCUGCAAGUAACAGUUAAUUAUUAAGAAGAGAGAGAGUAAAAAGAAGAUCGGAAUCACGGUGAGGUUAUGAAUGCAAGUGAAGCAAUCACGUAAAUGGACAUGCACUCGAGCUGGAUGGCUGCUACAAGGCUAAGCAUCGAGAAAGCAGUUAAAAAAACAUAAUGUCCCAACAACCAACUACGUUUUAUGCCUUCUAUUUUUUUUUUUUUUUUUUUGUAGUAAUUAAUUAAUGAAUAUUUUGGGACACAGCGGGUACAAGCUCUUCUAUAAAUACGCAUGAGAGAAUAACAUGGCACUCACAAGCAGUAGUAGUGUUUGCUUUAAUUGUAUAGUGCGAGUAAUUAAUGGGAUAUAAUAUGGCGGGAAAGUCUGUUUGGGUGGUUUUGAUGGUUGCUUUAGUUGUGAGCUGUGAGUGCGUGCAGGGUAGGAAAUUAGAAGAGAAUAAGGAAGCGCAGGUGAAGAAACCAGAACUUUUCUUUGAUGGUAACCCUGGCGGCUUUGGAGGACUUGGAGGUCUUGCCGGUGGCUUUGGUGGAGGAAAGGAGGGACUGGGUUUUGGGCAUUCUUUUAGUUUUGGAAAGGGAGUAGGUUUCAGCUUUGGUACUGGAAACCCUGGCAUUGCUGGAAAGCCUGAUUGUGUUGGAAAGGGUGGCGGCGGCGGUGUUGGAGGAGGUGGUGGUGGUGGCAUUGGAGGUGGUGCUGGUGGAGGUGGAGGGAUAGGAGGUGGAGGUGGAAUUGGUGGUGGCGGUGGCACCGGUGAGCACCACAAGAAAAAGGAUAAGAAGAACCAUCAUGGUGGAGGCGGUGGCAUUGGAGGAGGCGGAGGUGCUGGUGGAGGCAUUGGCAAAGGAAUUGGGGGUGGUGGCGGUGCAGGAGCUGGUGGAGGGGGAGGAGGAAUUGGUGGUGGAAGUGGUGCUGGAGGAGGAAUAGGUGGUGGAGGUGGUGGAGGUGCUGGAGGUGCUGGAAAAGGAGUGGGAGGCGGUAUUGGUGGAGGAGGUGGUGCUGGGGGAGGCUUUGGCAAAGGGAUUGGUGGUGGUGGAGGUGCCGGAGGAGGAGUUGGGGGCGGUGCUGGUGGUGGAUUUGGUGGAGCUGGUGGGGGUGGUAGUGAUGGUGGCUUUGGUGGUGGUAUUGGCAAAGGAGGUGGUGGUGGAAUAGGUGGAGGUGGUGGUGGUGGCGCUGGAGGAGGUUUUGGCAAGGGGGCUGGAGGAGGCUUUGGAGCUGGUGGAGGGGCAGGCGGAGGAGGGGGAUACGGAGGUGGUGGAGGUGUUGGUGGUGGUAGUGGGUUUGGUGGAGGAACUGGAUUUGGUGGUGGUGGCGGCGGCGGCCCAAUUGGUGGCCGUUCAUUGAACAUUAAUAAUUUGAAGAAACCAUGAAGGAAUUCUUCAUUAUUAUCUCCUUGCUCUGUUGCCCUUUUUAAUGGUUUAUCUCAUCCUAAUUGUUUGUUGAAAAUAAAGGCUCAUCAGUCAUCUCAUUCUAAUUGUUUGUAAGUAAUUGUACGUAAUGAUGUUUGAGCAUUUCAAAAUACCUUUGUGUAUAGUGAUCUUUUUCCCCUUUUUUUCUUUUUAAUUUGGCAAAAUUAAUGUAACAGAGUUGCAUGGGAGAAAAUUGAAUCCUUCACUAUUCAACCCUCAAAACUUCCAAGUCAUGACUUGGAUAUAAACUAUCUCAAUCAUUAUAAAUAAUAAUUAUUAAUAACAUUAAACAAAUUAAAAAAUUGAAAGAUAAUUUUAAAAUUUUUAAUUUUUAAUAUAAGAAAAUUUUAAAAUUUUCACUACUUAAUGUAAAAUUUAAAUUCCAUAUUAUUAACAGAUAUUUAAUUUUAAUAAAAAUUAAAUUUUAUAUAUUUUAUUCAAUAAAUAAUAAAAAUAACAUUUAAAUUAAUUUCCUUCCCUUCUUUCUCUCCUCCCAACCAAAGAUCAGCUCUAAAGUUAUAGAUGAUGCUACAUUCAGGUUCUUAACAGUUACAAACUGCCAAAAACUUAUCGAAGUGCUGCUUGAGGCCCCCUGCUUCCACGAAGAUGAUAGAUCAUCAGCUGCUUCCCCUAAUGUCAAAUAAAGCCCAUCUGAUCUGAACGAAUCAAAAGUUUUUGGAGCUUCUCCAUUACUGUUCAAUCUAAAUUUACCACUGCCAGUACAAGCUACAAGAAAACUGCAAGAUUCUUAGCCAAUUACUGAAACACCUGAACUCAUGCACUCAUCAAUCAACUUAGCACAAAUAACUACAUCUAAUUGCUACCCUCAGUUACAACCAUAUAGUCCUAAUAAAUCUCUAAUUGUAAAUAUAUUAGUUGACUUUUGAUUUUCGGUAUUUUUAAAAAAAAAAAUCACACUUUUAACUUAACAAACAUGAAUGAGAAGAACCAAUUUCAAGAAAAACAAGCUAAAUAAUAGCCCACUUUAUUUCCAAAAAAAUAUCGAUCACAUUAACUCUUAAAAAAUUUCAGUCACAUUUAACUCUUAAUAAAUUUAUAAUCCAAGAUCAAAAAUUGAUUCUUCACUUAAAAUCCUUUAAAUGCAUCAAUAAAGAACUAAAUUUCGAAAAUAUAAACUCUCGAUUCACUUUAAUCUUUCGUGUUUCAACUUUGAAAAUACAAACUACACUAGUUCAUUUGUAAUCAACUUUUCAUGUCAACCAAGAAAAUCUCAUGAAUCUCUAAAAUAUUUAAUUCAACAAGAAAAUAAUCAAAGUCAAGAACACACAAUUGAACUUAAUCACCCAUGAAAAAAAAAAUUAACACAAUCUCAAAUUUUAAUCACUUAACUCAAUUUCAUCGUGAAUAACUCGAUUUCAUCGUGAAUUUUGAAGAGAAAAUACUCACAUCUUGGGAGUGAAAAAUAAAGAUCAACUAGUUAAUCUCAAAUCUUGAACCUAUUAUUAUAGCAGUUGCAGAUUUAACGAUUUUUACCACUCUGGUUAUCAGCAUAGCAGGGGGUGUCUUAUAUAUCAAUGAUGCUAUCAAAUCCAAUAAAAUAUUGUCAAUAGAACACAAACCGAAUCACCAAUGCAGAUAGACAGCAUGCCGAAGUACCGCAUUUCCGAAAUCUUGCAUGUAGUAGAAGUGCUUUGGUAAAUAAGAUCAAAACGGCAUUCCAAAACGUUGAAUCUUCUUGCCUCAUAUACUUCCUUUGCCUGACCAAAACAAACAACUACAUGCUUUGCAAGCAAAUACGGUCAAUAAAAUUGUACAGAAAGUUCUAAAAUUGACAAUUGAAGAUAUGUCGAUCUUCUCUCAUUCGUGGUUAGAAUGGCGGAGUUAAAUGUUAGAAGCAAACAACAGAAAUCUAAGCUUAUUACUUAAAUUUGAAAACAAAAUUAUUGUAUCUUAAUAAGGAUGGAUACUUUUGCAAAAUAGUCUUCUUAAGACAGUUACCGAAAACAGCAAGCAGAAAGUUCGUUUUUAAUGAGAAUUCUGAACUAAAUCUAUCCGAUCUGCAAUUAUCCCAAACGCCCAAAUCCACCAUUUCUUGUCAGAUUCACAUUUAGCACGAGUUUGAGGCCCUUACCCUUAAACUCUAGGGUCAUCAAGUGGUUCAAUAAACUAUUCUGAUCUCUGGAUAGAGCCCAUCAACUUAACAAUUUUAGCGAAGCAAAAACCACCAAUGUCAGCGAUGUAAAUUGAUAAAACCAGGCAAUUAGUGCCAGGUUGAUCGAACACAAAACAACAUCCCAAAGCCAAGACCAUAGAUAAUAAGCAUAUCAUCGAUUAAAUUUCUUCUCAUAAAAAAUAAAAGACAAUGCAUUUCAAAAUCUAUAAACAUGCUCUCAAUGUCAAUUUCAAAUGAUUAAACUACUUGCAUUACCAUCAAAUAUCCACGCAUAACAUCAAUUUAUCAGUCCAGACCGGAUACAAAUUUAAAGUACAUAAAGUUCAACCUCCAAUAGAAACACAUCAACAAACUGUUGAAAGAAGAAUCGAACCUGACACACUCACAAGCGAACGUACCAAAAUGCAAAAUCUAACAAAGAUAACGUUGGUUAACGCUGAGAUCAUGCAUCAUGCACGCCUUUUACUCAACCGCCAAGAAUUCGGUUCAUGAUAUCUAUCAUAUAGCGGUUCAAUGCGUUCUUGACGCUUGCGCUUGCUUAUUUUCGUGGGAUCUGCCACCUUGAAGAAUUUUGGUGCCAAGUCUGCAAGCCACCUUGGAUCUAUAGCUAUUACCUCGCGCAUGUAUUCCUUUGUUGUCAUUACCAACUCGUUGUAAAUGACCCAAUCAGGCUGUCUUUGAAAAAGAGCACUGCUAGGGUGGAUAUAAACCGGCUGGUUCUCGACAAGAGUCUGAUAGCCCUCCUGUGGGUCCUUUCUAGCUGCAUUAAAAAAGAAUCCAGAAGUAAUGGCCUUCCUUAUCUUCAGGAAAUCUUUUCCAGCACUGACAACGCCCAACUUAUAUUUAUCCAUGAUGGCCAGAAGUUGCUUUCUCACAUCCUGUGCCUUCUUCAAAGAUCGAGAGUUAACAAAGUUCUCACCACACCAAGGCAAAGAAAAGUUCUUGGCUUUCCAAGCCUCAUACACUGCAAGCAAGGUCAAAUGAUCUCCCUCGGGCUGGAAAAACCUGGCUCUUUUUUCAUCUGCUUUAGCCUGUCUUUCCCUGGGUCUGGUGAAGAUAUGGCCAGUUUGAAUCAUGGCGAUGAUCGUUAAUAUCUCAUCACUGCAACCAAGGUCUACACUUGCUAGCAGCAUCUUUGAUAAUGGCGGAUCUAGGGGAAAUUCUGCCAUUUUCUUACCUAAUUUAGUCAGAAGUCCCUCCUCAUCCAGAGCUCCAAGACUGUAUAAUUGCUCCAUGGCAGAAAUAAGAGCUUGGGGAGAUGGAGGAUCCACAAAAUCAAAAGACAGCAGAUUAUUGAUUCCCAUAGCCUUCAUAGUGAGGGUAGUAUGUACAAGAUUAAUCCUUUGGAUUUCUGGAAUUGUAGUAGGGGACAUCUCACUGCGAUAUGCACUCUCUGUGUACAAGCGGUAACAUUUUCCAGGCCCAGUACGGCCAGCACGCCCAGCUCGUUGCAGGGCUGAUGCUUGUGAAAUUGGAGUUAUGACCAGUGAAUCAAGCCUUUGCUUCGGAUUAUAGACAUUUUGCUUUGCAAAGCCGGGAUCAAUAACAUAAAAUAUCCCAUCAAUAGUCAAAGAAGCCUCAGCAAUGUUAGUGGCCACAACCACUUUCCUCCCCCCUGGAGGGGCAGGUUCAAAUAUUCUUGAUUGAAUUUCACUUGGCAGCGCACUGUAAACUGGUAAAACAACCAGUUCAGGAACAUCUUUACCCAGGGCUUUAAUCUUCUCGCAAAGCGACUCACAUGCAAAAUCUAUCUCCUCUUGACCCGUCAAGAAAAGAAGAAUAUCACCUUCAGGUUCAUCGACGUGGAUCUGCAAGACUGUGAUCAAUGCUGAAUCUAGAUAAUCAGUUACCACCUGUCUGGAGUAGUUUAUAUCAACUGGAAAUGUUCUCCCUGGAAUACUGAAGAUGUUGCAGUUGAAGAAAUAUCCCGAAAAUCUCUCUGCAUCCAACGUGGCAGAUGUGACAAUCAGGCGUAGGUCAGGUCUCCGUUUCACAAGCUGCUUAAGUAACCCAAAAAGAACAUCAGUGUUGAUUGUCCUCUCAUGAGCUUCAUCGAGCAUAAUGACAGAAUACUGAGAAAGAUUCUCAUCAAUCAAAAUCUCCCUAAGCAACAUCCCAUCAGUCAUGUACUUGAUCACAGUAUCUGGUCCAGUACAAUCCUCAAAUCGAAUGGCAUAACCAACCUCCUCUCCCAAACGACAGCCAAACUCUUCAGCAACCCUCUUGGCCACAGAAGUUGCAGCCACCCUACGGGGCUGGGUACAUCCAAUCUUGCCCUUCGUAGUGUAACCAGCCUCUGCAAGAUACUGUGCCAAUUGGGUUGUCUUACCUGAACCAGUCUCACCAAUGAGUAUUAGGACCUGGUUAUCAUGAACAGCCUGGAUUAGUUCAUUCUUCAAUUUGAAAAUUGGCAAGCUCCGCCUCUGUUCCUGGAUGGAGAGCUUUGACCUUUGUCCAAAAGUGAAUGCUUUCCCGUAUGCAUUCUUCUUCCAUUCAGGCAUGUCACGAGCAGAUAAACCAACACCCCUGAGCUCCUGUGCUAGAUGCCUCUCACCAGUCUCUGGCAUUGGGUCCUCCCAAGGACGAUUUAGAUCCUUUGGUAUGGAAUCAAUCAUUGUCCUCAGCUGUUGUUCCCUCACUUCUCUCCUUUCCUUUGUAAGAGCUGAUUGGAGUGCAGCAGUACGACUCAAUGACCCCUCAGGAUUUUUGAAGACCUUCACUGGUGACAAAUCCACAGAAACCCUGGUCUGCCCCUGUAGAAAAGCAGGCUGAUCCUCACUCAGUUCAAUCUCAAGUUCUUCCUCAUCACCCUCUGCCCAAGAAGCAAACCCCUCCUCUUCUUCCUCAUCAUACCUAGGGUACUCAUUGGAAGCCAAAACCCCUGAAACUCCUCCCAUCCUACUCACCGGCAUAUCCUUCAACAUCGGCGGAUUACUCUUACAAUAUCUCCCACUUCUUUCUCUAUCAUUCUCAAACUCAGCCUUAUAAUUUGUUUUCCGAUCACGACCACUCUUUUUCUUUGAUUGCAAUUUGGGUUUGGGAUGAAGAAUGGUAUGAAUGACAUUAAACAGCGUGCGGACAAGAUAAUUAGGCAAAUCAGCACCGUAUUCUUUCAAUUUAUCAUCAAAUAUCUCUACGGUUUCAGAAUUACGGCCUGACUCGGAGAUAAACUCGGCUAAUACUUUGUCAAUAAAACCCAGAUGAGUUUCUAACUCGGAACAAAUUUUAGAUAGCAGGGAAAGAUACGUUAGUUCUCUAAUGCCGUUGUCUAAGGCCAUCGAUGGUUAAACUAGUGCACGGAAAAGAAAGAAAUUUAAAACAAAUAAAAUAAACGAAAAAUUUCUCGGAGGAAGGGUUUUGGCGUACCUAAAUUCGUGAUCGCAAAGAUAAUAAGAAUGAAAAUUUGUGAAUGCCCAACUGCUGCUGACGUUUAUAUAGCUCUCGGGUGGCUUGCGGUGCACGCUUGGCGGGCCCGCGGAAAUAACUUCAGAGUCCACGAGACUUGACUUUGUGCCCAAGCCGUGUUGACUGAAAUGUUUGAAUCAAAUAAUCCCGGAGAAAAAAAAUGUGGGAAAAAAAAAGCGAAAAGGGCUAACUUCCCACAACACCCAGAGGUUUCUUAAAUGACACCGAGCCCAAUGUUUUUCUUUUUACUAAAGUGCUCGUGGCGGUGGCAUCUGAAUAUAUCAUAGGAUUGAAUGGAUUGUAAUUUCAAUUUUUUCAAUAAAAAGUACCAAGUUAUUGCCGAUUAUAUUUACUAAGUAGCUUAAUUUCAUUACACUUUAAAGCUGGCUAAAGAAAUGUUAUUUAACAUAAAAUCAACUAUUUUCUUUAGUGUUGCAGUCGCAUUAGAUGAUGCUACAGCUAUGCAAUCAUUGCAAUGUUUACUGAUAAUUUGAUAUUUUGCGUCAACACUGUUGUUGAAUAUAUAUAUAUAUAUAUAUAUUCUCAGACGCUCACGUUUUUUUAAAUACGGAUAUAUUUUUAAACCGCACUUUUAAACCGUGCGGUUUAAAAGAAUUUAUUUUUAAAUUAAUUAUAAAACCAUGGGUUUAAAAAGUUAAAAAUUAACUCUUUUAAAUCCUAAAAUUUUAAAGUGUAUCCAUAUAAAAAUAAAAUAAGGACAUCUACACUAGAGAAGAACUAAAUAUAUAUGUGUGUGUGUAUAUUAUAUACAUAUAUAUACAAUCAAUUGCGAAGUAGGGGUGUUUUAUUUGCUCUUUCAAAAUGGCCAUUUUAUGCUUUUUAUGAUGUAAAUUAACGUGCUUGUUGAUGGAAUUAGCGUGCGGUGAUCCAUCCAAAAAAGACUUGGAUGCACGGUGCCAUUUGUCGAAACAUUUGGGUGCUGCCAAAAAUUAACCCAAGUAAUAAUUAAUUAAUUAAUGCUCAGUCUCAAAGCCUGAAAAAUAUAACAAAACAUUAAAUAAGCUGAAAAUUGAAAACAUCAAAAUCAAGCAAUGUUCAUAAUGGGUAAAACAGAGGAGCUAUUCAAAUUGAAGCCUCAAAAUUUAACCCUCAAAACUUCCAAAUCAUCACUUGAAAAUCAUCAAAACAUUGGUCGAAGAACUUGCAAAAUUACAAGUAAUAAGAAGAAAAAGAAAAAGAAAAUUCUAAUUUUUUGCUAAUGGAGAUAUAUUCUCGUAAACUCUUAUCAUCAAGCUAUGGUGAUGAAAUACACAAUGUAUAGGAUGCUAGAAUAUCUGUACUUACAAAUGCUACAUUCUGGCUACUUGCAAACUACCAAAACCUUUCUAAGCUUAUCUAAGGCCAGUGCUUCCAUGAAGAUGAUAGAUCAUCAACUGCUUCCCCAACAGUCAAAUAAAGUCCUUUUGAUCUGAAUGAAUCAAGAGUUUUUGACUGGUGAAGCUUCUCCAUUACUGUUCCAACUAAAUUUACCAGCGCGAGCUACAAGAAAUUGAAUGACCAUAAAAAAAACAACAAAAAGUGAAGAUGUUUCCCAGGGAAACAGCAGAUGUCUUGACAGUAGUAAGUUUGUUUCCUCACCUGAAGCGAUCUUUUGUCCAUAUUCUUUUUAAGUUCCGAUAUGGCAUCUAUACCGCUGGUAUCAAUUGCAGUCACAGCUGCAGUUUGUUAAAGAAGCCAAGUUAGCUUUUGUUCAUUACUUGACACUUGAGAUUGGAUGUGGAUAAAUAUUUGCAUAUAUACCAGUCAUGUCCAGAAUUACACAUUUCAGGGCCCUCUCAUUGUUUUCUCGGAUCCUGUUUUCCUCACCCCGCACCCAUCUUGAAAUCCUGCAACCAAACAAAACGUAAGCAAUCCUCAGAGACGAGAUGGCUAUGACCUACUUGAAGAUCUGAUGGUUGAUAUAUAAACACAGUUCUUGACAAACUAAUUACAUACCUUUCUUGGAGAUAUAAUGAGUUUGCAAAAAAGAUUGGAGAUUCAAUGCUGAGAAUGAGGAAGGACGGAACCCUUGUUGCGUUCUCAUAAUGAUUGAGGCUUCGGAAUAUCUGAGUUCCCGGAAUAUUCCCCAAAACCACUGUGUUUGGCCUUGUCACGUGGAGAAUAAUCUUGAACACGGAAACUCCAACCUGACUUUUCAGAACAAAAGUGUCAGUUAUUUGAGUGAUGGAAUAGAUGGAAUCGAAACUUAUCUAAAAAACUUAUAAAUUGAAGAUUCAUCUGUAAUGUUUAAGAGAAGCAGUAUGGAGUACUUCUAAUGUGUAAGGAAUAGAAUGUUACUUUACUCACAGCUAUGGCGAGCCCUAUUUGCACAGAGAUAAAUAGAACACCAAAGAACGAGCAACAACAGGCAACAAAAUCAAGCUUAUCAAGCUUCCACAAUCGCAAUGCAGCCUUGUAGUCUACCAGCCCAACAACAGCUGUUAUGAUAAUUGCUGCUAAGACAAAGUCUGGUGUGUAAUGGAAGAGUGGCAUGAGAAAAAGCAGUGUUACAAGCACCGUUGCUGCCAUAACUAUAUUCGAAAAUAUAGUCUUUGCCCCAGCAUUGUAGUUCACAGCAGAUCGAGAGAAAGACCCUAAAAGUUGUUUAAGAAUAUAUGGUUAUAAACUUAUAAUGUUUAGCAUUUGUGGUACAAUUAUGAUGAACAUUUAAAAUGUAGUUGCCUGUGGUAACAUAGCAUGAGAAGCAACAUCCAACAAUAUUCAUAAAACCGAUUGCAAUCAUUUCUUUGUUUCCAUCCACUUGAUAAUUGUGCAGAGAAGCAAAUGUUCUUCCUACGGCAAUUCCUUCCUAUCAUAAAAUAAAGUAUGAUCAUUAGCCGCUUAGAAAAUAAAACCGAGCCCUUAUAAUGAUACAUGAAGUUUAAAUGGAAAAAUUCCAAAUGUUUGAUGCAUUACCGUGCACUAUUGUCAAAAAUGAUUUCAAUAUUAACGUGAGGCUGCUUACAGUGAGAGAUAAUAUGCCAGUUAUAAUGCCUGUUUUGAUUGCAAGUUGUAGAUGAGGGCCGUGGAAAUAUAGCUUGUUUUCUGAAGUUGGGUUCACACCCUUUGGCAAAUGACCAAUCUGUUGUUGCACAACAAUGAAUCAUGAAAUGAAACCAUAUCAAAUUAACCCCCCAGAAAAGAGUAAAUAUUUAAUCUUAAGCAAAAAUUCUCUGAGCAAUCAGUUGCUUAAGCAAAUCAAUUUUCAUAUGAAAGAACAAAGCAAAUGCUAGGAGGACUACAUAUUUCUUACUAUUGAAACGUGCUUAAGUUUGGAUUUUAGAAGAAAGAUCAAGAGACUUGAAAGAAUGACAGAUGUUAAUGGAGCCGCUGCUGAAACCCAGAAGAGCCUCGGUUUUCUCGUACUCUGUAUUUUUAAGUCCAGAAUCACAAAUGAUUUCUAAAGAUAAACGAAAUAAAAUGACAAACUUGAGUUUAUUGGUAAUAGAAAUAUACUCACUAUAAAUCUGGCUACCAGUAGAAAUAUUAGAAAACAGAAGCCCAUUACAAUAGUUUCCCAUUUCCACUGCAGAUAAAAAAUGCAAAACUUUAUCAUAGUAAACUUUCCUUCACUCACAAGCAUGCAUUUAAACAAUGAUGCAUGUGUAUUUAAUUAAUUUUGCUUGGUAUGCUUGAUAGGAUGCGUUUGUUCUGUUCCUCACCUCUUUUAUGCUAUUGAAAACAGACUCCAAAACAGGAAUUAAUUCCAUGUCGCUGGUGAAAUGAGUAAUCCCAAGUAAUCCUUUGAGUUGCUGUAAGGACACAAUGACUGCUGCUCCAGCCAUGAACCCAAUCAGAGUUGCCUUUGACAAAAAAUCUAUUAUGAAACCUAACCUACAAAAGGUCCAUCUCAAAAUCAGUUCUCUUCAUUCUUUAAAACUUUAAGAUAAAAAUAAUAAUAAGAGUUAAAAUUUGUGAUUUCACUAUCAAUCCAUGUUAGCUUUUUGAUAAAUAUUCACGAGUCUGUGGAAUCUCCAUUAGUUGUUAGGUAAACUUUGUAACUUUAUUUUCCAUCAUUCUAUUUUGACCAAUUUUCUAUACUUUGAAGCAAUUGCUUUGUUUUUAAAUUCUUAAGCCGCAAUAUAUGGUAAGGUGGUCUGUCAUUGUAAUUAGGUCUACCUGAAGCUAAACCCUUCAAAUUUAAGGGGAGAAAAAAGAACAAAUAUUAAUCUUUAAACUUUAAACUUGAAUGUCAUGUAAUAAUAGGUGGUUCAGGUCCAUACCUAAAAAUCCCUAACGAAGCUUGAAAUAAACCGGCAAAAAGAGUGGAAGUGAAAGCCAGUUCGAGAUAGAGAUCUUUUUUAUUUGAAUGAGAAACUUCUCCAUCCAGCAUUGUACCCAUUACCAAGGAUGCUACUGAGACCGGGCCAAUGCCUAUGUGUCUUGAACUUCCAAGAACAGAAUAUACUAUUGGUGGCACAAAGCUUGAAUCUGUAAAAUAUAUAAAUAUAUAAUUCUUUCAUUUAAAAAAAAAUGGUAAAACAUUUAUUCUUACAUAAUCCAAUUAUAGGCUGCAAGUUUGCAAGUUUAGCAUAACUGAUCCCCUGCAAAUGCCAAAAUUAAAAAAAAAAAUUGUAUAAAGAGAAAGAAGAAACACGAAUAAAUAAUGAAAAAUAAAAGAAAAAGAAAUGCAUGCAUGCUUUGGACCUGAGGGAUGGCCAGGCUUGCAAUGGUGAGACCAGCAAUAAGAUCGGAUCUAAAGAGUGAAAGACUGUAAUGGGGUGCCCAUCGAAGUAUAGGAAACACAUAUUGAAAAGCGAGAACAAGCUUUCUUCUCCAACUCUGAUCCUUGAAAAUGUGCAAGGGAUCAUCUGGAAAGAAAAUCUCGCGUAGCCUGUGAUUUAGUUUUUGCCAGGUGGUGACAUGCGGUGGCAGGCAAACAGGGUGAAGCUCCGACGAAGACUUGCUGGUGCUGGUCGCGGUCGUGGUCGUGUUAUUGUUGUCUUCUAAAGAGAUUGAGAUAAAAUCGGAUGAAUUGGUGUACGAAGAAUAAUCUUCUUCUUCUACUCGAUUGAGGCUUGUGCCCAUAAUUUAAUUUUGGCAGCGAAAACGGCAAAGGUUUUGUUGCAGCCACAUUAAAAAAAAUGGAACAAAAAAAUGAAAACGAAGUUUGCUUCAAUGGUUAUAGAAAAAGAAGAAGACAAGAGAGGACUUGGUUCAUUUCAAAUUAAGAGGGAUAAGAGAAAAAGGUGGUAGUUACAAACAGUUUUGUUUUGCCAGAGGGCAAUUUAACGGCUCAGGUCUUUCAGAGAAAUAUCUCCGCUCUCAUCGAAGCGAUUAUUAAUCACGCUCUUAACUACCGAUGGUAAUUUUUUUUUUUUUUUGGAAAGAAAAGUAUAAUUACCCAAAGUGUAUACAUUAAAAGCCUCAUAUAAGAAAUUACUCCCACAGUUAUCAUGGAGGUUCAAAUCCUCUACAUUAGAGUUAAGGGGAGGAUGUGUUAGAGAUAGCAAUGAUUCAUAUAAUCUAAUCCAAACGAAUCAAAUUUGGAUUAGUCUAAAAUAGAUUUAGAGUAGUGUAACUGGACAUAGAUGAAUAGAUCCAAGAUAGAUCUAAAGUAGGUUUGGAUCUAACUUAAAAUCUGAUCCAAAUCCAUAUCCAAUUAAAAGCCUUUUAUUUUUAUUUUAUUUUUAAAAAUAUUUAUAACCAUAUAGAAUUUAUUACUUAAAGUCUUUUACAAUCAAAUUAAGCUUACCUUAACUUACUAAAAUCAAAGCCACACAAAUAAGUUGCAAUAUUUAUUAGAGUUUUCUUAAUUUUAUUUUGGGAAGAAUUGAAUGUUUUAUUUGAUACCAAUAUAUUUUAAUCUUCUUUGUUAGAAAAAUUUGUUAUUAUUUGAUUUUCGUUGUUAGUUUUGUAGUUUAACAAAGUUGAUUUUAUUUAAACUUCUAUUAUAAUAGAUUAAAAAAUUAACUUUACUUGUUAAAUAUUUAAAAUUGAUGAAUUCACGACAAAUAUUGAAGCAAGUUUGGAUCUUAAUGUUUUUAUAGAUUUAGAGCAAGUUUAUAUUUUUAUCUUUUUCAAUCAGAUAUGAAUAUCGAGCAAAAGCCAUAGAUCCACGAUUGAUCUAGUGUAGAUACGAAUCUCCCUUUUUAUCAUGGAUUUGUACUUAAGAGUUUAGUAGAUCUAACUUAUAUCUAUCGCGUUGUCAUCCUUAGGAGGUGCCGACCAUCCCAUUCAAUGAGUUGUUGGUUUUUUUUUAUUAUUAUUUUCGAUGAGUUGUUGGCUUAUUCCUUGCACUUUGAUUAUAUUUGUAUUGUCCUAUUCAUCUCUCAUCAUGAAAUUUAAGGCUCUCAAUACGUGACAACAGUCAAUUUCUGAACGGAAUAUUAAAAAUCUUUAACACACUUAUUGUUGACCUCAGGGAUCUCACAAAUCUUGAUUUUAAUGAAAACAAACUAUAUGGUAAGGACAAUAUGGAAAAGAGAAAAAAAAACACUUUUGAAUUUUAUUAGUUCUUGAAGAUCAAAAGUCAUUUGUGUAAGAUCAAGUUCAAAGGACUCAAAUUACAUGUUCAUCAAGUCAGACUCACACUCAAAACACUAGCUAAGGUGAAUAUUCAUUUUCAUAAUUCUUAUAAAACUACUUUGUCUACAUUUAUGUAUGAUUAGCAAAUGUGAGUUCAAAAGUCUUUUAUGCGUUUCAUCCACCAAAAUUCUUGAAUCUUUUAUUAAGUUAUGGUUUGGUGACAAAGGUGCUUUGAAAAUGCUUGAAGAAAAUAAAAAUUAAGUGUUUUGUCAAAAUGAUUAUUUUUCAAGUAAAUGGAUUAGUUUAAAAAAAUUUAAAUCUAUUUAGAAUAUUGAAAAAAUAAGCACGGUUGAAAUUCUAGAAAAGAACCUAUUUGUAAAUGUAUAUAACAUUUUACAAUCCAUAAUUUUAAAAAUUUUAGGGCCAAAAUAUAGAUUUAAGAAUUCGAGGAAUCAGCCAAACAAUCAUUCACCUUGGAAUUAGCACUCAUCCGCUAACGCUCGGUUUCAAAUUUAAUUAUCCAUUUAUUUUUAGCAUGAUUCAUUGUAAUCUUAAAAUUUCAAAAUUGCCUCAAUGGUCAAUUGUCACCUAAACAAACGGUUGUAUGUUCAUAUUACUAGUUAUUCGUUUGCGCACAAAUUGUCUAAUUUUAAGAGAGUAACGGCUAGUUUUUGCUUAAAUCUAUAUAAACCAAUAUUCUAACCAUUAGAACCAUUGUUGAGCUGCUUGAGCAUGAAAUUUGUAUAUUCUCUCAACUAUAACAUACUCUUGAGCUCUCAAUUACUUUCAUUAAUAAUCAUAUACAAGCUUGUAUUUAGAUUUGUAUAUUUAUUCUUAUGAGGAGUUUAUUGUUUAUUGAACUUAUUUCUUUCAAAUUGAAUGAGUGUUGGAAAAUACUUAGUUUGAGAACGUGUGGGAUAUACAUCACAUUUUAGAUAAUUUCUAAUUUGAGUUACGCUUAACAAGCUAAUCAAAUAUUGCCGAAUGAGCAAAGACACUCCACGAGAGAGGCCACACACUCGGCUUACAAACUGGACCAAAUAGUGGCCCAAAAUUAACCUAACUGGCACUCAUUUUGUUUGAAUUUUUUUUUUAUAGCACACUUUUGCAAGUAAACUCACAUUUUAACCUAAGCCAUUGAACCUAGUUGUAAGUGUACACAAUUUUGGGCCGCCCGGCCAUGUUUGUUUGACAACCCUAGUAGUAAUUCUCUAAAUCUUUUCCCAUUAAGCCAUCUACUUUUUAUAAGUUUGUACAAUGUUCAUGACAAUGGGAAAUUAGGGGUUAUGACGAACGGAUUGUAUAGUAAAUAGGCAUAGUGAGAGAUCUAACUAUUGAGGGCUAAAUUACAUAAUAAUAAGAUGUAAAAGCUGAAAUUUUAGGGUUUAUAAGUUUAUAGAGGAUGUUUUAAAAGAUUUAACGGAGACUAAAUUAAUUAAUAUUAAAGCUAUUCAUACGGUUUUUUGUGGGCUUUUAUAAUUUUUAAAGUUGAAAUUUAAAUUUUAUAGGUUUAAUUACGAGUUUAUGGGAGUUAUUUUAAUCAAUUUAAUAGGAAUUUUUUAAAAAGAUUUAAUGAGACUAAUUAGGAGCUCAAUUAAUUCUCACUUUAGUUUUUAGAAUUCAGUUGGGUCCUCCCCUUAUAGUGAAUGAGCAUUAAAAGUAGUACAUCUUAAGUAGUAGUUAUAUAAGUUUGACAUUAAUUAAUAGUAUAAUAAACUCGGAGUAUUUUCGUAAUCAGAGUAACUUUUAGAGCACAAAUACCCCACUUUUAUUCUAGAUAUUGUGAAACUGCGGUUUACCUCUCGCCGGGAACAAUGGACAUUGUCUUGGUCUUGGCCUCUUGGGACAGAAAACCAGAUAAUGGCCAUGUUUAUUGUUUGAUGCGUUAUUUGUAUCUUUCUAUGAAUGGGGAGAAAAGAAGACUUUUGGAAGUGUCACUUCCUCUCAAAUCUAGCCCAAAUGCCGUCGUCGGUUUGGUCACUUUUGCUCGUGAAGCAGACGUAUGCCUUUGGAGCUUGUGGCUACUGGCUAACUUGGGAAAAAGCUCUGCAGUAAGUGAACCUAUUUGCCUAAAGACUUUGGCGUUAAUUAUCGUACCUCCACUGACACAUUUUGUCAACUCCUUGCGAUAAGUGGGGGAGACUGUACGUUAUUUGCUUUUUCAGCCAUUUCAACUUUCAAGCAAAUGCUGAGAAGGUUUCGCGUUUGUUAAAUUGUUAUCGAUAAACGUUGUACUAAAAACUCAAUGAAGUAUACGUAGAUCAGACUCGGAAUCCUCAUCUUAUAAGCUUUAGGUUGGACUUCAAGGACGUUCAUGCUUCUUCUACUUGAUUAAUUAUACCGUAAUCCCAUAAUUAGAUUUCAUUGCCGCGCGCAUUUAGUCAUCGUUCAUUAUCCUCUUUGAAUAACAUAUAAGGUCAAAUGUAGGAUUUAAUUAAAAAAAUAUAAUAUAAGCUUCGUUUCUACUUCCUACAACAUUUUCAGGAAAUGAGAGUAUUAAUGUAUUAUUUGUUCUUCAUAUAAAUUUUAAGAAGUGCAACUUCAAGAGUGCAAAUCAAGUAAUUAAGGUUCAUCAUCAAGUUCCGAUCCAAUAAUUUGUUUCUUAUAUUUUCAUAAUUCAAAAUUGAAUAUGAGUCUUUCUACUAUAUAUACGUACACCCAAUAACCAACAAAUGCCAGAAACAAUAUGCUAAAUGUGAAUGGCUAAUCCUCAAUGCAGCAAAACAUAUACAUUUCCUAGAUUUCCCCACCAUUAAUUAAGUGAAAGUGCGCACAUUAAUAGAACUAUAUAUAUAUAUAUAUAUAUAUAGCGUACGUAGUAGAUUCAUUUGUGAAUAGAAAAAUUAAUAGCUGGCGAAAAUGGUAGCAGUGUUUCUCCAAUGUCUGCAUACAUCUAGUCUUACAAAAUAUGUAAUGGAGACCACGUGUAUUUCCAUUUAGAGAACACAUCUGAGGUAUAGCAACAUCAACUGGUGCAAUUCAAGUUGUCUUUGGGCUUGAUUUGGAUUUUGUUGACAAGCUUGUGCAGUAAAAGCAACAAUAAUUCUGAGAACUUUUCAAAAGAAAUAAUUAUUAAGUGGGCGCAAUAAUCAGAGGAGACUAGACUUCAAGGAGGAUCUUUGCGUGCUACAGAAAUUAUUAUAAUAUAGUUUACCACCAUAUACAAGGAUCAAAUAGGGGGGGAAAAAAGCUUAAUUUUAUCGGGUUUCAUCAUGUGAUCUAACUAAUUGACACUAUUCCUCUUUAAAUGGAGAAGCCAAUUUAUUUUUGUUUGUAUCUAAUAGGAUUUGGUGAAAUAGGAAGAUGGCCACAGAAUCUAAUAAAAUAGAAAAUAUGUGUGAUGAAUAGCAGUGUAUUUUGGAUUAACCAAACGAGGAAGAGAGAAAAGAUUAUGAAGGCCAGUUUGAUUGUUGUUGUUGAUAAAAUAAGUUAUUUUUAUUGUGUUGAUAAAAUAAGUUAUUAAAAAAAAGUUUAUAUGUGUUUGGUAAAAUAUAAUGAUAAUAAUUGUUAUUAGUUUGAAAAUAAAAUAUAUGUGUUUAAUAAAUUUUAUUUUAAGUAGAAGGAUUAUUAAAAUAAGACAAUGGAGAGUUGUACUUAGGGGGCAUACAUGAGUUUUUCAGCACUGAAACUACAAUUUUGGGGUGACCAAAGAAUUAAAAUUUUUUUAAAAAUUAAACUUUUACAAAAGUGUAAGUCAAAGAAGUUAAAUUAUUAAAAAUAAAAUAAUGAUUAAUUAAAAAAAAAACUCAGACGCUCUAGUAUGCGCCUUUUAACUUGACAUAUUAUAGAGAAUAUAAUAAUGAAAUAGGUAUAACAGUCGCAUAAACACUCCUGUAUAAAUUGAGUUGGCAAUUUAAGUGACGUGAAAGGAUUUGUUGAAAGAUAAAAGCAAUUAAUGAAAAUAUUAUGUCAGCUCUAUGAUACUUUUAUUUAACUAAUCUCUUCAUAAUACAGAAGCUACUAACUCAAUUUGCAUAAGAUUGUAUUGUUUAUACAAUUAUUUAUGAUUGUAUCAUUAUUCAAUCUAUGACUACCAUAUUUCAUAGUCUGAGCACUAUCAGAUAAUUAAAUUUUAUUGAUUUUCUAGCCAUCUGAUGAUACCCUCACUCAAGAAUACUAUAAUCGGACUCCAUUAUUCAUCUACUAAUAGGGUGAUUUCUCACCCCUCACUCCUUCAAUAUGGCGGUUUAAUUUCCAUACAGGUGGGGGGUUUUUUUUUUUUUGGGGUACAAUAUAAUUAGAGAAAAUGUCACUAGAUGAUGGCAUAGUUCUAUCAUAAGUUUGAUCUAAAAUCUGGAUAAAUCCUUGCCUGUGAAAAAUGACAAUUGAGUACUAUAAUCAUUAAGUAGAAAUAUGGAUAAGUGGAUGAACGCAUAUCAUUAAGCUACAACCCACUUAAAAAUCCUAUCAUAUAUAGCUAGCUUAAUUAAGAGGCGAUUGAACUGGCCAAUAGCUUGUAAAAGGACCUUUAACUAUAUCUAAUCCUCUAAAACGUCUUCGUGUUCUUCUCUAGAAGAAUACGUGCUGCUAAAAGAUAACUAACUAAAUGAUCAUAUCAAACAAAUGACUACAAGAAUCGGGAUUUUGAACAUAUAGAUCGUGCAGAGCCAUCAGAGACUAUCAUCUGUCUAAAGUUUUGUGCUACGUGGAGGACAUUUGUGACCUACUAUUUGUAAUUCAUCGUAAAAUAACACUAAACUGAUAUUAUUAUAGCUAGUGAGAGAACUUCCAAUUAAGAAACCCCAAUUAAAAAAAUAAAAAUAAAAAUUUUAAUGUAUUAUAUGAUAAAAUACAUUGCAUUAAAAUAUAUUUAAUUAUUCUUCUGCUUGUUAGUUUAACUAAUAAAAGAUAAGAGUUCAAAGUCUAAACCCCGCUCACUCCGAAGGAAUCAACGUCGGCCAAAUAUAAUAAAUUUAAUUAAUAAAUGUAUGUAUCCAUGGGCUGCUACUGUUUUACCCUUUGUGUUUCCUGGAAUUCUCUAGGAAAGUUAACAAACCCUGAAAUGUAGUGGAAAAUGAGCUGGGCUGAAACGCACAUCAUAACCACUAACUCAAAAAAUUUUCUUUCUUUUAUACAUUCACAGGAGGCAGCUGGUAGCAAUGAUUGAGCCUUUUGAAUUGAUGCUGAAAAUGUAGUUUACGAUUAAAAUUUAAACACCAAACAAACUUUCUCAAGCACUUGCGUUUCAAACUUGAUUAUAUUUUCAAUUUCUCUCUUUUGGUAUGUCUAUGGCUAACUAAGGAAGGCUUAUAUGGUGCUGUAAUACACUGAGACACGCUGAUCUGAUCAACUAGUCGCUUUUUAUUUUGGAUUAGGGUUGGUAACGUGUGGAAGUAAAUAAGCAAAUGCAUAAACUAAUAAUUUUGUUGAAUUAAUUGAUUCAGUUAUAUAUUUUGGAUGUUUUGGGAUAGCAAAUUCUUUUACGCCAACAAUACUCGUUUAUUGUCUUUUAUGGGGGCAACCAUCGUAACAGAUGUUUUCUAAGCUUUCGUAUUCUAUCGAUUCGACCUGUUUGUAUGAUAUCUCAGCCGCCAAAUUUCAGUUUCAAUAUUAAUCGAAGUUUGGGAUCAAUCAGUUCAUGUUUUGAGAGACAGCUAGAUGUAGAUUUCAAGUGAGUGCGAAUCUGCACAAUCAAUAAGGUCGACUCUGCAAGCUAGCCAAUCAAAGGGCUGGUGGGGUAGCCAUUGUCUUCGUUGAGUUCUUUAUUAGUCUAGCGAAACUAUUUUCCCACUGAAAAAACAAACCAUUGGUAAAAGUGUGAUACACAAACAAACAUAAUUGAGAUACAUGAUUUCUAUUUGAGUGAUGUGGCACACGGUAAGUCAUUUAUUAAUAAGUGGUAUAUAAUUAUUAUAUUAAUAUUAAAAAAUAAAGGUAUCACCACCGAUUAAUAUGUAUAAAAUACACUAGCUAACACGUGUAAGUUCUAAUUAAUAAAAUACAUCACUUUACUUACAUACUAUGUAUUUCCGAUCAUAUAAGUAUAACAUAACUAAAGGGGAAAAAAAUCUACUUUUAUAUAUGGUUGAAGAAUUUGUUGUAGUAGUGACGGCUUUUAUUGAGUAGAUUAUCAACUGUUUAAGAUUUAUAUGUGUGCAUAUUCUAAAAAUAUAUAUAUUUAUAUGCGUGCAUAGAUUUAACUAGAAAUUUAAUUAAUUUGUCGCGGCAAUUAGAAAACUUUAGAUAAAAGUUGAAAUGAGCGGCGGCUUGUGGUAUAUAUUAAUAUAAUUUUUAUGGUAAAUUAUUUCGAAAUAAGAAGAGAGACGUGUUAUUCUAUUUUGUGGAGACCCAAAAAGUUUACCCCUCGAUGUAAUAAAGCCACUCCCCCUGCAUAAAACAUAAUUAAAAUUAACCACAAAAAAAAAAAAGAAUUGUUAAGGUCAUGUUUUGUAAAAGUGUGGUACUUACGUUGUAUACUUAAUUAUUAUUAGAUGAAUUUCAAUCAAUCAUAUGAGAAUAAAUAUAAUACAAUAAGAGCCUAAAGUAGUUUAGAGAACAGCCCAACCUCUAGACAACUUGAGUCAUUGUCUAAGGCUUCGCUCUAAUCUAAUGCCUCAUAUUUAUAUUAAAGUCAUUAUUUUAUAUUUGUAAAAACAUAAGUUCCUAAAUAUAUAACUACACUUGUUACUUAUCCAUAUGAAAAGUUAUUUUCAAGAGUUUGUCCACGUCUCAAAUAUGUUUGGUUAGACAAAGCUCAAGUAUUAAACUCCAAGCUCGACUUUCCUUGGGGAAAUUUACACAAAUAACCUAAAAAAAUUUGUUAUUUUCACAACUAACCCCUCAACUUUUUCCUAUCAACAUUAGUCAAUAAUCAUUCCUAGUACCGAAAAUACCCCUCCCAUAACUCUCCCUCUCCUUCCUCUCCUUCCUCUCCUUCCUCUCUCUCUCUCUCUCUCUCUCUCUCUCUCCCCGCCGAAUUCACUCCCAACUUGUUCACUUGUUGCCGGUGGCUUCCCGGAGUCAUUCUCGGCAGCCAACACUUACUUAAAUCCGGUCAAGAGUUGAAAUUAAAGGUUAGGUUAAAAACCCUAAAUUUCUAUUUCCUAUUCUUGUUCUAUGAUGUGUUUUUUGUGUUGUGUUUGUGAUGGUGAGUGAAGAUUGAAGGAGUUUGUGAUGUUGAGUGCAUGGGUGAAGUUAUUGGUGUGGUGCAUGGUGAAAAAAUUGCCUUGGGGUGGAGGAGGGAAAAUUGUGAUUUCAGCAUGUGGCUGGCGCGAUGUUGCGCGUGCCUUGCAUGAGCGACAGGAGCGAUGGCGCGAGAGCGACAGGCGCGGCAGCCUGUCGCACCAAAUUACAGUGGUCUUUUUUUUUUGCCGUGAAGUCAAUUUUUUUUUUAAAUGCAAUGUGAUAAUGUUAUAAAUAUUACAGAUACAUGGCGAAAUCAGAAGUAUCGAAAAACAAACUAAGCAGGAUGUAUUUUGCUUAUGCCGAUCACUUCCCGGGUCGAAUUUCGAGCAUUGUAACUUAUCUACGGUCGUAAAAGCCAUCGAGCGAAAAUUAACAAAGUGGCAGUUGCAUCUGUUCAAGAAAGACAUAUUUGGACAUUUCUUAGAGUGUCGAAACUUUUCAUUUAGUGGUGUAAUUUUGCACAAUGUUUUGCUUAGGCAAGUGGUCCAUGAAGAAGACAGCGGAUCAGUUAUGGUUUCAAAUUGGUGAGCAUUUGAUACGCUUGUCAAUUGCAGAAUGGUGUCUGAUUACUGGACUUUCCUAUGGUGUAGAUACUGCACUAAUAAAUAAGAAAACGGUGCAUAGGCUACUGAAUACGUAUUUUGAUGGUUUGCUACGCAACAUCAAUCUUAAGCAAUUUGAUGCAUUAUUUGAGAAGUUGAAAUUCGAGGCAAUGGACGACAUUGACGCAUUAAAGAUUGCGCUCUUUUAUUUUGCGGACAGAGUUCUAAAUGGAAGAAAAAGUCAUUGUCAAAUCAAUUUCUCAUGACUUAACGAAGUAGAUGAUAUAGAGUACUUUCACAAUCGUCCAUGGGGUCGUUUGUCGUGGGAAAUGAUAUACAAGAGUCUUGACAAUGCACUGUAAGAGAAAGAUGAGAAAUUUAGGACAACUCGGUUGGAAAACCCAGAUCAUAAAAUUAAAAAAUACAAUGUUUACGGCUUUACAUCCAGGGUUCAAGUGCAUUGUUUUUUUUUGUUUAUUAAUAAGUUUUGUAAUAUUAAAUAUUUGAUAGUUGUUUUAAUAGCUUUUUCAUUUUGGUUGUUGCAAGCUUGGAUUUACGAAGCGAUCGGAGGUUUGCCGUCAGCAUGGAUCGUGAAAAUGAAGAAGAAGAUUCCUCGCAUUGUGCAAUGGAAGCCCAUGACUUAUUCGAAAAUCUAUUUUGCUGAAGUUUAUUCGUUCUUCAAUGAUGAAUCUCGUCUUAUAAGUAAUAUAUAUUGGUUCUUUUUUUAACAUUACUAAAUUCAAGUUCUGUAUACUUAUCAUUUUGGGUUGAAUUCAUGGCAAGGGGACGUUUUACUUUUACAAACCCUUGAGCCGAAUGAAAAGGAGAGUAGCAAAAAAUAUUGGCUCAUUGUGAAGGAUUACAUGCCACAUAUUCCAGGCUGGGUUCAUAAGGUCGGUAUCCUAUAAGUAUUAUUAUUUAUUUAAUUGAAAUUUUUGACUUUUCAUUUCCUUAUUUUAAAUGCUACUUUAUACAGCACCAACCCUCAAUCAACACCCCACCGUCCGUUACAAGGCAAUCAGACGAGUAUGACAACAUACCAAGCCCAACACCCGAGCAGCGUCAUGAGACUUCUGAGGAUGAGGUGCCUGUAGAUGACCAUCAGGAGCAGACAUAAAACUCUGAUGACGCACGUGAUUCCGAUGUUAUAAAUAAAUUCUUUUCUUCAUAUAUAAAUCAUGAUUUUUUACUGUUAUUAUAAAGUUUUACUUCAUUUUUUUUGUAAUAGUCAAGGACAAAGCAGUUUAAUGAUUAUAUGCGACGACGGAUGGACAAGAUUGAUCGUAACAUUUAUGAAUUGAAGUCAUAAUUUAAAGAUUUUAAAAAAAUCGUGGUGGGAUUUAUCUGCCUCUUGGUACGACAUGGUGCCUGUCGCACGAAAAGCAUAUUGUCCCACGAAAAUUUCUCCAACUCGCAGCAAGCAACAGCACUGAGACUCUCUCGCAAGUUCAGAAAAUAACUCAUACCACUCAGUGAUGCCGAUUGGUGUUGAAUCCGGAUGGAUUAUGAUCGGAUUUCACUUUUACCGUUCACCGUCGGCAUUUACCGUUGCCUUUUGCAGUCGCCGGUGAUGAUUCAAGAGUGCAAAGUUGCAUUUGGUUAGAUAAAAGGGGAGAAAGAAAGUUGUUUUUGGUUUGUGAACAAGAAUAAUUUGGAGAGAAAAACUUGUAUUUGACUAAUGUUGAUAAAAAAAAGUUUAGAAGAUUAAUUGUGAAAAUAGGAAAAAUUUUAUGAUUAUUUUAUAAAUUUCCCCAUUCCUUACGUCAAGUUAUGAAUGUCCCAAGUGGCUGUGAUGGCUUUGGACAGCAGUUGGCAUUUAGCAGGAGACAACAGACCUUCUAUAUUUUCAUAGAAAAUCACUUUUUUCUAGCGAUGUUACAUUAAUAUAAUUGGGAUAUAUUAAUAAAAAUAAAGAAGAAGCCAUGCUUUUAAAGAAGAUUUAAAAAAAUGUCGGAUUAAGCGCCCAUGCUUUGAUAAUUCACAUACAAAUUUAAUUCUGUUUUUACCGCACAUAUCUCCCCACUUGCCUCUAUCCAUGUCCAACACGCAAUUGCUUAAACGUGGAAGGAAAAUAAAUAUUCACUCUUUUGAAUUAAAUCAAAAUCAAACACCUCAUUCAUUAAAGAAUUUGGAUGAUAUAAAAGGAAAUUAAUAAUUAUAUUCAGCGUAUAUAGUAUAUUUAGAAAUUUCCCACAAACUUGUAUACCGUAUUUUAAUGUCAUAAUGGCAAUAAUUCUUAUCAUUUACAAAUCAAAUAAUCUAGUUUUCUUUUUGACUUAUAUUCAAAACUAUCUUUAGAAUCAUAAUAUGAAUCUUAAGACUGCCGCCAUAUCCGUUGAAGAACCCCAUUUGUAUGUGUGAUAUUACUUUUAAAAUAUAAUAAUCUUCACUUCGGCUGGGAAGCAAAUCUCAUUAUAUACUAACUUUAAACAUUUAAUUAUUGAUAUAGUAUGUAUAUGUUGCAAGAUCAUUCAUGAUUCAUCUCGGUUUUGGAACUAUAAUUUUGAUGCCUUGGCUCAUUGCGUAUAUAUAAUAUAUACUUAUGAUAUUCGACGGAUCUACUUUGCUUUUUUCUAUAAUGUUGGAAAAUAAAUGAUCAUGACAGAACUGACCCUAAAAAUCCGCAGCGAGCGGCUGUUUUUCCGGUUUAUCCAUGUAUACAACUCGAAAAAUACUGCAAGCAGCAGCAUAUAUGGAUAAUCACAACUUGUACGUGCUAAAAUAUCCUUUUCAGAAUAUAUAAUUUGAAAAAGUUUUCAGUUUUCUUUUUCUUUUUUUUUUUAAAUAAAAAUCUUUAAUCUUAAUUACACGUCAAAUUUUCCCCUUAUCUAAUCCUUGUCAUUCUACAUCACCUUCCACUAACUAUGCUUCUAUAUAAACAUUCACAAUUCUUCCUGAAUUAAAUCCCCCGAAUUCUCUCACUUUCUCUUUUGCCUUCCAAGGCCAAUGGCGGAGAGCCUUUCUGUGAAUUUCUCGGGCCCUAAGAGUUUUUCGACGAAGCUGAAAUCUAAAUGCAAAGAAACCCUGUUCCCCGAUGACCCUUUUAAGCAAUUUCGAAACGAAAAACAUAGAGCCAUCAAAGCCUUGCAAUAUUUCAUUCCGUUCUUUGAGUGGAUACCUAAUUACAAUCUAAAAUUACUCAGGUACGAUGUCCUCGCCGGGAUCACCAUUACCAGCCUCGCCAUCCCUCAGGGUAUCAGCUAUGCCAAGCUUGCCAGCAUUCCUCCGAUCAUCGGCCUCUGUAAGAAACCAUUCUGGACCCGAACACAGGUGGCCAGCUUUUUUUAAAAAAAAUAUCACUGGCCAAGCCCCUGAAGCAUUGGAUUUUUUUUAAUUGAUCAUAUAUUAUUUUGACCAUUGAAUUGAAUGAUAAUUUUUGUUUUGUUAAUUUGUAGAUUCGAGCUUUGUUCCACCACUUGUAUAUGCCGUAUUCGGGAGCUCAAAGCAUCUAGCAGUGGGAACGGUAGCAGCAUGCUCGCUGCUAAUAGCCGACACGAUUGGACAAAAAGUGCCACCCAAAAAGGAUCCAACAUUGUACCUUCACUUGGUUUUCACGGCUACCUUUUUCACAGGCAUUUUCCAGACAGCUUUAGGUUUUCUAAGGUCAUUACUAAUUACUAAUCAAUUGUUAAUGAAUCUUCUCGGCAAAAGUAUCAAAUUGUUAUUAAUUUUUCAGGUUUUAAUUUGGUUCUUUUUCUUUCAUUUUUGGGUGAAGGCUUGGAAUUUUGGUAGAUUUUUUGUCACAUUCCACGAUCACUGGUUUCAUGGGAGGCACUGCUAUAAUAAUAUGCUUGCAACAACUGAAGGGCCUGUUCGGAUUGAAACAUUUUACUACUAAAACUGACGUCGUUUCCGUCUUGCAUGCAGUCUUCAGCAAUCGAAAAGAGGUCUAUAAUCAUCACAAAAGCAUACUGUAUCAAAAUUUUACUCUUUUUUUGAACUUAUAAUAAAUAAAUAAAUACAAUAAAUUGAAGUCAAAGUCCCCAUUACUAUAGAAGAAGUGGAAUCUAAAGUUUUUUUUUUUUUUUUUUUAUUUGCAGUGGAGGUGGGAGAGCGCUGUUAUAGGUAUAAGCUUCCUCAUUUUCCUCCAAUUCACUAGGUACCUGGUGAGUUAAUUUUCCUCGCCGCAUGACUCGCAAAAUCAUUAAAAAUAUCAUUUCAACAAAAAGAAAAAUUAUCCGUAUAAGACUGCGGUUUUAGCAAAUAUUACGUCUGAAUUUAAUGUGUAAUUUAUUUCUCUAUAGAUUAUUAUUCCGUUUUUGUAUGAAUCAAAUGAUAAGGAGUAAAUAUUUAUGGCGUCAUCCAAUUUAUCCAGAUCAAAUCUGCUUGGUCAGACAAAAUUGAUUAUAAUAGCUUGAGACUUUCACCAAUUUUAAUCUUUUUUCCGAAAUUGACAAUUUUCAGAAAAACAGAAAGCCAAAGCUAUUUUGGGUAUCAGCAAUGGCUCCCAUGGUCACUGUUGUAGUCGGCUGUCUUUUUGCUUAUUUCGCCCAUGCGGAGAAACAUGGAAUACAAAUUGUAAGUGCCAUUUUUUAAAUUGCGAGUCAUUCAAGAAUCAUUGAUACCAGUCAUUCUCAUGUCCUCAUCUUUUGAAAUAUGGAUUCAUUAUAUACAUCAUAUGGAUGUAUUAAUGUUCUUAUUAUUUUUUAUUCAAUUAAAUAAUAUAUCAUAUGGUAUAUUUAGCGUAUUCACAUUUUAAAAAAUACGGACAUCUACACCUGAAAAUGAUUAUCAUUAAUAUAAUUAUUGUAUUUUAAUGUCAAACAUCUUAAUUUCCAUCACUAAAUCUAAUUUUUGUUUCAGGUGGGUGACUUGAGAAAAGGAAUAAAUCCUCCUUCCAUUGGCUACUUGAACUUUAAAUCUGAAUAUCUCACAGUCACUGUCAAAGCUGGAAUCAUUACAGCCCUUAUAGCUUUAGCUGUAAAAAAGCGUCCUUGCACACUAUUUUUUCCUCAUUUGUUUUACUGAUAAAGUGUUAAAAUCUGAUCAAACAAUUAUACUGGCUAAUCCUCCAGGAAGGCAUAGCAAUAGCAAGGAGCUUUGCAAUAAUGCAAAAUGAACAAAUUGAUGGGAACAAAGAGAUGAUAGCUUUUGGUCUCAUGAACAUAGUUGGAUCUUUCACUUCAUGCUACUUAACAACUGGUAAUACAUAUUAUAUAUUUUAGGAAAAGUACAGUAACACUCUCGUAAUUUGAUGAAAUAAUAUUAAAGACUCCAUUAUUUUGAAAAAUAGUCGCACAAACCCCUUUUUGUGUUUGUCAUAUAUACCCACAAAAUUUGUGACAUGUAUAUCUCAAAAGGGGUUCGUAUAUGAUCUUCGUGACUAUUUCACCGAACCACAGAGUGUUAUUAUUCUUUUUCCUGUAAAAUAAAUCUAUAAAAAAAGAUGAAUAAUGUCCUUUUUUCACCCCUCCUGUUGACAGGGCCAUUUUCAAAGACUGCUGUGAAUUUCAAUGCAGGGUGCAAAACUGCCAUGUCAAAUGUUGUAAUGUCAUUUUGCAUGAUGCUUGUACUCUUGUUCUUGGCUCCUCUCUUCAGUUACACACCUCUUGUAGCUCUAUCAGCCAUCAUCAUGUCCGCCAUGUUCGGGCUUAUUAACUAUGAAGAGGCUAUUCUCCUCUUCAAAGUUGAUAAGCUAGAUUUUAGCAUUUGCAUGGCAGCUUUCCUUGGGGUCGCCUUCAUAAGCAUGGACAUUGGCCUCAUGCUCUCCGUAAGAAUUUUUAAUUAGUUUCGAUAUUAUAUAAUUCAUAUGAAACAAAAAUUACAUAUUUUUAAUUAGUUUCGAUAUUAAAUUCUCUGUUGUUAAUACAGGUGGGGCUUGCUUUACUUCGGACGCUUAUAUAUGUGGCAAGGCCUGCUACUUGCAAGCUUGGAAAAAUCUCAGACUCGAAUCUGUACCUGGAUACAGAGCAGUAUCAGCAUGCACAAGGGUUCCCAGGAAUCCUAAUUCUGCAACUUGGUUCCCCUAUUUACUUUGCAAAUUGCAAUUACAUUAGAGAAAGGUACUAAUUUUUUUUUUUUUCAAUCCUUCCAAUGUGAAAAUGAAUAUUUUGAGCAAAAUCUAAAGCAAAUGCAAUCCUUCCAAUGUGAAAAUGAAUAUUCAAUCCUUCCAAUGUGAAAAUGAAUAUUUUGAGCAAAAUCUAAAGCAAAUGAAUUGUAAAUAGGGUUUUGAGAUGGAUCCGAGAUGAACAGGUCUUAUCAAAUUCCAAGCCGGAUGUUAUUGAGCAUGUUUUACUAGAUUUGUCAGGUAGAAUGUGACUGUUAGUUUUUAUUUAUAGAGUAAUUCAAUUGGCUCAUAUGAUUUUAUUAUUAUGCGUAGGAGUUUCAACAAUAGACAUGACAGGAAUUGCCGCAUUUAGAGAAAUACUCAGAAUUUUGGAAGCAAAAUCUAUUAAGGUAACCUCUAAUAAUUAAGUGGCAUCAAUCUUUGCUAAUUUUAUUGAAGCAAUUAAAAAAAAAAAACUGAGUUGAUAACUAUUUUUUUGCAGAUGAAAUUAAUAAAUCCCAGGAUUGGGGUUAUGGAUAAAAUGAUACUGUCAAAGUUCAUCGACGUCAUUGGGAAGGAUUCGGUUUUCUUGUCAAUUGAAGAUGCAAUUGAUGCAUGUCGGUUUUCACUUCAAAAGGAGAAACACCAGAACGACUUGUCGGACAUUUCUGCUUGAAAGACAAGUAGUUGGACUAAAUAUUUGUAAAUUUUGGUGUGUGAUAAUAAUCAAGAAUUUGACGAGGAUACUUUGGGGGAUAGGUUGAGACCAAGGCCUAGUUCCAUUAGUUAAUGGGACAGCCUUAUCAAAAUUUAACUCUAAAUCUCAUGCAACGUGAUUUUCUCUUUUUUCAAAGAGAAAAUAUGAAAUUAGUAAAUUUUGGCUUGUUAGCCAGCAACAAUGAAUAAAAUACCAUAAUUUUUGUGACAUGAAACCUAUAUAUAGUGUAGAUAAUUAUUUUCUCCACCAAGUACAAGCUCCAAAAAUAGCUGAUCUUUGGAAAAUAUAUAAAUCAUGAAACCUAUUACGUCAGAUCAUCCUUUCAAACGCUUUGAUGUGCUAUAUAGCAACAUCUUAUCCGUUUACUAGCUUUUAUUUUUUAAUGUGAGAUGUAGGGUUGCCACUCGCUCACUCUAGAGUCUAGACGGCUUGACACUCACACCGUUGUUCGUUUUGGAGAGUACGAGGUCACAACUCACAAGCAAGAUUAAAACUUCAUUCGAUCUUCUCAAUAAUAUUCGUCAAGAAGAAUGGUAAUUUUUUUUUUCUUUUUAGAAAGGUACACUUAGGGAUGGCAAUUUCCGGGUCCGGGUCCGGGUUUGGCUGUUCCGGAUCCGGACCCAGACACAAAAUUCUUAUAACCGGACCUACAUUAAACCCGAAUUUUUUAAAUCCGGGUCCGGUCCGGGUCAACCCGGAUUGCUUUUUUUUUUUUUUUUUAUUUUCCGCUUUUUUGUUGUAGAGAGAUGCAACAAUGUUAUCAGCUGGGUUAGAUAUUAGAGUGCCUACAGCUCCAGCUGUGUAGCCCGCUAAACAUGUAACACCGAGUUGUUGAACUCUGGAGCAAUCUUCUUUUCUCUUUUGAACAAGUUUUUGAUAUAUAAAGUCCACCGAAUGCUCAAAGGUUGAGAACAUGAUCAUGGAAACUGCAAGUCACGAAAAAGGAGGACAAACAAAAACGAAAAUUGAAAAAAUGUCCUUCAAGCUUAAAUUCAAACAGGACAUAGAAAAGUAAACAACUCUGAAGGCAAAGUAUCUCAUUCAAGCUUAUGUCUGAUUGAUAGCCAAUCACUCUCAAACUGAUUAGCUACCCUGAAAACUUGGUACAUGUUCUCUGUGAAUUGCAAUAUUAAGCACUAAAGCACAAUUAUGAUUUCUCAGUCCGUUAGAUUAAGUUAGCAAAAUAUAUUGUCAAUAUGAUAUAGCAAUGGAAGAUGCAAACAUCACAUGGGCUGAAACUAUAACUAAAUGAAACGACAACCCUAGAAGUAUCACAGUUGUAGAAAGAUAUAGGACCAUUAUCAAUGUAUAGCAGCAGAAUGGUUAAAGUCAUGUUAUGACAUUAAUCUCGUUUGAGCUUUUACACUGCUAAUCUGAUGGAAAUCAUUAUGGUUGUGCAAUAACCAACGAAAGCCCAUUACAUAACAAUGAGAAAAUUGUACUUUCAGAAUUUACCAAUGUCAACUAGCCAACUAUGCUAGACAUAUCAAGCAGAAUAGAAUGUUAAAAAUGCUACAACCACUAGAAACUGUCUUAAGAAAUUAAUCAGUCAGGAUACUAGCAAUACAAGCAAAUAAAUGUUUCAAGAACGCAGUCAAGCAGUAACAUUACAUGGAAGAUUACAGCACCAAAGUGGAAAAAGUCCCCUGUAGAAAUUGCAAUAAAACAUGGACUUUUAAAUAAACAUAAUUGAGAAGGAAAAAGUUAAGAUCAAGUAUUCAGGUAACAAUACCCGCCGCGACUGAGGUGGAUUUCAACCCUUUUUGCUGGCCGCGACAGAGUGAGAGAUGAGACGAGUGAUGCUGAUGAGUGAUGAAACGAACAAAGCCUCACCGUGAAGGUGAUGACAGGCCACGCCGCGAAGGAUCUGAUCUGAUUUGAAGAAGAGAUUACAGGAGAGUUGAAGAGAGAGUGAGAGAGAUUAAGUGAGGACUGAGGAACGAGUCACGGUUCACGGGUGAGAGAGAUUGAGAGAGGAACGGAUUACGGAUGAGACUUGAGAGAUUGAAAGGAGAAAUUACAGAUUUACAGUAGAGUUCAGUAUAGUUGAAGAAGAAAUUUCGAGAAAGGAAGAACGACGAACGAGAGAGAUCUAGAUUCUAGGGUUCAAUUUUAUUUUAUUUUUUAAAAUUUUUCUAUUUAUAUUUACGGAUUUAACGAUAAAAAUUAAUAUUAAAACUGCUGUACGGCCAAGGCGGAUGUACGGUACAGCAGUUUUAUUAUUAAAAAAAAAAAGUGAAUCUACAUUUAAAGGUUAGUAUUUCUCGGAUUUGCGGGCUCACUUGAAACCGGAUCCGGACCCGGAAAUAUGCGGGUUGUCAAAAACUUAUCCGGAUUCCGGAUACAAAUUAUUCCGGUGCGGGUUGAACCCGGACCGGAUUUGCCGGGUUCAAUCCGGGUCCGAUCCGGGUCCGGGUUUGGUUGCCAUCCCUAGGUACACUAUAAAUUUUAAAUUUUAUUAUAGCGAAGGAACUUGAAACCAUAUCAAUAAAAUCACCUGCUGGUUGUGUGUUACACAAAAUGAAUUUUGUAAAGUCUUGAAUGGUUGAUGCAGUUAAAAAUUGUAUGAGUAUUGUGAAUGCAAAUGAUGUAGAAUUGACUUGAUUGGUUGCCUCUCACUCUGUUCACUCUUAAGAGUUAACAAACUAUUUUCUAGUGAUUAGGAAAUUCGGAGAAUGCCUCCAGUUCUAGGCUGUUAAGGAAGCUCAUCAAGCAUACAAAGAAACUACAUGUUUGGCACAUGUGAUUUGAUAUCCAGUCAGCAUAGCAGUUAGAAGUUAAGAGUGACAGCUCAGCAAAGUUUGUUAUGCACUUUGUAUUCUGUUAGUAUCGUUUUGGUUUUGCUCUGUGUUAAAUUGUAUGUGUAUAUAAUCAUUUCAACUGUGAUUUGUAAUUAACCUUUCAGUCUUGAAAUAAUAUGAAAAGUAACAGAGAUCUAGAACAUUCAUUUUCUUUCAUUUUCUCGACAUACAAACAAAUCUAUCAGUUCAGUUUUUAACAUUUCAACAUGGUAUCAGAGCCAAACAGAGCAAGCUCUAGUAAUCAGCAAACAACCAACACAAAUCAAUACACUGAAAUCAAUUUUUCUUUCACGAAUCCAAUCAAAUUAGAUCGAUCAAACUAUCUGCUACGGCGUUCACAAGUUCUAGCUUCAACAAGAGGAAAUCGACUGGAGGACUUCAUCACAGGAGACAAACCAGCACCUGAGAAAUAUCUCCUUCUUGCUAGAGCUGGUGGAUCUACUCAGAAGAUUAAUAAUCCAGAAUAUCAGAAUUGAAGAUCACUGGAUCAAACUUUACUUGGAUGGUUACUAUCAUCAAUAAAUGAAGGUACUCUAAGUCUUGUUAUAAGUUGUACAAGUUCAUUUGAUGUUUGGAAAACUCUAGAAAAGAAAUUUGGUGUUCAGUCUGAAGCUAGGGUUCUUCAGCUUAGAUAUGAAUUGAAUACUCUUAAAAAUGAGUCAUUAAAUGUUGAAGAUUAUUAUAUCAAAAUGAAAUCUAUAGCUGACAAACUUUCUAGUGCUGGUAGUCCUAUAACAGAAAAUGAUCUUAUGUUAACCAUACUGAAUGGACUAGGAUCAGUUUUUGUGAUAUUGCUACCUUCAUAACUGGAUCUAAAAUGGAGUAUGAUGAUGCUUAUGCAUUGUUACUUACACAUGAAACUAGGCUAGAGCAAGAACAGAAUGAUAAAGGUAUGUUUAAUGCAAAUUAUGCAUACUAUCCCAAGAUGUUUUAUGCUCAAUCCAGAGGUAACUUUAUAAGAGGAGGAUAUACUGGUGGUGGUUUUAGAAAUUUUGGUGGUAGAAAUCAAUCUUUUAGUAGAGGCAAUAUUCAUCCUCAGAGAUUUCAUUCUGGAAGUUUCAGAGGAGGAUAUGGUAUAGGAUACUCUCCUAGACAAACCAAUGCUUUUAAUUCUUUUCAAGCACCUAGAAAUUCACCACAAAUUGUUAGAGGUGGAUUUACUAGUACAAAUGGAGUACAUGGAAGUUCUGGAAAUAUAGAAGAGAUAACAUGUUAGAUAUGCUUUAAGACUGGUCAUACUGCUGAUGUUUGCUGGCAUAGGUUUGUUGAAGAUUAUAUGCCUACACAAAGGGGUUUUGGAAAGGGUAAAGGACUAAGAGCAGCUUAUUUUAGUAAUUUUGAUAGUUUUACUCCUCAUCAAGAAUAUGAAGACUAUGAUAAUCCCAAUUACAUGUCACCAAAUGUUUAUCCUUUCUCCACUACUAACUGUUACCCUGGAGUUGAUUCUUAUACUCUUGCAGCAGCAUUUGUAGCCAACUGUGAAGGCACUGCUAAUGAUGGCUGGUACCUGGAUAGUAUAGCUACUCACCAUUUGACAAACAACAUGGAUAAUCUGCAUCUCAGUGAGGAAUAUAAAGGUAUGGAUCAGCUUAUUAUUGGAAAUGGCCAAGGUUUGCACAUCUCUCAUAUUGGAAAUGUUUUUCUGUCAUAUAGAGCUUCAUCAUAUUCAUCUAUACAGCCUACACACACCACUAUAGCACUUAAAGACAUGUUAUUGGUUCCAUUAAUUACCAAAAAUUUGUUGAGCAUUUCUAGAUUAACAUCUAACAACCCUCUAUCUGUUGAAUUUUAUGGCAAUGUUUGUCUUGUAAAGGACAUGAAGGGACAAGUUCUUCUGCAGGGUUUUGCUGAGAAAGGUCUAUACAAGCUACUGCUGAAAACCAAACACUCUUCACCUAGAUCUCAUAUGUCUCACUUUCAGUUGAAUAAACCAGUGCCUAUGUUGUCUUUUUUUAAUGUUUCUUCACUUUCUCCAAAUUGUACAGCUCUUAAUAAAGCUUGUUAUCAUGCUGUUCAAAAUAAUUAUAACCAGAAACCUGAUGAUAUGACAGUAUUACAUAGAAGAUUUGGACAUCUGAGUUCUAUUAUAUUGAUGCAUUUGAUUAAAUCUUGUCCUGAGCUUUAUGACAGUCUUUCAAAAGUUUGUUCCAUCUUCUGCACAUUCUUUGUGUGAAGCUUGUCAACUAGGUAAAGUUCAUAAAUAACAUUUUUCAACUACUGAAACAAAAAACCAAAAAGAUGUUAGAACUAAUUCAUACUGAUCUAUGGGGGCCAUCACCUACUGUGUCAAGGAAUGGCUAUAAGUAUUAUAUCUGUUUCAUUGAUGAUUACAGCAUAUAUACUUGAAUUUACCCAUUUAAACUCAAAUCAGAGGCCUUUGAGGUUUUCAAGCUCUUUAAAAUUCAAGUGGAAAAUCAGUUCAAUACUCAAAUCAAGAUGCUGCAAUCUGACUGGGAACCAAAAUGGGAUUCUCUUUAGACACUCAUCAUCAAAAUGGUUUAGUUGAAAGGAAACAUAGGCAUAUAGUUAAGCUAGGAUUAACUCUUUUAGCUCAGGCAAAUCUCCCUUUCAAAUUUUGGUGGGAUGCUAUCCAUACAGUUGUAUAUCAUAUAAACAGACUCCUAACAACUAUACUGAACCUAAUCUCUCCUUAUGAAAAGUUGUUUGCUCAUAAACCAGGCUAUACAUUUUUUAAGUGUGUUUGGAUGUCUAUGUUAUCCAUAUUUAAGAGAUUUCAAUAAACACAAGUUUGAUUUCCAUACAAGCAAAUGCAUUUUUAUUGCCUAUAGCCCUUCUCAUAAAGGCUAUAAAUGUCUAACCAGCUCUGGAAAAAUCCAUAUACUUAGACAUGUGAUAUUUGAUGAAACAGUGUUUCCUUACUCAACUGAUAAUAUUUUCAAUCUGUCUCAACCAAAUAAAGAUUCUGAAACACCAGUAUCAAUGUCAAAUUUUUCUCCACAGUAAGUCUAUCAUUUAUCCACAUUAUCCUUACCUCACAGCAGCUUUGAAGAUGUUUACUCAGCAAGCUCAGCAGGACAUCAACAAACACCUUAUAUGCAUGUACAUACAAACAUUCCAUGUCAACAAAAGCAAGGUAACUAUACUUUAUCAGAAUCAUUAUCAUUUACUUGACCUUCACAAAAUCCAGAACCAGUUCAAACACAGCCUGAAAACCAAAUAAUCACUUCACUAGACACAGAACAUAUCACAAAAAGAAACCUUACUCCACAACCUUCUCAUAAAAUGAUUACCAAAUCAAAAUCUGGAAUCUUUAAACCCAAGCUAUAUACUACAACUUUAGCCAAUAAAGAACCUUAUACAAUUCAAGAAGCUCUUUGUGAUCAGAACUAGUACCAAGCCAUGAGAGAUAAGUAUGAAGCUUUGAUAAAAAAUAAAAUUUGGUCACUAGUUCCACAUUCAGUUGAGCACAAAAUUGUUGGCAAUAAAUGGGUGUGUAGAAUUAAGCAGAACACUUAUGGUAGCAUAGCUAAGUACAAAGCUAGGCUAGUUGCCAAAGGUUUUCAGCAAACUGAAAGAGUUGAUUAUUUUGAGACAUUCAGCCCUGUUGUGAAACCAUGUACUGUGAGGAUUGUGUUGAGUUUAGUUAUGUACUGAAGAUGUAUAUAUGUGUCAGCCAGAGGGGUUUAUUGAUGUGCAAAAACCUGGUCAUAUACAUAAGUUGAGGAAAGCUCUGUAUGGUCUGAAACAAGCCCCUAGGGCCUGGUAUGACAAGUUGAAGAACUCUUUAAUCACCACCUGGAAUUUUCAAAGUUCUAAAGCUGAUACAUCUCUUUUCUUUAAGGAGAUACAUGGAUCCAUAAUACUGAUUUUGAUAUAUGUCGAUGAUAUUUUAAUUACUGGUGCAAAUAGUAAGGAGUUAGAAAGAUUCAUCUCAGAAUUCAGCAGAAUGUUUGCUUUAAAGGAUUUAGGAACACUGUCAUACUUUCUCGGUAUAGAAGUUGCUUAUGCCCAAGAUAGUAUGUAUUUGUCAUAGAAGAAAUACAUUCAAGAUCUACUGAAUAAAGCUGACAUGUUGGAAUGCAAGAGUUGUGAUACUCCAAUGGUUACAGGUCAUAAGCUUCAAAGGGAAGUUAAAGGUCAUCUAGGCCAGUAUAUUGAAGAUGCAACAAGCUACUGAAGCUUAGUUGGAGGCCUGCAAUAUCUGGUUUUAACAAGACCAGAAAUUGCUUUUGCAGUUCAUAAACUAAGUCAAUAUGUGGCAGCACCAACACUUCAACAUAUAUUAGCUUGCAAAAGAGUCCUCAGAUAUUUGAAAGUAACAGAAGAUUAUGGGCUAAAAUUUUCAGCUGGAGGAGAAAUGAAAAUUACAAGUUACACUGAUGCAGAUUGGGCAUGUGAUGUUGAUGAUAGAAAAUCGAUAGAAGCUUAUUGCAUUUACUUUAGAAACAACCUGGUGUCUUGGUCAUCAAAGAAGCAAACUGUGGUCACAAGGUCAACUGCAGAAAGUGAGUAUAGAGCUCUUGCCUCUGCAAGUGCAGAAAUCACCUAGAUACAGUCAUUACUUAAAGAGCUUAAGAUUGAAUGCACAUCUUUACCAAUAAUUUGGUGUGACAAUGUGAGUGCAACAGAGUUGGCUAAGAAUCCUAUUUAUCACUCAAGAACAAAGCACAUUGAGUUAGACAUGCAUUUUGUUAAAGAUAAAGUGCUGGCAAGAGAAUUAGAAAUCAGCUAUAUUCCAAGUGAAGAGCAGAUUGCAGACAUCUUGACAAAGCCUCUCACCUUUACUCAUUUCAAUUAUUUUAGAGCCAAACUCAAGGUGCAUCCAUGUCCCUUGAGUUUGAGGGGGGCUGUUAAGGAAGCUCAUCAAGCAUACAAAGAAACCACACGUUUGGCACAUGUGAUUUGAUAUCCAGUCAGCGUAGCAGUUAGAAGUUAAGAGUGACAGCUCAGCAAAGUUUGUUAUGCACUCUGUAUUCUGUUAGUAUCGUUUUGGUUUUGCUCUGUGUUAAGUUGUAUGUGUAUAUAAUCAUUUCAGCUGUGAUUUGUAAUUAAGCUUUCAGUCUUGAAAUAAUAAGAAAAGUAACAGAGAUCUGGAACAUUCAUUUUCUUUCAUUUUCUCGACAUACAAACAAAUCUAUCAGUUCAAUUUUUAACAUUUCAACAUAGGCGGGGAGGUGAAUUUUUAUAUACUCGUAAUUAUGACAAUCUGAAUCAGCUAUUAUUUUCUAGUGUGGUGAUUUUGACGUGUUUUGGCAUUUUCUUUGUGCAGAAACUGAAAAGUGAAGCUGAGUUGGUCAAGAACAAGAAAGCGAAUAGAACUGAAAUUUUUUGGGUAAUCUCUGAAAUCUAAAACACAGAAAGUUAAAUUUCAACAGAUCCCAAGAUUGUAUAAUGUCCAGGCUCAUGCUUUAGCCAAAUUUGCUGUAAUAAACAAUAAAACUGAUGUAUGGCUGGACCCUAUACCAGCAGAAGUAGGCAAUGUUUUAUCUUUGUUUAAUGAAUGAAAAUGAUACUUUCAUUAUUUAAAAAAAAAAAAAACUGAAAAGUGAAGCUGUUUUAAAGACCCAAAUUGCAGCAAUUUGAAGAAAUGGCCUCUAGUAUGUAAAAUUUUGAGAGGAAAUUAAAGUGUCCCCUGUGUGGUUCCAGUAAUUUUGGCUGUAGAUUUUCUGAAUUUUAUUUACCAAGGGUUAUUAAGUUCCCUUAAUCUGAUUGAUUUACUCACUCUGCGUGUUUACAUAAUUCUAAUAAGAUAGCCUGAGAUCAGUGUUCCAUAGAUAGCCGAAAGGAAUCAGUAACUAGUUUUUAUAUGCCUGAUAUAUACUAAUACAAUAUCCAUCUACUGUAAGUGAAGCUGAUAUAUAUAUAUAUAUAUAUAUGUGUGUGUGUGUGUGUGUGUGUGUGUGUGUGGUUUGUGCUACAAUGGUCAACUUCAUGAUUGUGGCCUGGUAACGACAAUGCUUGUUGAAAGCUAUUGUAGUUUUCUGAUGUUGAAAGCAUGUAGCAAUUCUUGAUUUGUAGUUCAAGAAUUUACAAUAAUAAAUUUACAUGCAAAAGUCAUGUAAGCAUAUAUAUAACGUGUAUCCUUUUCAAUGGUAUGUGAAUUGCUUGGGAUUUUUCCUGGAGUUACUUAUCCUCCUACGGACUAAUAAUACUUCAAUGAGGCUGAGACAUCCAACACCAACCUUGUGUCCAGUAGCAUUCAAAUCAACAGCAGGAAGCACCACUGAAAUUGAUAUUUAUCUUGUGGUCCAAACUGCUAACCAGUUGCUUUUAUGUCCAUAAACUAGUGCUUUUAAACCAAUUUGUUGAAUAGUCUUCCUUUGUCAAAGAUCAUAUACUUUGCGGAAUGCGCAUUGGCACUAUCCUCUUCGAUGGCUAGAAACUUGAAUCAUCUUUGGAGCUUAUAAAUUCCGUACUUAAUUUGGAAUUGAGAUAAUUGUUAUCACAUUAAGAACGAAAUACUUGGCAAUUAUGAAAGUGCCGAAUAGUGUAUUUAUCACGAUGCUGCUUGGGUCCACUCAGGAUGGUUCACACUUGAUUCACUUGUUUCUAAAUAGCAGCUUCUGGUUGUGUUAGUACGGGAGGCAAAUUACUGACUUGCUUUUAUUAAAGCUGAAUGUUCAUCGUGUGGUUGAUUUGUGCCAAUAAACUAGGAGUCAGUUCCUAUGAGCUGCGAUUCCUUGUAGAAGACACUACCCAGUUGCUUGCAGUUGCCCUAUGACUGAUUGGAAUUAGUAAUUUUUGGCCGAGGAUUAAAGAGAAACUGUCUUAAAGCCAUUGAGGAAGCAUUAGAGUAUAUUAUAAAUGUCUGAAUUUACUCUCGCUUAUUUCCUGACUUAUGGUUACUUGUGUUACACAUUAUAUAUCAUCAUUUCCAGUUAUAGUGAGGUUACCAACAGUCUGUACCAUGCUUUGUAAAGACCAUAACCCACAUUGUAUCUUAUAUUCUUGGUCUGGCAUGUUUUACUCUCUUUUUAAGGUAUUCUUUUCCUAGCAGUGAAAUGUUUCUUUGAUUUUGCAAAUUCUGUACAUUCAGUACAGAACUAGAGCAAUGCUUUUCUCCUGUCAUUGUUAUUUAAAUAUCAGCCUAUAACUAGUUUAGUAUUUACGUGUGUGUAAUGAGAAUUUUGAAAUCAGAAUUAAUGACGUGUUCAAAAUAGUGCAGGGCCUAGAAACUUGAAAAUUAUUCUCAUAUUCUGAUUGGCAAUGGAGGAGAAUCUGAUUCCCAAAAUUACCCAUUUUACCCUCAUUGAAUUUUCUUAAUCCCAAAUUGUUCUCAAUCAAGUUUAAUGUCAUUUUUACAUUUUGGUCCCUGGAUGAAAAUACCCAGAAAUUUUGUAUUAUUUGUAAAUAAGUCCUUUAACAAUUAAUAGUAAUAAUAAUUUUUUAUUAUUAUUAUUAUUUAUUAAUGUCAUUAAUAAUAUUAUUAUUAUUAUUGUCACCUUCGCGUUGUCAUCAUCAUUAUUAUUAAAUUUAUUAUUUUAAUUAAUAUUAUUGUCAUUAUUAUAAUUAUUAUGAUUUUAAGUUUUAUUAUUACUUUUAUUCUUAUUAUUGUUAAGAUUAUAACAGAUACAAAUAAUACUAAAUACAAUAAUUAAUAAAAAAACAUUUUAAUUAAUUAUGAUUCUAAGAUAAAAAUAAACACAUCAAUAAUAAUACAAUUCAUUCUAAUUAUAAUUUAUCUAACUAAAUAAAUAAUUUAUUUAAAUUCUUAUACCUUAUUCUUAUUCUGAUUCUCAUUUUUCAUUCAAAUUCCAGCUCAUUUCAAUUUCCAAUUACCAAUUACAAUAUUAAAAUUACAAGUAUGGAAAGUGGCUUUUUUUUUUUUUUUUUUUUUCUUUGGCUGAGAUGGCAAAUCUGUGCCGCAUCACUUGUUCCCAUCAAGACAGCUAGCUCUAGCUGUCACGCACAUAUUUUAACGAAAGCCCCCUUUCUUAGACACUGUCAUUUAAAUAUAAACUUUAUUUGGUUGCCGCGACAAAUAUUUCACUUUCAACAGCAAUCAGUAACUGAAUUGUUUCAUGGAAAAUGCGAAAUUCCUAAUCUCAUGUUUUCUGGUUGAUAUAUAUAUAUAUACAUAUAAAUAGCCCUAAAAAUGAAAGUAAUUGCGGUGGCUGUUGGCAGUUUCGAAUGGUCAAUAUCGCGUUGCACCUUGGCAUGAAGGACUGGCACCACCAUUGCACCAAUGCUACGCUUGUGUGAUCGUGAAAUUAGUCAAACUUAAAAGUUCUACCGCAUUUACAAAUUGGUUGGUAUCAGGUCUAUUUUGUGGCGAGUUCUUUAAUGUAAGUGGAGCCUCCUGAUGAGAUCCGCCGCUGAUUUGUUUCUCGAUAUAUUAAAGAACCGGUCCAUGGAUCAUGUUUAGCAGGCUGGCCCAGAAUUUAGGAAGUGGGGUCCAUCCUUUAACCAGUUGAAUUUCCUCUUCCGACAUCCACGGUGAAAAUAGUUUGCCAAUCUUUACUGGUGGGACCGACAAACACAUUGCCGCAGUAGCUGCUAACAAUCUCAGCAAGCAUAUUUCCUUUUCCUUUUCCUUUUCCUUUUCCAUUCCUAUAUCAGGUUUCAACUCUUUUCAUGGGAAUUUUUCUAAUGCAUUUUUGCGGUGUGACCAAUAACAAAGUCAGCUCUUUUAUGUAAAGACACCUCAAAAGUGCCUUAUCGCUCCGAGUAAGUAAGGUAAGUUAUUCUUGUGACACACUUUACACUUUGGAGAUGCAAAGGGACUUGGACAACAGAAAAGAAUAUGUAUUCUAUCUAGGCUGUCAUGAGAUGGCCAUAAGGGGGUCGAAUCCGGGACCAAAUGUUUCCCCGUGAUUUUGCUGGCGAAAGAUAACCAACUCAAACCCUACGACACUUGGCUAAACCGAUAUGUUUAGUGCUCCCCUCCAUCACUUAUCUCUAAUUUUGUUGUCUCCCUUUCCCAUGUUCGCCAUAUGUGUAGUUUGUUUCUUUCUUUUGUAUUAUUGAUUUUGAUACUUAUUAUUGAUAAUCAUUGCUAAAUCAUACCCAAUCAUUUCAGAUUCUUUCCCUAAUAGUAAGCACGUUUUAUUUACAGCAUGUUCGUAUGAAGAGGAGAGGGAGAAACGGGGGAAAAAAAAAAGAAAGUUAAACUUGAUUCACAAGACUUAACUGAGCAUUGGCAUCUAUUCUUUUUUUCUUUUUAUGGUUAAGCAAGCAAAUAGGUAAUUGAGUUGGCCUUUUUUUUUAAAUUUUCUUUUUCCCCUGUCGGUUACAAGGUUCGCUAAAUAUGCGUUAAUGGUGAAUAUAACUUUUGGCGCGAGUAGGUGAAGUUUUUUUUGUUCUCACGUGCCGACAGUAUUAUGCUUUAGUGUCAACAAACACAGACUCUUUCCUUUUUGUUUUUUUACCUACGAAUUUGACAUGACUUAAGAUCGAAAUGAUUUAAGUAUAUAAUUUUUUUGGGAUAUAAUUUGAACCGUAAUUGUCCGUUUUGAGCUUUAAUAUCAUUUUCAAAUUUCGUAAGGGAAGCUUCUAAGGUUCACCACUCAAAUAUCCUUUUUUUUUUUAAUGUGUAAAGUUGUAUCUGAAAUAAUUUUUAAAAAAAUAUUAAUACAACACGCUUUUCUAAAGACUUUUUGUGUCGUCAAUUUUUUAGAAACAAGCAAUCGUAUUAAAAAUUAAAAAUUGAAAACGAACUGGAAUUUAGCUGGUGGAGAGAACAAUUUUCCCGGAAAAAAAAUUCCCAUAUUUUGUGUUUUAAUAUACAAUUCUAUUUACAAAUCGUUUUCAAUUACCUCGGCCGGUCUAUUUUUAGACAUUGACGUGUUUUCUCUCUUUGAGAAGGUCAAAGUUCACCUUCGCAAGCAGCUCGUCUAACGUCAAUCACGUUUGAAUUUGUCCUUCUGCAGCUUGUUCAAUUGGAACCAGACGUUAUUAUAUCUAUUUAAAAAUAUGAAAGAAUUAUGGCCUUUUGUUUUUCGUUUUAUGUUUUGGUAAUUUGGGGUUGAGAUUUUUGAGGUAAACUUUGGGUAUGAAACAAUUAAAUAAAAAUUAAUAAUAUCUGAUAGUUAUACAUUUUAAAUAAUAAUUUUAAUAAAAAUAAUAAUAAAUCUUUCAUCGUAUAAAAUAAAAUUAACUUCUAAGCAAUGACAAUAAAUAUUUGAAAAUAUUUUAAUAUUAUAAAUGUCAGCUUCAAAAUGGCCUAAAAGGCCAAAAUUAGGAGGCAAUAAAUGUUUUUAGUUUAAACCGAAGGAAUCGUUACACUAAAACUUUAUGGUAUGGAGUCUUCUACCGAAAGGGAUGCAUCUUAUCUUCAACAAUACCAAGUCCUUUUAGAUUUUGGGUUUGAUAAGAUGAGAAACCACCACAUGGCAUACUCUAAAGACAGUUGUAUUGAGGGACCACUACUAGUGCCGGGUUCUUAUCUAUCUCAUGAUUUUGCCACUCAAUUAUUAUCAUCAUCAUUGUUAUUAUUAUUUUGUAUGUACCAAACUCUACUUAAUCUUCUGUUUCCAAAUGUACAUAAAAUAACAACACUAGUUGCCAUUUUCUUCUAGAUUCUUGUAAAAAAAUUCACAAGUUUUAUUCGUGUUUGAUAUAUAUAUAUAUAUAUACAUUCUCUAAUGCGGGCGUUCGUAUUUUUUUUAUGUGGACACACUUUAAAACCGCACAGUUUUAUAAUUCAUUGAAUAAUUAAAUUUUUUAAACCGCACGGUUUAAAAGUGUGUUUGUAUUAAAAAAAAUACGAGUGUCCACACCUGAGAAUAAUGUGUAUAUAUAUAUAUAUAAUUUUUAGAUGCAAGUAUCCUCAUUUUUUUAAUACGAACAUGUUGUUUAGUUAUGUGAUUUAAUAAAGUUAUUUUUUAGUACACUAUCAGGUUGUGUAGUUUAACAGUAUUAGAAUAUGACUCUAUUAAAUCGUAUGGCUUGACUUCAAAAUGCGCCUGUAUAAAAAAAAAAAAAAAAAAAAUAAAAAAAAAAAAAAAAACAAGGCGUCCGGUGCCCCCACUAGAAGAGGACUAUACAUAGUCUUUUACUGGUAAAGACAUCCUUACUUUAUUAAAGUAAAGAUGUCACGAAAAUAUAAAAAAGCAUAUAUUUCAAGAUAUUAAUAGACAAAAAUUAUAGUAUCUAAUAUAUUGAAACCUAUAAUUUUUUUUUAUAUAUUUUAGUGACAUUUUCACUUUGUUAAAAUUAGGGAUAGCAAUGAGGUGGGGGUAAGGAGGCCCAUCUAUUCCAAAUUUCUUUAAAAGUUUUGUCUUCAUUCCCCACUCCAUCCUCUAAUAAAUUUAGUGGGAUAGAGAUGAGAAAUCAUCAUGUGGUGAAUGAUUUCUUCAUUCUCACUCCAUUUCUUGUUUGCUUAUUUUAUAGUAGAUAUGGAUAAAUGAUUUCAGUAAUUAAAAAAUUAAAGACUUAAAUGAAAUCAUUAUCAUAUUAUAAAGUAUUUAAAUAAUUUUAAAAAAAAUCUCUAAAAGAUUGAAACGAUAUCUUGAAAUGAUACCAAAACAAAAAAAAUGUUUGAAGAGAGUAGCAUAAUAAGAGAAAAAAUAAAACGUAAUAAUGUUUUAGGGUUGAAUAAAAAUUAUAAUGUAUGGUUUUCUUUUAGUUAUAACUCAUUUAUAUUAGGUAAAAAUAAAAAAAAUUAUUAACCAAUAUUAUAAUUGAUAAAAAAAAUUAUUGAAUAAAAAUUUUUAAAAGAUUCAUAUAUAAUGAGAUUGGUGUGGGGUAAGGUGGAAAGUACAAAACUAAAUCUCAUCCUAUUAAAAAUUUGAGAAUUAUUUUUCCUUUAUUCUCCACCUUAUUCCGUAAAACUUAUUCACAACUCCCUUUUGGGUGAACCUCCAUGGGACUCAAAAUUCAUAAAGAUUUUUACCAUUUAUAAUUAAAAUAUAAAUAUCUUCGCUAAAAAAUAACUAUAUAUAUAUAUAUAUAUGUGUGUGUGUGUGUGCGUGUGUGCGCGUGUGAGAGAGAGAUUGUGAUUUCAGAAGAUUGCAUGAGAUUAUUCCAACAAUAAUAACUUUGGACAAAAUUUAAAAUAGAUGUACAAACACUUUUUUUUUUUUGCCCUAAAGUUAAAAUUUCCUUGACCAACGAUACGUUUCUUCGUUAGUUUUCUUUCCAAGGAAUCACUUUCUUAAAAUAAAUAACUAUGCCAGUUAGAUUUUUUUGCCCUUUUUUUUUUAAUAAAGUAAAGCCCAUCGGCCUUGGACUAUUAAUAGCUCUUCAAGUCUUCAAACGUGGCACUACCUCAAAGCCAUUGGAUUCAAAAUAUUGAACAUGACUAAACUGAAUGGGAGAUUGCUUACAACUUUUUGGCCCACCAGGGGCCUCAAUUAAUUUUUAACAAGAUUGAGGAGUUUCUUUCACCUUUAGCGUAGGAUCAGAUUUUCUUUUUUCUCUCUCUCUCUCCCUCUUUUAAAAAAAAAAAAUUUUACUUCAUUACGAAUUGAAGUUCAACAACUAUACAUCAAAAGCAGGAUUCAAUAAAUUUUAACACAUAUAUUAUUGGCUCGGCCUUUGCCCCGUGAAUGCCGUAAAAUGCUUACGAAUAUUUUUGUAAUGUAAUAGUAAAAAGAUUAAAUAAGUACACAAAAUAAAAGUAAAAGGGAGGAUUUUUUUUUUAAUAAAAAAGAAAACAAAAUGGUUGGUGAGUAUUAUUAAUAGUAACAAACACACACGUCACCGCAACAGAGCAUGUCAUGAACCAAUUGAACUGCGUGGGCCCCUUUGGCGGGUCGUAUGAUUUUCCUUCAUUACGGUUCUUGAUCCGCGUGGACUUUGGGACCCACAAAUUAAGAGCUCCCACCAAAAACUUUUUUUAAAAAAUUACAAGAAAAAAAAGAAGAAGAUAAUAAAUAAGCUGCCGACGAAAGGUAACGAGAAAACCGUGCAUGAGUCGUCAUUCGUCAAUAACGGGUAAUUUGAAUCCGUAAUUCCCGCAACGUUGCUACCAUUACAAAAUUUAAUCCAAAAGCACGCCAUUAUUUUUGUUAUUCAACGUAUUAUUAUUUCGGUGUUACAUAAUUGAAUUUUUUGAAUUUAAUGAGGCUGUUACAGAAGCAAAUUAUGGUGUUAUUUGUUUUUUUAGUCUAAAGUAUAAAUUUAUUUAUUUUAGAUAUUUAUUUAUUUUUUUAACUUAUUACUUAUUGUCAGACAAUUAUAUCUUAAUAAAAAAAGUUAAAAAAAAAAUUCUUUUAUUUGAAGUAUGAAGUUUAAAUAGAAAAUUUUAAUUUCAAAUUUUAAAAAUACCCUUAACAAUUCAUGUAUUUCUAAUAUUAUGUAUGAACCUAAUAUUUUUGUAUUAUUCUUGAAGUUAUUUUUUUUAAUUGCUUCAAAAUUUUAUUCACAUGAUAACAUUAACUAAUCUGAAAUAUUUAACAAAUCAAAUUAUGUCCAUUGAUAUGAAUCAAAAAUAAAAUAACAGUAUUGAUUUUAUAAUAAAAUUUGAUGUUAUAAUUACAUAUUUUAUUAAAAAAUUAAGUUAAGAUCGACAAUGAUAAUAUUUUUUUUAAAUGCUAACAAACUAAUCAACCUAUAAAAAUUAUGAAUUGUGAAGAACAAAUAUAUUCACCUCUUAAAAGAAUAUUUAUGUUAAACUAUUAGUUUUUAAGUUUUUCUCUUUAGAUGUUGAAAAAAAAAAAAUAAACACGUCAUUCAGACAUUUUUAUUCAGACCUAUUUAAAUUUCAACUGAAUUCAGAUUUAUUCAUAUUUCAGAUAAAAAAAACAAACGCAACCUACAAAUAUUCAAUUUUAUUAUUCAACAGUUAUAUACCCCAUGUAUAUAAAAAAAACAGUCUUCCUCUUCUAUUUUGCACACAACAAACGCAUAGAGCACAUAAAAAAAAAAAUUUCUUCCUCUGACCUUUUGUUUUGAUCGAAAUUCUACAUUAUUAUUGUUCUCUGAAAUUAUUUAUGUGUGCUUGGUGAAUAAUUCGUUCUCAUUGUAUCAUGAAAAACAGAUACCAACGAACCAAAAGCACAGUAAUAUGUGGUAAAUAUGUUUUAAGAAUACUGUUAUUUAAUAGGCCUCAGGUUUUUUCUUAUACUUUUUGUUUUUCAUUUUCUUUUCAAUUGUUUAUUUUGUUACUACUUCAACGAUUAACUGCAGCUUGUUUUCUUACUAUUUAUUUAUAUUAAUUUUCAAUUGUUGACUCACUACAAUAAUUUACAAUAUCCCUCAAUCCGGAACCCCAAAUGAAAAUAGUUAAAUUAGAAAGGAAAUCCAAAAAAAAAAAAAAAAUUAAAGCAUCUAGACUUUUGAAAUCCGAGAGCAUAAAAAGAUAAAAGGACUCAAAUGUGAAAGCAAACUCGAGCUUAGAGAAGAGACAACUAAAAAUGACCGGUUCAACGUUAAUAUAAUAAUUUUUGUAAUAACUUUAUACGUACUUUGUAGUUUGUAGGCUUCUUCUUGGUGCUCUUGCUUCAUUUUAUUUUAGGCUUAUCUUAAAAAAACGAAAAAUUGCAGGCUUCUAGUGGCUUUAGCUCGGUGUUACGUGUUGGUUUACCCAUGAUCCGCGUAACCACCUGUUAAUCUCUUUUGACUUUAACGCAAUUAGCAUUUUUAGAAGCUUCACUUUGGAUUUCCCCACCACCAGAAGAACGAGUCGAUGGCCACGUAGGUAACAAAAAAAAACCAAAAAAAUCAUGACCACGUGUAUGCGCUCCGGCUUCCACGUGUCGCGACCAGUCGUUACAGCUGGCUUUGCCGGCUGGCAUUUGUUUCGCCGACUGGCCUCAAUUGUUUCUGUCCUACGUGGAUGGAGGGUCCCACGAAGGCUUAAUCUUAGCCACCAGCCACUUAAAAAACAAGUGGCGUUUGUUUAUGGAAGAAAUGCCUCCAGCUGGUUUGGAGCUACGUGAGAACCUAAAUUGUUUCCUUAUAAUAUCUAAAAGUCUACUUUUGACGAAAAUUGGUUCAUAAAAAUUUAGAUAAAUGCGUAAAUGAAAAGAAAAAAGUAAAAAUUGGAGAAUUCACAUGUAAUAUUGAGAGAUGCGAGUUUUAUUAUCCAAAAUUAGAUCGUCAUCAAUUUUGUAAUAACACGGUCCAAAUAUGUAUGAUGAUGAGACAAAUUAAACUAUUUACAUUCCAUUUAAACCUCAUUAUAAAUCUGAAAAUAUACUAUUAAUUUUCAAAUUCGAACAUAUGGUGAAUUUUUUUUACGCAUGAUACAGUGAUGUUUUAUUAUAGCCCGCACAAAUUUCGUAAUAUAAUCGAUAAAUAAUAUAAUAACGAUAGUAUAGUACAAAAUAGUAAAAAAUUAUCCCAAAUAAAAAUAACAAUGCUGGUCAAUACACGGAAACGAUACGAUUAUUUUAUUUUUAUGUUGAUAAAUAUUGAUAUGAUUAAUAAAUGAAUUGAAACAACAUGAUGAACAACCAAGUCAUAUAUAUGUUGGACCACUUCAAUACCAUUACACAUUUAUGAUACAAAUAUUAAUUUGUUAAUUUCAUUUUUAAUAUUGUAUAAGUUAUUAAUUAUUAAUUAUUGUGUUCAAACGAUUUAACUUUUAUGAUUGUUUGUUUGUACAAUUAAAUUUUUAAAUUUUUAUCAUUUUAUUAUCUUAUGGUAGUAUUUCUCUUGGUAAUCGGAUUGUUCAUCUUUUUAUCAUAAUCAUGCAAUAGCAUUAAAUGUAUCGUGUUGCUUUAUCUGUUUAUUAAGCGCAUCACGUUCGUGUUUUAAUUUUAUGAUAUGAUUAUUAAACGUGUCAUAUCCAUAUUUAGUUAAAUUUAUUGUGAGACGAUUGUAUGAAUUUUUAUCUCUAGUCACAAACUAAAGUAAUAGUCUACUAAUUAGGCUUCUUGUAAUAAAAAGAACAGGUCAAACAAUCAAUUCUUCCUUUAGAAAUAGAAAUUUCAUUUAUUUUAAAAUUUUAAUUCACGAAUUACAUGAAGUGUGUGAAAUAGAAUGAAGGAAAAAAUAGUAAAAAAAGGUGUUAAAUAUUUUCAUCAUUUCUUUGGCAAUAUAUAAAGCUGGAGGAGAGCACUUUUGUCCUCCCUUUGACCACAUGUUGAAGAAUUCAAAAUCUACAAACCUCUCAUCCAAUCAUCAAAAGGCAUAAUUUUUUUAUUAUUUUUUUCAAAUUUUAAACUUGAUGUGAGAUACCCAUCCCUUAAUCAAAUUAAAAUAAUUGCCUCUAAGGGAGAGAUAUCUUACUUUAAACUUAAUUGACAAAUGACCUCACGAUUAAAGAUUUUAAAUUUGCUCAUUAAAAAAGAAAAAGAAGAAUUUAAAUUUGAAAUUCGUAGCUUUUUAUUAAUUGUAGUAACUAACCUUAUUAUAUUGUAAGAAUUUGAAAACGAUUUUUGAAGGCAUAAAUAUAAGGUGCGUUUGGAAGACAGCGUGAUUAAAUUAAUACUAUGCUAUGUUUGGAAGGAAAUGCUAAUGGAUUAAGGGGCUGUGAUAAAAAUGCCGCAUUAGUGUUUUUUUUUUGUUUUUUAAUUAAUAAUAAAUAAAUAUAACUUUUUAAUUUAAUAGAGUGUUAUAUAAUAUUAAUUUUCAUUUUCUUUUAUUUUUGCAUUAUAAUGAUUAAUAUAUUAAUAUAAAUUUAUAAUUUAUAUUUUAAUUUUAUUAUACAAAAAAUAACUAAAUAAUGUAUUAUUUAAUUAUAUUAUAAUAAUUAAUAUAUAAAAUUAUAACUAAUAAUAGAUAUUAUUUUCUAAAUUUAUAAUUUAAAUUAAUUACAAAAAAUUAAUACAAUAUAAUAUAACACUAAAUAUUGUACAAUAUUACUAUAAUACAGUAUUAAUAAAAUAUAGGAUUCUUCUAUCUUACAUGCACGUAAGAUAGGGAUUGUCUAAAAUAUAAUAUAAUAUUAAAAUAAUAGAAUAAAGAAUAAUGUGACAAAGGAAUUUUCGAAAUAUGCCUGGCAUUGUGCGAUUGUCAGUGUCAAUAAGAAUUGUUGUUUCAGAGAAAAAAAAAAUGUCAAUAAAAGUCUGCUUAAUCUCUCAAUUCUUUUAUUUUCCACAAAUUAAAAAGACAAGAGUUCCCCCCCAUAUUAUUAGCCGGGCAAAUAAGAAGUCGAAAAUCGUAUCCAACGGAGCGCGGCACAUGCAUUCUAAACUGGAGACUUCCAUCAACGUCACCCCAAGCCAAUCAUAAGGUAUGCGAAAGCGCGUUAAUUGUGCUUCACAGUUCAUUAAUCCCGAAGGGGCAUUUUAGUGAAAUUCCCAGUUGUUAUCGAUGAUGUGUAGAGCGUUGACGCGUUCUGCGGGACGCCGUGCACACCUCACGCGAGCGGGGCCCUCUUUGGCGCCGACGAUCCAGCCGAGCAGGACGUGACACGUGGGCCCCUGGCCAGAAUCACUUUGCUUUGAUGUCGUUUUCUUUUGCGUCAGGACACUUUGAUGUGUGACUACUGGCUCCCGGACCCACUCUUCCCCCGCGCUCGCAAACGGCAUUUGCAAGUUGGAUCGAGCUUUUUUGAAAACGAAUUUAGAGUUCUGUUAAUUUAAUAGCCGAAUUCUAAUAAAAAAGAUAAUUACAUUAUGGUCCUUACUCGUUUACAAUUUCUCAAAAAAGAACAGUUUUUCCAUUGGUAUCAAACAAGUCAUAAAAUGACUAAAUUACCCCCAAAAUAUUGAACUUUAAUCAACGAUGUAAACGGCACGGCCAAGUGUGUUUCAGUAAUUUCGGAAGUGGCCACAGACAUGUUUCAGACAAAUCGAUUAGAUUAUAUCCUCACUUGAUAAUCUUAUAAAAAGAGGGAUCCACUUGUUAUUAUCACAUGACAAAAUCUGAAAAUCAAACAUUAUGAUGAUGAGGAUCAGGGUAGUGAUGUGGACGCGUAGCAUGCAUGCAUACUUACAUCUUCACUGGUUAUAUAUAAAAUGCGGUUUGUUUCAGCGAUUUAUGGAUGUAACCGCAACUCUUAAAUUUGGUGAUUACAUUAACGUGUCUUAUCUGCUCAUUAUUUAAUUACCAAAUUGUCCUCUUGUUCUCAUAAAUAAAUAGAGCAGAAAAAAUUAAUAACAGAAACACACACAAAUCGCAAAAGCAAACUAUUAAAAAUAAAAAUUAAAAAAAAGGAUGGCAAGCAAAGUGAAUCAUGCCGAAGGAAAGAACGACUUCCGAUUGGUGUUACUUAAGCAUGAAUGUUCUUUAUCAUUAUUCUUAGCUUGAUGCUUUUAACGUUACGAACAAUUCAUUAUAGGGAGUCUUUAAGUUACAAUAAUUGUAACAUACAUUUCUCAUGUGAACCACAUAAAAUUGUAGGAUCCAUAAUUUGUGUGGUUUACAUGAAGAAUGUAUGUUACAAUUAUUGUAACUUAGCAUUUGCCUUCAUUUUAUGGCUAAUGCUAAGUUACAUACAUGUAUCUUACACUCCUCUCACAUGAAUAGUGAAUGAUGUGGGUCUACUAACUAUUCAUGUGAGAGGGUUGUAAGGUACAUGCAUGUAACUUAGAGGGAUCCUCAUUUUAUAUAUAUAUAUAUAUAUAUAUAUAUAUAACAAAGAGGUGUUACCACAGGCUACCUACUCCUCCGUUGUAAUUUUCUUAGCAAUCUUAGUUUGGACAAAUUUUUUUUUCUAUUUUUUAAUUAUGAGAACAUAAAAUAAGUUUUCUUAUUUUCCAUAGAAUGAGAAAACUUCAUCGCAAUUUUUUUUCCCUCUAAAUAUUUGGAUCAAUAUUGGAAAAAAAAAUCACCUAAUAAAUACAAAUCAUUUAACCUUAAUUUUACUCGAACUUAAAUGACUGUUGACACAAAAAUACAAUUAUGAUCAGUUGAGCUAUGCUUAAAAGAAAAAAAAAACUUCAUCACAAUUACUUAUGAAAGACAAGUAAUAAUUAUAUAAAAUGAACCUGGGCCUCCAGCAUUAUUAAGAGCAAUUGUAUGUAUCUCAAAUGUCAUCCUAAAAUAUUUAUCUUGUAUAAGAUUGUUCAAAUAAGAAAUGAUAAUCUCUCUUUAAAUUUAGAGUGUUACUUUCUCUCUCUUUAAAUUUUAUUUUAUUACUUUUUGUUGGAGAAAGAGAGAGAUGCUUUAAUUUCUAUUGACUUUUUCUUUUAAAAAAAUAGUUAUCUAAUUAAAAUAAUAUUAACUCAUUUAUAUUUGAAGAGUCUUUUAGAGAAUAAUAUUUUUUUUCACUCUUUUAUUUGCCACAUAAGUAAACAAAUAAAUAUUUGAAGAGUAAAAUUUAUAGAGGCUUUUGAAGAUGCUCUAACAUUCAUCUAGCGAUUGAUAUAUCUACACUUUAUAUUCUUAUAUAUUGUAUAAUUUUAACAUCGAAUAAUGAAUAUUUUGAUAUAAUAUCUUAGAAAUAUAACAUUAUUCUCUCAUUUAAGUUAUAUACAAUAGUUGGUUCAACUAUAUAAAAUCUUUUAUGAUAGGGGAAAGAUUAUGAAAUUAGAAAACCGCUCAUGUGAAUAAUAAUAAAAUUUGAUUACUCUCACGUUACAAAUAAAAGAAAAGACGCGCCAGUUAAUUUGAAACGCGAUCUUUCUUUCCUAAAUUGCCAUCAUUAUUAAGAACUUGGCAUGGUCCAAUGCUAUGCAUGGAAAUUGAAGCCGAAGUGUGGCCAUUUAAUUUAAAGCAAGUAAAAAGGACAAGAAUCUGGUGUGAGGCCAACUGAAAAUUGCGCUCAAAAGGUAAAAGUGGUGAACAUUAAAAAAUUUGGCAUUAAAGGCCCACAAAACAGUAGCUCUGGCUCAUUGAGUCGUGGCAGUGCAGUAAGUGAAAACGAAUAGGGCCAAUGAUGUCAUUUUAGCCGAACGUUACUAGCAGUUCUUUUUACUCCCACGGAGUUUAUCUGACUUGACAAAGCACCUACUAUACAAACAAAAAAACUCGACUGCCCGGCUUAAAAAGUGGAUUCAUGCCUUUGUCCCACUGGCUUAGGUCCACCACCACCACUGUACCAAAAUCUCGUGAUACUUUGUCUCAUAAAUAGUCUGGUGAUAUCAACCAAUUGGUAAUUACCGUUUGGAAAAAAAAAAAAAAAUUCCCAAAAGGAAAGUUAAAGGGCAAAUUAAAAAAAAAAAAAGAAAGCUGGCCGGAUGAUUUUUUUCCAGGUCAACAGUCGCCGGGAUUAAGAAUCGUCCACCGACCCCUUCUUAACAGCUUUGCAUUAUAAGUUUUAUUGACUUCUGCAUAAUUUAAGGAAAUGACAACAAUUAUUUGUACCAAUUCAUUAUUAAUUGAUUAAAUUGUAAUAAUGCUUUUUUGGGCUAUUAUUCAAUAUUCCAAACUUCAACUUCUUCGGUUGAUUGGGAAUGGGAUUCAGAAAGAAUAAAGUAAAACAAAAAAAAAUGUUAAAUUUAAAUAAUGUAAUGUAGGGAAAAAAAUAUAAAUAAAUAAAUAUAUUAUAUAUAUAUGUAGAGAGAGAGAGAGAGAGAGAGAGAAAGAGUGUUAGAAGGAGAGAGAAUCUGGUGGGUUUUGAGCUGUGAUUUAGCUGUCUCUUGAUUGUAUUAGUUCUCACACCCACAUACACUCCCCUUUCUGUUCACACAUAUCUCCAAAAUACCUAGAAAAGACCCAUCUCUCUCUCUCUCUAACCCCUCUCAACUCAAGUCUCAAACACCAAGCGUAAAGAGCCAAAGCGGAAAACUAAAUCUUAAAAUCCCACACACACUCUCUCUCUCUUUCUCCAUAUUUGCCUCAGAUCUCAAGGCGAACAAAAAUUAUUCAGCAAUUCCCAUUUGCAAUCUGAGCCUGGAAAGAGAGAGAAGAAAAAAAAGGAAGAGCAGCUUAAAAAAGAGAAAGGAAAGUGGCAUUUGGCAAAUCAGAUGUCUCAAGUGAGAUGAAGAAGAAGACCCAUAUCAGCCGUCAUCUCUCACUUCCCAUUGUCUUCUUCUUCCUUAGCACAGUCUUGUGCUGCUGCUUUGGCUCUGCUGCUGCUGAGGUGGUUCCCAUUGCCGGCCAUGGUGGCCUCACUGAUGCUGAAGCUCACUACAUCAGGCAGCGGCAGCUGCUUUACUACAGGGACGAGUUUGGAGACAGAGGAGAGAAUGUUACUGUAGACCCAUCUCUUGUUUUUGCAAACCCAAGAAUCAGGAAUGCUUACAUAGCAUUACAAGCUUGGAAGCAAGCUAUUCUUUCUGAUCCUUACAAUUUAACUGCAGAUUGGGUUGGAUCUGCUGUCUGCAGCUACACUGGCGUCUUCUGUGCUCCUGCUCCUGAUAACAAGAGGAUCAGAACCGUCGCCGGCAUUGAUUUGAACCACGGUGAUAUCGCUGGGUACUUGCCUGAAGAGCUUGGCUUGUUAACUGAUCUUGCAUUGUUUCACAUAAAUUCAAAUCGGUUUUGUGGCACUGUUCCUCACAAGUUUGAGAACCUCAAGCUGCUGUUCGAGCUGGAUCUUAGCAACAACAGGUUUGCUGGUAAGUUCCCAAAGGUACUUCUCAGGUUGCCUCAACUCAAGUUCUUGGAUCUGAGAUAUAACGAAUUUGAAGGCACUGUGCCUAGAGAGCUGUUUGACAAAGAUUUAGAUGCUAUCUUUAUCAACAACAAUCGCUUCAGAUUUGAAAUCCCAGACAACUUUGGUAACUCCCCCGUCUCAGUUAUUGUCCUGGCCAACAACAAAUUCCAUGGCUGUGUGCCUUCGAGUCUUGGUAACAUGUCAAGACUCAACGAAAUUAUUCUACUGAAUAAUGGGUUGAGGUCUUGCUUGCCUCCGGAGAUUGGGAUGCUCAAGAACGUGACUGUAUUUGAUGUCAGCUUCAAUCAGCUUCUGGGUCCUUUGCCGGACACGAUUGGAAGAAUGGUGAGCUUGGAACAGCUCAAUGUGGCUCACAACAUGCUCUCUGGCACAAUCCCGGCGAGCAUUUGUCGGCUGCCUAACUUGCAGAACUUCACAUUCUCGUACAAUUUCUUCACCGGGGAGCCGCCGGUUUGCUUGAGCUUACAAGCUUUUGAUGACAGGAGGAAUUGCUUGCCAGCAAGGCCAGCACAGAGGUCUUCAGCGCAAUGUAAGUCAUUCCUGUCCAAGCGCGUGGAUUGUUCUUCAUUUAAAUGUAAACCCUUUGUUCCUACCUUGCCGCCGCCACCUCCCCCAUCUCCACCAAUGCCGGUGCCCUCACCACCACCACCAGUUGUAAUACCGCAAUCACCGCCGCCACCAUCACCCUCACCUCCACCUCCUCCGCCAGUUAUUUCACCACCACCACCACCACCAGUUGUAGUACCGCAACCACCACCGCCGCUGCNNNNNNNNNNNNNNNNNNNNNNNNNNNNNNNNNNNNNNNNNNNNNNNNNNNNNNNNNCCACCCCCGCCUGUGUACUCGCCUCCACCUCCAUCACCAUCACCCCCGCCCCCUCCUGUUUACUCUUCUCCACCACCACCACCACCGUAUUGUGUCCGCCCUCCACCACCUCCGCCAAAUUCUCCUCCACCGCCUCCUCCACUGUACUCCUCACCACCGCCAAACCCUUACAUUUAUAGCUCACCACCACCUCCGCCACAUCACUCACCACCUCCACCGCCACAUUCACCCCCACCUCCUAUUUAUCCAUACCAAUCUCCCCCGCCACCUCCACCAGUCCAUUCACCACCACCUCCAUCCCCACCCCCUUGUAUAGAACCACCUCCCCCUCCACCACCACCAUGUGUAGAAUAUUCGCCCCCACCUCCAUUGCCUUCACCUCCACCGCCAACUCAUUAUAAGCCCCCGCCAUCGCCAUCACCACCACCAGCACCAGUAAUUUAUGCUUCGCCACCUCCACCACCACCAGUUUACUAUCCACCACCACCACCACCACCACCAGCUCAUUACAAUUCGCCACCCCCACCAUCGCCAUCACCUCCACCUCCAAUUCCAUGUGAGAACCCUCCACCACCACCAUCUCCAUCUCCACCGCCGCCAAUUGUUUAUGAAAGUCCACCGCCUCCAGCACCAGUGUACGAGGGGCCAUUGCCACCAGUGUUUGGAGUCUCAUAUGCUUCGCCUCCGCCACCACCUUUCUAUUGAUUCUUUUGAGAAAUUUCCUCCUCUAACCUUUUUAUU